AAUCAUCUUCUGGAUUGUAACCAUAACGUCCUUCUAGCACUUUUGCUAUGUAUUCUUUCUUUCUACCAAUCAAGAAGCAUGCAAUAUCAAGAAAUGUAUUCUUUUGUGUAGGUUCAUCCAGUGUUCAAAACUUAUUCUAAGUUUUUUCUGAAUUUCACAGUUUGGAAAUUUUCUCAAUCUGGCAAUUACAGAUUCCCAUCUAGCUUGGUUUUUCCCAACAAAGAAGAACCUAAAACCUCAAGAGCUAAAGGAAGUCCUCCACAGUAUUCAACUAACAUCAUUCGAAAUCUUAACAUAAUCUUUUGCUGGCUUGGCGUCCCUAAACGCAUGCUGACAGAAUAGCUGAAGGGACUCAUAUGGGUCCAAUUCUUGAACCUGGUAUCUUUGAUUAGCUUCAAGAAGUAAGUGUUCAUCUCUAGUUGUAAUUAUCACCCUGCUUCCAGGACCAAACCAGCUUCGCUCUCCCAUCAAAGCAUUUAAUUGGUCCAGAUGAUCCACAUCAUCAACAACAAGAAGAACUCUUUUGCGGCAGAGUCGUUCUUUAAUCAGAACCUUUCCUCUAUCAACAUUACUGAUCUUCUCAGUAUUUUGUCUUAAAAUAUCAUGAAGAAGUUGUUGUUGUAGAAGAACCAUAUCCUUAGAUUCUGAUUCUUUGACAUUCAAAAGAAAUGAGCUUCCCUCGAAUCCAUAUCCACAGUCAUAGCAGAGUUGAUUAAAUACAACUUUUGCUAAAGUCGUCUUUCCUAUUCCUGGCAUCCCAUGUAUGCCCACAAUGCGUACAUCAUUUGUUGCAGUACUUAGGAAGUGAAAAAUAUUGUGAGCAAGCGGAUCAAUACCUACUAGGUGCUUAGGAACAUGUAAGUACUUGGGGUCCAAUUUAGUCAGCACAUCGUUUAUAAUCUCUUGGAUAAAUUUUGCUUCAUGCCUGUUCAUGGACAAAAGCAAGUCAUUAGUCAUUAAUAGCGAGACAAUUAAGUAUGUUCAAAAAGUAUUUUAUUGUUUCACAUUGUAAAAUAGAUAAUGUAUAAUGACUCCCUAUAUAAAUGUGUGGAAGUGAAUCGGAUAGAGAAAAGGCAUACCCAUUUGCCAUAUCUUUGAGAUUCCAUCCAGAUAGAUUUCCUGCCUCCUCAAGAGCUUCUCUCCACUCCUUCACCUUCUCGUUAGAACGUUCUUCAUGUUUAACAAAUGCUUCUGCAAAACUGCCGGUCUGUUUUCUCACAUCUGAUGGAUCAAUGUCAUAGAAUAUAGGAAGAGCAAUUUGACCAGUUUUCCUAUAUUUACACUUCAGAAUCUCCACAAGUUCAUCAAGACACCAUCUAGAAGAAGCAUAUCCUUUUGAGAAGACCACUAUAGAUAUCUUUGAUUCUUGAAUUGCCUCGAGGAGAUGUUGGGAGAUUUCUUUUCCUCUAGGAAGUUCAUCAUCAUCUCGAAAAGUGUGGAUUCCUGCUUGUACUAAGGCAGUAUAUAGAUGAUCUGUAAAUGUCUUGCGAGUAUCUUCUCCACUAAAACUCAAAAAGACAUCAUAGGCCCCUUGUGGUCUAGAUCGAGAAGAAUCUGGCUCUGUCAUGGCAGCUGCAGAAAUUAAGGCACGAUUAAUUAAUUAGCAAUGAAUAGAUUGCAGGAGGUAUCUGCUAUCUUGCAAUUAUAAAGGGAUACAUGUGAAGUGAUCAUCAAAGACAAUACAAAUAUAUGAAUGUGCUGAGUAGGAAUUUCAACGCAAUUACUAUUAGAGAGUAAGGUAAGAAAAUCAUUCAUUCAUUGAGUUUCACCUAAUACUUUAAGUUUAACAACCAGAGAACAUAAAACAAUAGCAUUUAAAAAGCUUACUGAGGUCAGCUUUCCUUCUCUUUCGCGAGGAUGAAUCAUUUUCUUCAUCUUUGGAUUGCUUGCGUUUUUCUGUCGGCAUUCUAAAAUGGAAUUAACUCAAUAAACUCAUCAAUGAUGUCUAUCUGAACAUAAAGCUUUCAAAUUAUUGUUAUGAGUAAAGACAUGAAAUUAAAACAAGAAAGAAGCAAAGAAGAGGUAUAAGCUAUACCUCUAUAUAACAAAGGGUUGGUUGGAUUCCACAAGCUAUGAAAUUGCAGCAAUCGGGAACGGUAAUUUAUUUCAACUACCCAAACAUAUUUUUCAAUUUGUUUUUAAUUUACAUGUAGUUUCAAAGAAGCAAAGAAGGGUUACAUACUAGCAAAAACAUGACAGCAUAAAAUCCCAUGUAGCAAUUAUCUUGUUUCGCAAUCAUAAUUAAAAAAAAAAAAAAAAUGUUUCGCAAUCUUCUUAGUGUUAAUAUUGCUGUAAAACUACAUGCAUUCAUGCAAUCAGAAGCAACAAUCGCAAAGGUUACCUCAAUAUGGUGUUUGAGUUGUUCGGAUUCCACCAACCUGGCGACUUUAAAGGUCAAAUUGCAGCUCUCAGAAAGGUUAGCUGAAGAGUAAAGUAAUGAGGACUGAAGGAUAGUAGAGGCAAUAUUGUUUCGGAGAAAGAAUAUAAAUCCUUUUUGCUAAUUAUUAGCAAUAAUUAUCAAAGAUGAAGGGUAUCAUAUAUAGGAAUAGGAGCUUGGAAAUUUCUUUAGCAGCGUGUGAUCAAGGUAAUUUCCUGGUUGUUGCUGAUUGAUUAGGGUUGUUGCAAUGAUUUUUUAAAAAUAAAAAAAAUAUAUUUUUUUUAUAUAUUUUUUUAAUAAAAAUCAUUUAAAAUACAAUUCUCUUUAGCCAGAGAUGUACAGUGCAUCCACUGAGGAUGAAUAAUGAGUGGUAGAAGCCUAUUUUGUGAGUUAUUAAAGACUUCUUCCUGUCAGUCAAUGCGCGUAUGAACACUAACUCUUUUUUUUUUUUUCCACACACAAUUGUUUUGUUUGGAAUUUAUGGGUUUUUGUUCUUGUAAAAUAACAGUGUUUCUCAAGAAGUUUAGUUGGGAACAGACGAAGGGCUAUAGACUUCGAGACGAUGGCUGUAUUAUCAUUGAACCUUCGCUCAAGAAGCUCAACCACUUUUCUUCCCAUAUCUACUAUUCAUGAACCUCCUUGACUCUUCAGUAUAAAUCUUUUUCCACUCAGAAGGCCCUCGCCCUCACACUCCCGUCUCCAUGUAUUUGGCUGCUUCCAUCUCUCAGCCCUGCUUUUUGGUUCGUAGGUGUAAUCUGAUAUUUAUUAUUAAUUUUAUUCAUAUAAAAUAUUUUUUUUAUCUUUAACAUUAUUUAAAACUCUUGUUAUUAAUUUUAUUAGAAUAAAAUAUAUUUAUUAUUGAAAAAAUUAAGAUUAUUCGCUCUACCGUGUUUUUAAGAAACCCAACAAUAACAUCAUAAUCAAAAAGUAUAAAUUUCCACGGACAACUUGCAUGUAUGGGACAGCUCUAACCAUUUAUUGGUGACCUUCGUGGAAAUUCUACAGUGUGUCAGUGAUCUUACAGCCGGGUUCUUUUUAUCCAAAGAAGACUUUGACCAGGCGUCAGUCUAACCAAAAUCUUCGCUUAAAGAAUGUUUUUUGUUUUUUGUUUUUUUUAAAAAAAAGAAAAUUAUGGAUAUAACUAAAAGAGGUGGCACAAUCACUUUAGCCCAGUUUAGUUCAUUAUUGUGUCAGACACAUUACACUAUGUAUUUAUACUGUUCACAUCCAUGAUUGUUUUUUUUCAAUUUAAUUAUUAAACAUUUAAUCUUUCUAAUUUCAUAUUUUUUGUUGUAUUAGCAUGGUUUUUUUCUCUUACAAUCCUUUCAAUUUGCAUUAUGAAUAUUCCAGCAUGACUUAAAAAUCUAUUUGGUGGAUUCGAUCUCAAAUUAUAGUUAAAAAUAGAAAUUAAAAUAAGAAAAACAAAAUAAACAUGGUUUAGAUUUUGACAUGAAAAACUUCAACUUGAUCCCUUAAGUUCUUGUUUUUCUAUCAUUUGAUACCUUUGUUUUCCAAUGAUGUAUAACUUAAUUUUUAGUUCCUAUUGAAAAUAAAAAUAUUUUAAUACAAGUAGAGUUCCCAGCCCAAUCAAAUACAACACCCAAUGGAUAUUUAGGCGAGUCUUGUUUGAAAAGUCCCUUAUUUGAUGUUGCGGGGCUAUUCUUAAAAUUAAUUUUUAUUUAAUUUUAUAGAGAUUAAAAAAUAUUUCAAAGAAUUUCAAUGAUUUAAAUACAACACCCAAUGGAUAUUUAGGCGAGUCUUGUUUGAAAAGUCCCUUAUUUGAUGUUGCGGGGCUAUUCUUAAAAUUAAUUUUUAUUUAAUUUUAUAGAGAUUAAAAAAUAUCUCAAAGAAUUUCAAUGAUUUAAAUACAACACCCAAUGGAUAUUUAGGCGAGUCUUGUUUGAAAAGUCCCUUAUUUGAUGUUGCGGGGCUAUUCUUAAAAUUAAUUUUUAUUUAAUUUUAUAGAGAUUAAAAAAUAUCUCAAAGAAUUUCAAUGAUUUAAAUUCUAGAAUAAAAAUUUUUAUUCAGUAAAAAAUUUCCCUUCUUGUUUAUGCAUUUAUUUUAUUAUUUGACAAAGCCAUGAAAAUUUUCUUUUUUAAUGAUCAACACCUCAGGUUUUUUGAAUAAAAAUUAAAAAAAAUAAAAAUAAAAAUUCAUAAGAAUUCAAAUAAUUUAAUUUUAAGAAGAAAAAUAUAUUUCCUUAGCCAAUAUUCCCUUUUCGUUAUUCCUUCAUUUAUUUUUAUUUUGAUGAAAACAUAUUUUCUAUUACAAGGUUGGUUUUUUGUAUAAGAACUCAUCUUGUGAACUAAUUUUCAACAAAAAAAUAAUAAUAACAUCCCCAUUAUUUUUAUGAGACUUUAUGAAAACAAUAAAGAAUAAUUAAUUUGAAAAAAAUAUAAGAAAUUGACAAUAAAAAAAUAACAAUUAUAUAUUCUAUUCUCAUUAAAUAUUAAUGUGCAUUUUAUAAAAUAUUUUGCAUAUGAGUUUUGUAUAUAAUUAUAAAACUAAUGCAAAUAUAACCAUACAAAUUUAUAAUUUUUUUUAAAUAAUGACAUAAUUGAAUGAUGUAUGAAACAUCAUUGCAAUUAUUUAUUUAAAGAGAUUUUUAUUUUUUAAAAAAACAUAAAGAAUAGAAAGGCCAAGAAAUGUCAAGCACAGAUAGACCUAAGCUAUGAGGCUUACAAGUUUAGCCUAUAAGAAAACGAGGCACAAAUAAGACUUUUGAUAAUUGAUAUUAUUAACCCAAUCAAUGUCAAUGAAGCCAAUGGUUCUAAGAUGGAGCGUGUGUCAUAAAUUUAUUUUUUAUUUUUUAUUUUUAUUUUUAUAUAAUGAAAAGAAAAUAAAAUGAAAAAAUUUGAAUGAACAAAGAAAAAUUAAGAUUUGAAUCAAGACAACAUAUAUAGAAAGUUUUUAGGAUUAACCAAGAAGAAAUUGUAAAUUUAGGGUUGAAUUUUACUAGAAAUUGAAAGAAUUGAUGAGUUUGAGGAUUUAAUUAAACUUUGUAUUUGUUUAAUUAAUGAUAUCAAGGGUUUUGAUGAAUUAAUAAGUUUAGGGACUUAAUUGAACUUAUAAUUAGUUUAAUUAAUGAAAUCAUAGGCUUAAUUAAAGAAACAUUAAAGUUUAGAAUCAAUUAAGGAUUAAAUUGAUUAAACUGGAAGCCAAGGAUUUGUUUGUAAAUGGCGCCGAAAUCCAGGAGCCUGAUUAGAAGAUGUCAAAACGUAAAAUGACUAAAUUGCAAAAGGGCUGCCUCAGUCAGAAACCGCGCCGUUUUGUUGCAUUCUUCGUCUUCUUCCUCUUGAAACAGAGGAGACCGCCUGCGAAGGAAAUACAGAAUGCCACCCAGACAGGCAACUCACACCACCAGACACAUUGCAAUGCCCACGACUUCCAUCACCAGAUUCUCAGUUUAUUUUUCAUGUCCGUAACCUCCAUAACAAGCCAUUGAGACGUGGAGGAAACCACCACCAACAGUCCAGCGAUGGCAGGACUGUUGGUGUCCCAAUCCGGCCAAAACAUAAAAACCCAGGCCUUAUCACUAUCAUGGAAGAUAAGCAGAAGGAGAGAAUUUCUAUAAAAGGCAGAGGCAUAGAUGACGAAAAAAAAAAGAGGGAGAAAGAAAAAAGGGGGAGGAGAAAACAAGGGAACGAAUAACAGGGGAGACAAAAAGAGAGCAAAUCAACUUGACUAAAAAUAAACACAAACUAAAAGAACAGAAAAGAAAAGAGGAGGAGGAGAAGGCAAAAGAAGAGAAGUGGAAAUUCCAUAAUCCCAACCAAAACUCAACAUCUCUCGCCAGCACCGAACGCAGGUAAGUCUCCAUUUUUUCCCCUCAUUUGGUAAUUUAAUUACGCAGACACUGUAGCAAGCGUGCGAACCCAUGCACGCUCGCAGACCAACCAACUGGUUACUAGUCUGAACCAGUAACCGCUGGAACUAGCCCAACGCAAAAAAAAGAAGAGAAAUGGGCUGGUUAUGGGCCUUAGGCCCAAAUUCUGUUUGAUAAGGGUGUAUUUGACAAAAACUCGUUGGUAAAUUAUUCACUUUUCCUUAGCAUUGUUCAUCAUGUCAGUUACAAAAGUAUUACCGAUGAAUUAAUUUCGUCGGUAUUUUUCAGAGAGCUCUAGAACUAUUCACUUUUUAAUUGCAUUGUUAAUUAUUGUUUUUUACAGAUGAAAUCAUCAACGAAUUGAAAAGUCAUUAGUGAUAUUUGAAAGGUUUCUGAAAUUUUUUUCUUAAAUUUAAAAUUUAAAUUAAAUAUUAUAGACAUAUUCAUCGAUGAAUUGGAAAGUCAAUGAUGAUAUUUGAGGGAUUUCUGAAAAACAUUUAUUAAAUUGAAAAUUUAAAUUAGAUAUUAUAAAUAGAAUCACCAAUAACAUGUUUAAAUAUAUUAAUAUUUAAUUAUUCAUAAGUAAAACCGUUUGUAAAGUGACCUAAUAAAAAAAACUAGAAUCCUUUAUUUCACAACUGACGCGCCUUUUUUUCUUCUUCUUCUCUUUUCUCCUUAUGCAAAAAACGCCAACAUCCUUUUCUUUCUUUCUCUUCUCUUCUAUCCUUAACUCCUUUACUUCUCAUCCACGCUCAGGUAUGUAUUCUCCUCUUGUCUUUAUUUUUCUUCUCAGUUUAUUUUUAGUUAACAUACUUUAUGAAUUUGUUUUUAUUUUUUGUCUUCUCAACUUUACUCGUAACUAUAUUAAUUUUUUUUAUGUUUUUUUUUCAUUUUUCAUUUUUUUUUAAUUUGUUUUUGUUCAUAAUAAUUGUAUGAAUGUUGUUGUAGGAUUUUUUAUAUAUAUAUGAGAUCAAUUUUGUUGAAUUUUUUUUUUAUUUUGUUAUUUAAUUUCAAUUAAAUUAUUUAAUUUGUUGUUAGAUUAUGGGUUCUGAAAUAGAUUUUCUACGUUAGGUGGAAAUUGUUUUUAAUUUUUUUAUUUAUUUGUUGUUGUAUAUUUUUGUGUGUUAUUUAUUUGUUGUAAAUUUGUUUGAGUUGAUUUUCUUCUUUUUCUUUUCAAGCAACUUAGUUCCUGAGUAUUAUGAUGUGUUAAUUUAUAUUAAUUUAAUUAUUUUCUACUUAUGUUAAAUAGAUUUUUUUUUUAAAAUAAAUAAAUAAUUAUCAAUUGGAUUAAGUUCAUUGGUAUAUUUCAGAGAGUUGGGAAAAAAUUAUCGCAAAUAUCAUUGUGCCACUAUUUAAUAAUUGAUGGAAUUGCAUACGAUAUUUCUAUCGAUUAUAUGACAAGUUUCCUAAGAAAAAUAUCAACGGAAUAAGAUGAGUAAGUUUUUUUGUGCGUGCUUUUGUUGUUAGUAAAUCCAUCUGUUAAAUAAUUUUUUUAUUACCACCAAACCAAAAAGUUUUAUUAGUUUUCAUCCGUGAUCCCGUUAGUAAAUUCAUUUCCAACAGAAUAAUAGUAUAAGUACUAACAAAAAAUUAUGUCAAUAAAUAUAAGAAUUCUGAUAGCGCACAAGGCAAUGUGCUUGAUUUUUAUAUAUUUUAACAAUACUCUUACUUUUAAUUUUAUCAUAGUUUAUCUUUAAUCUCUAUCUCUCUCUCUCUCUCUCUAUAUAUAUAUAUAUAUAUAUAUAUAUAUAUAUAUAUAUAUAUAUAUAUAUAUAUAUAUAUAUAUAUAUAUAUAUAUAUAUAUACAUGUGAAGAAAUAAACUCAUGAAAACAUGGGCUUUGGAGUGAAAACUCAACAUUCAUAAAUUCUAGAUAAACAUUAAAUCCAAAUUGGAUUUAGAUUUAUGGUAUUGAGAAAGCCUAUUUAAAAGAUAAUUAAAUGAGAAAAUCAACCUUGAAAAAGUCUUGUUGACAAAUACACAUUUUAAAAAAACAAAAAGGAAAAAAAGUGAAAUUUCUUAUUAUAAAAAAAGGAAAUUUCCUUACUAGAAAUUUCAUAAAUGUAUCUCAAUAAAUAAAAGAAUAUCUUUCUCUAGAGAAAUCCAAAUUAUUUUAUCUUGGUGAAAGGAGAAAUCUAAGAAGGAGUUUUAUAACUUUGAUGUUUAUGACUUUUUCAUAAUUGACAACGUUGGGUGCAAAAGAGGGAAGAAGGAGAUUGAAUCAAACUUUUAUCAACAAUUGAGAAAUUCAACCUAAACAUAGUUUAUUCCUUAUUAUUUUCUUCCUUGUAUCUUUCACCAUGAAUGCGAUAAAGACUUUGGUUUGUAAUAAUAAUUUGAUUGCAGAUACUUUCCAGAGGGCAUUGAUCUGUACUUUGAAAAUGUUGGAGGAAAGAUAUUGGAUGUUGUUCUACUCAUCAACAUGAGGCUUUAUGGACGUAUUGCAGUGUGUGGGAUGAUUUCACAGUACACCAAAUUUGAUAAUCCUUGUUGCUACCCAAUUUUUGACCCAUAUUUUUGAUAUAUUUUCAAAAAAUCCAAAAAUAGAGAAAAACAAAGAAAAUCCAAAAAAUAUGUUUUUUUUUUAUAUAUUUUCUUAAUUUUAGCAUUUUCAACGUCGUCUAAAAAAGAAUUUAAAUUUUUCAGGGUCUUUCGAACGCGUUCGACUUUUCACGCGUCAUUUUUUAAAAUCAUUGAUUUUCCGUAUUUGAGUCGACGUUGAUAUUGCUCGUUUUCAAAAAAAAACAAAAAAAAAAACAAGAAAAAUCAAAAUUUUACAAAAAAAGAAAGUUGACCAAUUUUUGAAAACUUGGCAAUAUUUUUUGCCUAUAAAUACUGGUCUUAAACUCGCAUUCAAGGAGGGGUUUUCAUUUUUGCAAGGGGGCUAAUUUUGGAAACACCAGAAAAAUAAAAAAAAAAACCUAAACCUAUCUUCUCCCCCCACUUUUUUUUCAAGCAGUCGCCGGGCCCCCCUGGUCCAAGACCGUUAUUUUUCCAGCUGAAAAUCAGCAACUGAGCCCCCACCCAUGGUCUUCUUUUCCUUGUUUCCUGCCGACAUGGUGGCCCUCCUCAUAAUGAAAAAAACCCAUAUUUCUUCUGAUUCCCAGCUUUGCAAGGAGGGGGGGGGAAGACGUUGGAGCCAUUUUUUUUUCCGACGGGUCCCAAGAGCAGUGGGCAGAGACCCACGAUCCCCAGCCCCUGUUGAAUUUUCUCCUUUCUCCUUUUCUUCUCCAAAAACCAGAAGCCAAGACAGGCCCCCAACCUUGCAUUUUUUCUGAAGCCAGCCAUACGUCCCCCCCUUGCCAGCGCCGUUCCCUCAUUUUUUUCAACACACCCAAGCCAGCCCCUCACUUUUUGAAUUUUUGUUUCUUCUCCCUCAACCGGCCACAGUUUUUUUUUAUCUCCCCGUCAUCUCCCUCGAAGCCACACAAAUCCUCUCCCUUCUCCUCCAAAACCGAACAGCCCCUUUCCCGGAUUGAUUUUUUGUGCCCGAGACCCCCAUCUCACUUUCCCCCUCAGCAGCGUCUUCUUCGCCGGCGAUCUCUUCAGCCCGAACACAGCGGUGCUCACGGACCCAUAUCUGUCCGUCGUCUCCUCCUCCUCCAGACCAUCAGCGGCGUCUUCCAAUGGCAGCAGCUCCUCGUCUCCACCCAGUGCUUUCUCCUUCAAUCGAUCGCCAUCAGCAACACCACAGAUUUUCCCAUCUUCGGGCCCCCGCAGCAGCUCCAGCCUCCAGCCCCCCGCCGUCCGAAGAUCCAGCAACCAGCAGAGGAACGAAAACAGAGGCGAGAUCGAUCUGAAGAAGGAAAAGAACCGAUCUGCUUCUGCAGAUAAAAAAGAAGCAGAUCUGUAACGGGAAGAAAAAAAUUAAAAUCGACUGGAUGUGGGGUUUUGUUUGAGAUUUGCAGGUGACAGACAGUAGGGGAUUGAAGAGAGGAAUAAGCCAUUAUAGCCCCCCCCAUUUUCGGUUGUUUUUACGGCGGCGCGUGGACCCACGCGCCGCCAGUGGCGGUGGUGCGUGAGGUCCACGCGCCGCACUGUUACCGAGCCCAGAAACCAUGACGAACACUGUUCCCGCUGCAGAAGUCCCUCCUUGAAAUUUUUAGAACUUUAGGGACUGUUUCUUGUAACUUGUAAAUUAAUUAAUGUAAUUUUUAUUUAUUUAUUUUGAAGUUGUAUUUGUAUUUUUAUUGGGAUGUAAAAGAAAAAGAAAAGAAAAAUGAAUAAUAAAAAGAAAGUUGUGUGUGUGUUUGUAUUUUUUUAUUUAUAUUAUUGAAUUAAAAAAAAACAAAAGGAAUUAAUUGUUAAUUUAAAUAUGGUUAAAUAUCUUAAGGACAAAUAAAAUCAAGUUGUAUUUUCCACGAAAAUGUAAGAACAAGUUUUUUUACAUAUAUUUGGGGAUUUAAUAACUGAUUUAUUCAAGCCUUAGAAUUUAAUUAAUAUUGACAAAAAUAAUUUAUUGUUAAUUUAAAUAUGGUUAAAUAUCUCAAGGACAAAUAAAAUCAAGUUGUAUUUUCCACGAAAAUGUAAGAACAAGUUUUUUACAUAUAUUCGGGGAUUUAAUAACUGAUUUAUUCAAGCUUUAGAAUUUAAUUAAUAUUUUAAAUUUUCUUAAAUAUGGUUAAAUAUCUCAAGGACAAAUAAAAUCAAGUUGUAUUUUCCAUGAAAAUGUAAGAACAAGUUUUUACAUAUAUUCGGGGAUUUAAUAACUGAUUUAUUCAAGCCUUAGAAUUUAAUUAAUAUUUUAAAUUUUCAAAUCACAUCAGAAACAAAGCAGCUUACCUCAGGUAGGGUGUGUUAGGGGUGCUAAUACCUUCCCUAACCACAACCAGUCCCUUACCCGCGAUCUCUAAUAAGACCAGUACAUCAGGUUUCCUAGUAGCCCUCAAUAAAUUACUAGGUGGCGACUCCCACGAACGAAUUCAAAGCAAACGCAAAAACAAGAUUUAAAUCGCUAACCGAUGCCGCGCGCUUAGGAUUUUUUUUGGGGUGCGACAGGAUGGCGACUCCACUGGGGACGGGUAUUGUUUUCAACUUUAUCGGACUAAGCUUUGUGUUUUGAUGUGUUCAAUUUUUUUUCGAGUGUUUUGUUUUAUUUAUUUGUGUUUUAUUCAUACAUUGUAUAUAUUUCUCUCAUGCAUCACAAGUUUUAAUUUUUGAAAGCACACACCAGCUUUAGGUUAGGUGGGGGACUAGCAGCUUACCUUACGACUUGAGUCAAGGUUUAAGUUUGUGUAAACCCCAACUCUUUGUUGAGUGCUUAGACUGGUAAUAGUUGGACACGUGCCAACCAAUUACCUACUGGGCCCCUAUAUUGCCUUUACGAAGGCGAUCACUGGGACAACAAGAGACCCUUUUAGAGACCAAGUAGCAAACCUACCAUGUCUCACGUAAAAUGAAUAGAGCCUGUCUUUAGAUGUAUGUGCUAUUGUUUUGCAUCCGAGCAAACCCUUCUUGAAGCAUCUUGAACUCAAGACUUGUGGGUGACACAUUGGCCGUCACCGAAAAUUUUCAUUGUAGAGUUUGGGCAAAAAUCACGAUUCUUGUCCAUCAUACAAGAGUUACGACCAUAUUGUCACCCCUCGAAGGGUGAGUUCGUCAUAUAGAUUACAUAUUCAUACAUUUAUCAUGCAUGUACCGGGUUGAAAAGUAGGUUCCCCCGCACAAGCUGUGCUGCAGUGAUUGAAGAAAGGAUGGAAGUGAAGAAAGAUGUCAGAUAGAGGCUCAUUAUCAGUUUGAGUUUGAGAGCAUCAAAGUGAAUAGCUGGACUCAGAUCUGCUCGAACAAGUGUUGAGCAUCAAAUGGAAAGAGAAUGUCUGCACAGUCUUCUGUGGGAACACUGCUUGUCCACGUCCAAUUGAAGCUGCCUCUCCUUUUCAGUCAUGAACAACAGCACAAUGCCUUCAGUCAUCAACUAAUGACAACUCUGUUCUUGUCCAGUUGCACUGUUAAGUGUUCAUCGCCUCCACAUCAUCUAAUGGAACCAAACGACUACUAGCCUCCUGUACAUGGUGCAUUAGUCUGCUUUGAAGUUACCCCAAUUAUGAGCUCAAUUCCAGUUCAGCAGCACAAGAUGUUGGUCUGAAAAACCAUGAUCAGACACUGAACUUCUACGUGGUAGAGCUCUCUCUGUAGAGAUUUAUUUGUGGAUCUGCCAAUGGAAAUGCAAAAGGGAUGUAUUAAUUUCAUAUGCUUUGAAACUUUUUCCCACCAGUGGCACAAGCAAAACAUUGUAGUAGGCAGAGUAGUUAGGCCUAGUCUGAAAAUAUGAGCAGUCGUCGAACUUCAACGUGGCAGAGCUCUUUCUACAAAAAUCUGUUUAUGAUGCUGCAAGUUGAGAGUGCAAGAGGGGAUUUAUAAGUUGCAUAUGCUACAAAUAUUUCUCUCAUCAGUUUCAGCACGAAGACCUUUUAGUAGGUUGAAGAGCCAGACCUGGUCUGAAAAAUACGAGCAGACAUCAAACUUCAACGUAGCAGAGCUCUCUCAGCAGGAAUCUGUUUGUGGAUCCGCAAGUGGGAAAUCCAAGAAGGAAUACAGUAGUUUCAGAUCAUCUAUGAUUUUCCUCCAACAAUGUCGGCAUUAAAACUCAAAAGUAGAGAGAAGAGACAUGCCUAGACUGAAAAACAUGAAGAAUACUGAAACUUCAACAGAGCAGGACUUCCUCUAUAGGUGUUUGUUUGCUGCACUGUUAGAUGGAAUUCGAAGAGGGGACAAAGGAGUUUCAAAUUCAUCAGGUGCUCUUCCAAUAGAGACAAUGUGUGAUUCCACACGUCGGUAGUGGCGAUACUACAAGUUUCUGGGCGCUGCCAAGAUUACCAAGCUGUUGGAAAGUUUUCUAACAAUCCUCAACCAACCACAACAACAUUGGAAGAUUGAAAUGAUGUUGUGAGGAUUUGCCGAAGAAUUGAACAAGCUAUGAAAAGAGGAAAGAUUGAAGGAUCUGCCAUGGAUUCCAGAACAAUGAUGAGAGGUGAAUCAGGAGAUGACUUUGACGGUGUGAACCCUUAAUUAUGUGGUAUAGCCAGGUCUCACGGUAGCAUCAAUUGCUCAAAUGUCUUUGCCAAGAUGGGACAUUCCUCUGCCAUUUAAGUUUGUCGACCAGCAUCUGCCAGAUUCCAGAAUUUUGCUUGACUCCGACAAAUCCCAUGCAACCACCAAUUUCUAGGUGGUAUAAUCCAGAUAAGAGAUGUGAUGUCAUUGUGGGGUCCUCAACCAUUUCAAGUGAACAUUUCAAGAAUUGCAAGAAUUGAGUCUGAAAGUUGGUGAGCAAGAGACAAGUGGAGUCGGUGAAGGAGGGUGUCAUUGGCUAUAUUGUCCCCGAACAUCUUCAGAAUGACAUGUUGAUCGAAAGUGCUUGGCAAAACAAAUAUUGCCAGAAAAGCUGAUUCAAGAAUGGUGAUGAACAGUCAAUCAUAUUGUUUUGGAAUUCUGCAUUUUGUUUUGGGAUCACAUCUCAUCCUUCAACGAAACAUGCCUUGCUUUUGUCUUUUGUUGUUUUGAAAUCAACAGAUGUUUAACUUUUUCUGAAAAAUAUUUUGAUCAAACUCCAACAUGCGAUAAAGGUUAAUCAAUCCUGAAGAUUAAAAGUGUUUUGAUUGCAGAAAUGACUCGAUUCUUGUUGAAAUGACAUGAGGUGACCAAACAAUUUUGAACUCACACUUAAACUGAACCACACAUCAUAUAGCUAAGUUUUAGCAGUAUGCAUAAUGACAUGUAGUGGUUUGGUAGUUAUGGACUCGUGAAUCAUGACUCUUACAAGUCCAAAUCAUUACACUAGAUGAGGUCAAAAUUUAUCGGUUCUAACCGACCUUGCUUGAAAUGAGAAAAGGCCAUCUUUGAUAUCCUUCACUUUCUAAAAAUUAUAUCCUUUGUAGUCCCAUUUUGAGCUGGUAAAUAUUUUUUUCAAAAAAACCCUGACUAGGAUCACACCCCACACUGGGGGCAAAUGAGAAUAUUUUGGAGACAUUAUAAAUAAUGGAUAAAGGGGAAGGCUUAGAACAAAAGUCCAAUGUUUAAGAAAGGGCUAGAAGAAGAAAAUCCAUAGAUUGAGGGCCAUCCAAGAAAAACUUUGAGGAAGGCUAUGCAAAAAAAAAAAAGAAAUGGAAAAGGAAUGUCUAUCAAUUCUAAGAGAGGCAAGGCAGUUUUCAAUUGAGAAAAGACAAUAAAUGCCAAAAGUCAACACUAGAAAAAUCGAUGCUUCAUAUCUUUUGGUGUGUCUAGGAUAAAGCCUCUAAUGUCUUCAAAUUGUUUUAGAUUGGUUAUUCAUCAAAGAAAAAGUUGGAUUACGACCUAUGUUAAGAGAAUUCUGAUAUUUGAGAUUAACAAGGUUAUAUGUCACUUUCUCUACAAUGACGACAAGAGAAAGAGAAUCGAUGAAUAGUUAAUGUUGAUCCUAGGUCGUUGAAACCCUCAAACACCUUUUGAGCCUUUGAAAUUCUUUUCUUUCAUAGCCAUGAACCAUAGCCUGCAUUACAUGCUUUUAAAAGCCCUUUUUAAUCAAGCAAGCAAUUUGAAUCGAUAAAUGGCGCUCUCAAAACUUGAAGAGUUUUUCCAUAAGGGUCGUGACUUCAUGAAUUAAGCUACUGGUUAUUAUGCAUGCUGAUAAAAUAAAUGCUAAGAAAAGAAACAACCUUUCUUGAUAAAGCCUGAGCAUCUUGUUUUUGAAAUUCAUAAAAAUGUCACCUCAUCACAGACCAUCAAAAGAUAUACCCAAAAUCAGAGUUUAAAGUGGACACAAAGAACCAUGAAAAAGUCAUUUUAAAUCUUACAACGGGUCAUUUUGUUUUCAAAUACAAGACAAUCAAAGGACUGCAUUGAAUAGUGUGUUGGGUCUUUGACCAAAGAAGUUUGAAUUUCAAAAAAAUUUUCAAAAACAGACAUCUCUCUGAUUUCAUUUCAACAAUUUAGACUUGAAUAGACAUGAUCGUUGAAAUGUGAGAUUUGAUUCCAGAACAAGAAAGAUUUUCAACAAAAAGAACAUCAUUGAGUUUGCAAAAUCCUUGACAAAAAUGACAUCAACAUUUCUCGACACUCCUUGAAAGGUUGACCACCCGGGGGCAAUACAGUGGACCCUUAGAAGAAAAACAAACAGCAUUCUAAUCAGCUGGGGGCAAAGAAAGAAUCAAAUGAUGAGUCGUCAAAGUUCAUCAAAGUUAUGUUUAACAUCUGACAAUGACGAGGAAAAACCUUCUUGAGUUAUACUCCGAUGAACGAACCUCCAUAUCAUAUUGGGGGCAAUGUUGUUCAAAGACAAUCCAUGAUCUAGUGCACUUCAGUAGCAAUUGAUGAGCAACGCUGCACUAGAAGGAUAUUUUCAUAUCUUCAUCUUGGUUUAUCAUCUUCAACAUGGUUAUGACCUUUGAACGAUGUUAUCACAUAGUUGCAUGUGCAUGAAUGCUGGAAGGAUGCACCCACCAAGACUGAUUGUGGGACCAUUUGUUUGGAACUCAAAUGCACACUUCACCGCAGGAAUAUGGGUGAUAACAUGAACAUCAUUGAUGAUGCCAAAGCAGUUAUUUUCACGAUCAGAUUUGACAAGCUAGGAGGAAUCCAUAGAGAAAUACAUCACGCUUACAACGAUGAGUCUUUCCUUGAAAAGUAUGAGAUGCAUGUCGGAAUGAUGUGGCAGUUCCAUGAUUAUGGAUGACUACAUAUACUUGAAUGGUGUUUCAGCCGAAGGCAAGUUCAUGACUGAUUAACAAUCUUGAUGGGUGUUGGCAUGAUGCACACAAUCAACCAGAGGAUAAUUCUCAGAAGAAGCCAGGAGAGAAAAUCCUUCAUGAUGAAUCAAGCAGUACCACACUUGGGGGCAUUGUCAAACGUAAUGAACGAUGCAAGCAGUAAUUGUCGAAGACAACCCGGGAUGGGCACUGCAUUUACAACUGAAUAAUGGCCAGUACAUGAAUGAGUCAAUGCAUCGAAAGAACAAGACCACUUCAUAUUUUUUUCCAUCUGGGUAGGUCACCCAUUACAAUGAGACCGCACUUCACAUUCUUUCUAUCUGGGUAGGUCGCCCAUCACAACGAGACCACUUCAUCAUAUUUUUUCCAUCUGGGUAGGUCACCCAUUACAAUGAGACCACACUUCAUAUUUUUUCCAUUUUUGGGUAGGUCACCCAUUACAAUGAGACCGCACUUCAUAUUCUUUCUAUUUGGGUAGGUCGCCCAUCACAACGAGACCACUUCAUCAUUUUUUCCAUCUGGGUAGGUCACCCAUUAUAAUGAGACCACACUUCACAUUUUUUCCAUCUUGGGUAGGUCACCCAUCACAAUGAGACCGUCAUCUUUUCUGGGUAGGUCACCCAAAGAAUGAGACCAUUCUCCAUCUUUUUUUUUACCUGGGUAGGUCACCCAUAAGAAUGAGGCCAUUCCUCCCCCUGGGUAGGUCACCCAAAGAAUGAGACCACUCUUCCUUUUUCCACUUGGGUAGGUCACCCAUCACAAUGAGACCACCAUUUUUUCUGGGUAGGUCACCCAAAGAAUGAGACCAUUCUCCAUCUUUUUUUUACCUGGGUAGGUCACCCAUAAGAAUGAGGCCAUUCCUCCCCCUGGGUAGGUCACCCAAAGAAUGAGACCACUCUUCCUUUUUCCACUUGGGUAGGUCACCCAUCACAAUGAGACCACAUUUUUCUGGGUAGGUCACCCAAAGAAUGAGACCAUUCUCCAUUUUUUUUUUACCUGGGUAGGUCACCCAUAAGAAUGAGGCCAUUCCUUCCCCUGGGCAGGUCACCCAAAGAAUGAGACCACUCUUUCCCCUUUCCACUUGGGUAGGUCACCCAUCACAAUGAGACCACCAUUUUUUCUGGGUAGGUCACCCAUUAGAAUGAGACCAUUCUCCAUCUUUUUUUUUUACCUGGGUAGGUCACCCAUAAGAAUGAGGCCAUUCUUCCCCCUGGGUAGGUCACCCAAAGAAUGAGACCACUCUUCCUCCUUUCCAUUGGGGUUCGUCACCCAUACAAUUAGACCAUCAUUUUUCUGGGGUUCGUCACCCAUACAAUGAGACCAUUUUUCACACAUUCUUUUGUUUUGGUUAAAUGAGGUCGCCAGAUGGGAUCUCGGGUAGCUUUGGUUAAAGGGAAUCGCCAGAUGGGAUUUCAGGUUAAUCGAGUUACACAAUAUUUUUGUUCCAGUUGAAUGAGGUCGCCAGAUGGGAUCUCAUGUAGCUUUGGUUAAAGGGAAUCUCCAUUGGGGUUUCGGGUUGACCGAGCUACACGCAUUCUUUGGUUUUGGUAAAGGAGGUCGCCAGAUGGGAUCUCAGGUUAACAAAAAAAAUAUAUUGAGCAAACAGAAAGACAAGUUUUUCUUUACAAAGCUUACUAUGCAAAACAUCGAGGAUUUUUGCUUCGUAAGCAUUGUAAAGAGGGGGCAUCUGUUGCUACCCAAUUUUUGACCCAUGUUUUUGAUAUAUUUUCAAAAAAAUCCAAAAAUAGAGAAAAACAAAGAAAAUCCAAAAAAAUAUGUUUUUAUAUAUUUUCGUAUUUUAGCAUUUUCAACGUCGUCUAAAAAAUUUAAAAUUUUUCAAGGGUCUUUCGAACGCGUUCGACUUUUCACGCGUCAUUUUUAAAAUCAAUUGAUUUUCGUAUUUGAGUCGACGUUGAUAUUGCUCGUUUUCAAAAAAAAACAAAAAAAACAAGAAAAAUCAAAAUUUUACAAAAAAAGAAAGUUGACCAAUUUUUGAAAACUUGGCAAUAUUUUUUGCCUAUAAAUACUGGUCUUAAACUCGCAUUCAAGGAGGGGUUUUCAUUUUUGCAAGGGGGCUAAUUUUGGAAACACCAGAAAAAUAAAAAAAAAAACCUAAACCUAUCUUCUCCCCCCACUUUUUUUUCAAGCAGUCGCCGGGCCCCCCUGGUCCAAGACCGUUAUUUUUCCAGCUGAAAAUCAGCAACUGAGCCCCCACCCAUGGUCUUCUUUUCCUUGUUUCCCGCCGACAUGGUGGCCCUCCUCGUAAUGAAAAAAACCCAUAUUUCUUCUGAUUCCCAGCUUUGCAAGGAGGGGGGGGGGGAAGACGUUGGAGCCAUUUUUUUUUCCGACGGGUCCCAAGAGCAGUGGGCAGAGACCCACGAUCCCCAGCCCCUGUUGAAUUUUCUCCUUUCUCCUUUUCUUCUCCAAAAACCAGAAGCCAAGACAGGCCCCCAACCUUGCAUUUUUUCUGAAGCCAGCCAUACGUCCCCCCCUUGCCAGCGCCGUUCCCUCAUUUUUUUCAACACACCCAAGCCAGCCCCUCACUUUUUUGAAUUUUUGUUUCUUCUCCCUCAACCGGCCACAAUUUUUUUUAUCUCCCCGUCAUCUCCCCCAAGCCACACAAAUCCUCUCCCUUCUCCUCCAAAACCGAACAGCCCCUUUCUCGGAUUGAUUUUUUGUGCCCGAGACCCCCAUCUCACUUUCCCCCUCAGCAGCGUCUUCUUCCGCGCGCGAUCUCUUCAGCCCGAACACAGCGGUGCUCACGGACCCAUAUCUGUCCGUCGUCUCCUCCUCCUCCAGACCAUCAGCGGCGUCUUCCAACGGCAGCAGCUCCUCGUCUCCACCCAGUGCUUUCUCCUUCAAUCGAUCGCCAUCAGCAACACACAGAUUUUCCCAUCUUCGGCCCCCGCAGCAGCUCCAGCCUCCAGCCCCCGCCGUCCGAAGAUCCAGCAACCAGCAGAGGAACGAAAACAGAGGCGAGAUCGAUCUGAAGAAGGAAAAGAACCGAUCUGCUUCUGCAGAUCAAAAAGAAGCAGAUCUGUAACGGGAAGAAAAAAAUUAAAAUCGACUGGAUGUGGGGUUUUGUUUGAGAUUUGCAGGUGACAGACAGUAGGGGAUUGAAGAGAGGAAUAAGCCAUUAUAGCCCCCCCCAUUUUCGGUUGUUUUUACGGCUCGUCUCCACCCAGUGCUUUCUCCUUCAAUUGAUCGCCAUCAGCAACACCACAGAUUUUCCCAUCUUCGGGCCCCCACAGCAGCUCCAGCCUCCAGCCCCCCGCCGUCCGAAGAUCCAGCAACCAGCAGAGGAACGAAAACAUAGGCGAGAUCGAUCUGAAGAAGGAAAAGAACCGAUCUGCUUCUGCAGAUAAAAAAGAAGCAGAUCUGUAACGGGAAGAAAAAAAUUAAAAUCGACUGGAUGUGGGGUUUUGUUUGAGAUUUGCAGGUGACAGACAGUAGGGGAUUGAAGAGAGGAAUAAGCCAUUAUAGCCCCCCCCAUUUUCGGUUGUUUUUACGGCGGCGCGUGGACCCACGCGCCGCCAGUGGCGGUGGUGCGUGAGGUCCACGCGCCCACUGUUACCGAGCCAGAAACCAUGACGAACACUGUUCCCGCUGCAGAAGUCCCUCCUUGAAAUUUUUAGAACUUUAGGGACUGUUUCUUGUAACUUGUAAAUUAAUUAAUGUAAUUUUAUUUAUUUAUUUUGAAGUUGUAUUUGUAUUUUUAUUGGGAUGUAAAAGAAAAAGAAAAGAAAAAUGAAUAAUAAAAAGAAAGUUGUGUGUGUGUUUGUAUUUUUUUAUUUAUAUUAUUGAAUUAAAAAAAAAACAAAAGGAAUUAAUUGUUAAUUUAAAUAUGGUUAAAUAUCUUAAGGACAAAUAAAAUCAAGUUGUAUUUUCCACGAAAAUGUAAGAACAAGUUUUUUUACAUAUAUUUGGGGAUUUAAUAACUGAUUUAUUCAAGCCUUAGAAUUUAAUUAAUAUUGACAAAAAGAAUUUAUUGUUAAUUUAAAUAUGGUUAAAUAUCUCAAGGACAAAUAAAAUCAAGUUGUAUUUUCCACGAAAAUGUAAGAACAAGUUUUUUACAUAUAUUCGGGGAUUUAAUAACUGAUUUAUUUAAGCUUUAGAAUUUAAUUAAUAUUUUAAAUUUUCUUAAAUAUGGUUAAAUAUCUCAAGGACAAAUAAAAUCAAGUUGUAUUUUCCAUGAAAAUGUAAGAACAAGUUUUUUACAUAUAUUCGGGGAUUUAAUAACUGAUUUAUUCAAGCCCUAGAAUUUAAUUAAUAUUUUAAAUUUUCAAACCACAUCAGAAAACAAAGCAGCUUACCUCAGGUAGGGUGUGUUAGGGGUGCUAAUACCUUCCCUAACCACAACCAGUCCCUUACCCGCGAUCUCUGAUAAGACCAGUACAUCAGGUUUCCUAGUAGCCCUCAAUAAAUUACUAGGUGGCGACUCCCACGAACGAAUUCAAAGCAAACGCAAAAACAAGAUUUAAAUCGCCAACCGAUGCCGCGCGCUUAGGAUUUUUUUUGGGGUGCGACAAUCCUGAUGGCAUACACAACCUGAUCAACAUCAUUCUGAAACGUGUUCGCAUAGACGGAUUCCUAGUUUUGGAUUACUAUCAUCUGUACCCCAAGUAUCUGAAAAUGAUUUAUAUAUCAUGGGACAACAUUUUGAACUCUUCCUAACAAAUAAAAAAAAAAAUAGUGCAGUGAUGAAAAAAAUAUCAACUACUCUCUUAGAUUCUUUCUUUAAUCAAUAGUGCAGUGAUGAAAAAAAUAUAGUUUUGCUUGAACUCUUCCUAACAAAUAAAAAUUUAUAUAUCAUGGGACAACAUUUUGAAAAUUCUUAUUCCAUAAAGAUAUUUUUAUGGACAAGAGUAACAAAUAAUAUUCUAAAAUGUAAUCCACUAUGUAUUUAUACCUAAAUAUCAGUUUUUUAAAUAAGUUUAUAACAUUAUAAUUUAUCUAUAAAAAGUCUUAUAACUUAUCUAAGACAUUAUGUGAGAAGAAAAAAGACUUUAAAUUUGUAUAUAUAAAGCCUACAAUAUUUUAUUAAUUCACUUGUUAAGAUUCAUGUUGUGCAACAAAUAAUAUCUAAUACAACCACGCAGCCCAUUAGUCCAAUAAUUUUGCUACCUAAAAAAAUACUAUAUUUAUUUAGUGAUCAUACACAACAAGAUGAUAAUAUCAUAGCUAAGUGGGCAUAAAGUAGGGAGUUUCUUAAACCAAUCCUUCAACUAAUUGAGAUCAUGAGGUGAGAACUUUUGCAUAUCCAUGCUUUUCCAUAGGCUGACCGCCCAAAUCAAAAAAGCUUUCCACUGCUGCCUUGUAGAAAAUCUCAUUGAACCAUGACGGGGAUGACGAAGCAGAUGAUAUGGUGGUGAAGGUAUCGUUCUAUCGCUUUCAACUUCGGACUCUUCAAAUGAAGUCUCGUAGUUGUAAAUGUCAUGAUCCAACACUGGAUUUUGAUCGAAGCUGUUCCAUCCAAAUGGAAAUGUCUCUAUCACAUGGAUCCCACAUCGUACCACUUUAGUGUUUUCGGACCUCGAUAUCACAUGUAGUUCCAAUUCAUCAUCUCCACAAUAUUUUUCCAUUGCCAUCUCACGUGUACUUAUGAGUCUUAGCCACCUACCACGGCAAUAGGGUCGUGCAUGUGUAGCUUCGAACAAUGGAAUACCGUUUCUUUUAUUUUUUAUAAUAGCCUUGUAUUCUUGAUACCCAACACCUGAACAUACAGCCCAAAUGAGCAAGCCUUGGAAAACUGGAGGUAUAUGAAAUGAUAAUGAACUCCCUUCUCCACGGUAGCUAAACCAUUUUGGAAUCAUACAACAAUCGAAGGGUCUGUCAUAGUGAGAAUUGAAGAUUCUCUGCAUAAAUAUUGAAUUCAAGGAAUGCUGAGAUUUUAAACACUGAUUAAUGUUUGUGUGUGCCAAUUAGAUGUUUAUUUGUGUGCAAGAGGGACAAAAAUAGUACCUGAAGAAGCCAACCCGUAGUAUAUUUUGAUAAAUCACUCAGACCUUGCUUGCCGUCAAUCUCAAAGAAAUUGUACAGCGAAUAUUGAGACAGAUAUGGUGGUGUAGGUAUUACUGUAUCUCCUUCAACUUCAGACUCAUGAUCCCACUGUGACCCUUCAAAUGAAUCUGUCUUUUCAACGAUCACAUGGAUCCCACAUUCAAACACUUCAGCGUCUUCUCCCAUAUAAAGUUCCACGCAUAGUUCCAAUUCCUCAUCUUCACAAUAUUCUUCCUUUGCCAUCUCACUUGUACGUAUGUAUGUCAUCAAAUUUCUAACGACCGGUUCACAUACGUAUGCUUCAAACAAUUGAAUACCGUUGCUUUUAUUUUUUAUACACAAUUUGGCGGUACAAAUAAGACCUAUCAAGCGUUGACAGACAACCCCAACGACCAAGCCUUGGAAAACUGGAGGUAUAUGAAAUGAUAAUGAACUUCCUUUUCCUCGGUAGCUGAACCAAUUUGGAAUCAUAGUGAACUUGUCUCUGUGGCUGAACGUAGAACAACGAUUGAAGAGAAUUUGAUACCCAUAACCACCGUAGCACAAUGCCUGUGUGUGUAUGUAUAUUGAUUUCAAGGAAUGCUGAAUAUUAGACAUUAAUUAAUGAAUAUAUAGUAUGUGCCAAUUAUGUGCUUAUUUGUGUGCAAGAGAGACAGAAAUAGUACCUCACCAAGACUUCUCUUAUAAUUAUUUGAUGACUUGUAGUUGGGAACAGAGCGAAUAAUCCAGCCAUGAUUACUUAGACCUUCCAUGCCUUGAAUCUCUAUUAAAUCCGGACAACAAAACAGAUCCAGAUUUAGAUAUUUUUUUGCUUGGAUUGGUAGUCUUACCCAUUGCAUUGACUCGCAACCAUAUGCAUCCAAAUGUUCUAAAUUUGAGGGAAGCUCUGAGAUUGAUACAAGAUUGCUGCAAAGCGCAACCCUCAAAAGCCGCAGCUUAGAAAGGAUGAUGAUGCCAGAAGGCAGACCGAAGAACUUGUUUCUUGAUAGAUCCAACUCUUCGAGAGAUGACAAACCUCCAAAAUCAACAGCAUUAGUUGCACGUUCAGACAAACCAUAAUUAACAAGUUUUAGCUUUCCCAAUACUCUCCAAAUAGUGGAAGUUGGAGCUAGCAGAAAAGCUGAAAUCCAAGAAGAAUUUGGUGAAGGCUGAUAUGGUAAGUUCCAGUUGCAGUGUCCGCGCAAUGACAACUUCCUCACAUAGUUUAAAUGUCCAACUGAAGAGAGAAAUUGCUCGUUGUUAAUUCCAUCUGCUAGAAGCUCAGUGAAGGACUCAAUAUCACCCAUACACUCCGGCAACUCCUUAAGUUCUGAACACCCCGAAAUAUUCAAACACACAAGAGACUUUGAAUGUCCAAUAGAUUGAUGUACCUCAACUAAACUUGAGCAACCUUCAAGAAGUAGUUUCCUUAGACUUGAACUGUGCACGUUUGGUGUUUUAACAAGCCUCUUUGAAUAACUGAGAUCAAGAAUCUUUAGAUUGUUGAGAAUCUGUCAGAGCAGUGAGGAAAAUUAUUAACAAGUAAUCAUCAAAAGUUGUAACUUGUAAAAUAUAAAUUACAUAAUAAACAACUUUCUGGCCAUUUUGGUAUGUUUAGCACCAUUUUUUCCUUCCAUAGUUCUCUGAUGUUACUGUACUUCAUAUCAAUAACAACCACGUAGUCCGGUGUAAAAUCAAAUGGCAAAAAUUCCAAAGGACAUUCAAGCCAACAAAUCCAAGUCAACACUUUAGAAAGCCGUUUGAAAGAUCCGGUGAGAUCUACUCCAUCGAUUUGCAGUAAUUUUAAGUUUUUCAUUUUUGCAAAUGAUCCUGUGCUUAGUGAUUUGUCUUCUGAUCUUCUCACAUCCAGUGCAAGGCCCUGUACAACUUCUGUUCCCUAAGAAAGCAAAAAGAAAAAAUCAAUAGAACUUUCAAAUGAUUGUUUGUAAUAAGUUUGACAAGAAAGAUGCAAAUGAAUGUGCUUUUCUGUAUGCAUUGAGUUCUUACCAUCUGCAUCUUGAGUACUUUCCACGCCUCCUCUUGACACCAAAUUCUGCUCCUUUGUGCAGGAUAUUCAGGUGACUCAUCCUUAACGAUCCCCCUUCCCAUCUCUCGUAAUAGAUCAUGCAUACUAAUCGUUCCAGAAUCAUCAACUUUAAUCAGAGAUCUUUCAAUGAGAGUUCCGAAAUCAUCUUCUGGAUUGCAACCAUAACGUCCUUCUAGCACUUCUGCUACGUAUUCUUUCUGUCCACCAAUAAAGAAGCAUGCAAUAUCAAGAAAUGUAUUCUUUAGAUUUGGGGCUUUCAGUGAGUCAAAACUUAUUCUAAGCCUUUCUUGAAUAGCAUGCUCUGGAAUUCUUCUCAAUCUGUCAAUUACAGAUUCCCAUCUAGCUUUCUUUUUCCCAAUCAAACAAGAACCUAAAACCUCAAGAGCCAUAGGAAGUCCUCCACAGUAUUCAACUACAUCAUUAGAAAGCUCAACAUAAUCUUUUGCUUGCUUGGCGUCCCUAAACGCAUGCUGACAGAAAAGCUGAAGGGACUCAUCUGGGUUCAGUUCUUGAACCUGGUAUCUUUGAUCAGCUUCAAGAAGUAAGCGUUCAUCUCUAGUUGUAAUUAUCACCCUGCUUCCGGGACCAAACCAGCUUCGCUCUCCCAUCAAAGCAUUUAAUUGGUCCAGAUGAUCCACAUCAUCAACAACAAUAAGAACUCUUUUGCGGCAGACUCGUUCUUUAAUCAGAACCUUUCCUCUAUCAACAUUAUUGAUCUUCUCAGUAUUUUGUCUUAAAAUAUCAUGAAGUAGUUGUUGUUGUAGAAGAACCAAAUCAUUAGGUUCUGAUUUUUCUUUGACAUUCAAAAGAAAAGAGAUUCCCUCGAAUCCAUAUCCACAGUCAUAGCAGAGUUGAUUAAAUACAACUUUUGCUAUAGUCGUCUUUCCUAUUCCUGGCAUCCCAUGUAAGCCCACAAUGCGUACAUCAUCUGUUGCAGUACUUAGGAAGUGAAAAAUAUUGUGAGCAAGCGGAUCAAUACCUACUAGGUGCUUAGGAACAUGUAAGUACUUGGGGUCCAAUUUAGUCAGCACAUCCUUGAUAAUCUCUUGGAUAAAUUUUGCUUCACGCCUGUUCAUAGACAAGAGCAAGUCAUUAGUCAUUAAUAGCGAGACAAUUAAGUAUGUUCAAAAAGUAUUUUAUUGUUUCACAUUGUAAAAUAAGUAAUCUAUAAUGACUCCAUAUAUAAAUGUGUGGAAGUGAAUCUUAUAGAUAAAAGGCAUACCCAUUUGCCAUAUCUUUGAGAUUCCAACCAGAUAGAUUUCCUGCCUCUUCAAGAGCUUCUCUCCACUCCUUCACCUUCUCUUUGUAACGUUCUUCAUGCUUAACAAAUGCUUCUGCAAAACUGCCGGUCUGUUUUCUGACAUUUGAAGGAUCGAUGUCAUAGAAUAUAGGAAGAGCAAUUUGACCAGUUUUCCUAUAUUUACACUUUAGAAUCUCCACAAGUUCAUCAAGACACCAUCUAGAAGCAUAUCCUUUUGAGAAGACCACUAUAGAUAUCUUUGAUUCUUGAAUUGCCUCGAGGAGAUGUUGGGAGAUUUCUUUUCCUCUAGGAAGUUCAUCAUCAUCUCGAAAAGUGUGGAUUCCUGCUUGGACUAAGGCAGUAUAUAGAUGAUCUGUAAAUGUCUUGCGAGUAUCUUCUCCUCUAAAACUCAAAAAGACAUCAUAGGCCCCUUGUGGUCUAGAUGGAGAAGAAUCUGGCUCUGUCAUGGCAGCUGCAGAAAUUAAGGCACGAUUAAUUAAUUAGCAAUGAAGCGAUUGCAGGAGGUAUCUGCUAUCUUGCAAUUAGAACUAGUAAGGGAUACAUGUGAAGUGAUCAUCAAAGACAACAAACAGAGAGCAUAAAACAAUAGCAUAAAAUGCUGAGUAGGAAUUUCAACGCAAUUACUAUUAGAGAGUAAGGUAAGAAAAUCAUUCAUUCAUUGAGUUUCACCUAAUACUUCAAGUUUAACAAACAGAGAGCAUAAAACAAUAGCAUUUAAAAAGCUUACUGAGGUCCGCUUUUCUUCUCUUUCGCGAGGAUGAAUCAUUUUCUUCAUCUUUGGAUUGCUUGCGUUUUUCUUUCGGCAUUCUAAAAUGGAAUGAUCUUGUUCUAGAAGACAUGCAAGGAAUUAACUCAAUAAACUCAUCAAUGAUGUCUAUCUGAACAUAAAGCUUUCAAAUUAUUGUUAUGAGUAAAGACAUGAAAUUAAAACAAGAAAGAAGCAAAGAAGAGGCUGAUCUAUAUGUUGGGCGGAAUCCGGGACCGGUGAUGUACUAAUCUUUGCUCAUAGGAGGGGUAAGCACACUGAGACAAUAUUUAACGUGAUUCGGCAAAUUACCUACAUCCACGGGAGAGAUCAAUAUUAUUAGAAAUAGAAAAAGAAUACAACACAUGGAGGAGGAUGACAUCCACUCAACUCCCAUCUCUCAUUGCUACAUAGGGCAGCAGUUGCAUAAGGCAGCAGGGCUGCUGGUGGCAACCCUUCUCUUUCUUUCUCUCUUCUUCUCUCUUUUGUAGCUCUCCUACAAGACUGUCUCUCUCAUUUUGUGCUGCACUCUUGGUGUCUAUUUAUAGGCUUCAAUGACAGCUACUCUUACUUCUUUGUCAACAAUGGUGCCUGCCAAACUCACCUCUUCUUCAACAAUGGUGGCUGUCAAAGUCAAGGUUGGUGGCUGCCACCAACAAGCCACCAUUGUAGCCUCUUUCUUUGACUCUCACAUGGCAGCCAUCUUCUUUGACAAGGCAGCCACAUAAUUAGCAAUAUUCCAACACUAUAAUCUAUAGCUUUGGGAUCAACUCCCUGUUGAUUUAAAAAACUAUGGUUAAAAGCAAGUACAUGAAGUUUUGUUAAUAAAUACAUUUUCAACCAAGGAACACUUUCUAGUCACUUUAAAAAUUAAAAAUUAAAUCAAAUAAAAAUCUUUUGCAAACCUCAAUUUAUUUUGUCAAGUAUCAUUGAAUGAGGAAAAAAAACCUCCAUUAAACACUUUUUCAAGAAGAAGUUUUUAAAAAAUUACAUUUUUUAUUUAUUUUUUUAUUAACUUCAAAUUAAUAUAUUUUUAGUUUUUUUUAAUCAUUUUGAUGUGCUAAUGUCAAAAAUAAUUUUAAAAAAUAAAAAAAUAUUAUUAAUAUAUAUUUUAAUACAAAAAAUUAUUUAAAAAUCAGCAACGACCAUAUUCAACGCACUAUCUAAAUCUUUCUCCCCAGUCGGCAGCAUUGAUUACAAAACCGCGUUGUUGGGUAUGUCAUUGCCUGCAUCACAAUCAAAUGGCAUAAUUUUCCACACGGAUUAGUUGAAUCUUAAAAAUGAUAGCUUGACAAGGAUUAGUUGAAUCUGUGCAUCACAAUCUCAAAUUGGCAUAAUUUUCCACUCGGGAAACUCCGAAGAGUCGAAGACCCUCGCCCUCACUCUCCAUCUCCAUUUAUUUGGCCGCUGAAUUCCAUCUCUCAGCCCUGCGCUUUUUCUUUCUUUUCUUUUUUGUUUCCGGGUCUAGUCUGAUACUUUUAUUAAUUUUAUUCAUAUAAAAUAUAUUUAUUAUUUAAAAAAAUAUUUUUUUUAUUUUUAGCAUUAUUUAAAACUUGUUAUUAAUUUUAUUCAUAUAAAAUAUAUUUAUUAUUUUAAAAAAUAAAAUUAUUAUUUCUACCGUGUUUUUGAGAAACCCGACAAUAACAUCAUAAUCAAAAGGUAUAAAUUUCCACGGACAACUUGCAUAUACAUGGGACAGCUCUAACCAUUUUUUUGUUCAUGUUUGUUGAUUUGCUAAUUUGUGUUAAAGGGAGGGAAAGGGACUGGAUCUAUAUAAUCCACCUUUCAAUUCUUUGUGUUCAUAUUUAUGUUGAUUCAUUCUUAGCGUUUUAAGGGAUUUUCGGCUGGUGACUAGUCUAGUACAGUCUAGCACAUAAUAUAUUUAUUAUGUUGAUUCUUUUUUUUUUCCUUUUUGUUAAGAACAUCUUGACCCUUUUGAAUUUUAACAAGGCAGUGCAAGGGCUCCUAAAAGUGUAGGAAAAAUAAAAGGUAUUAAAAUAAUGAGUUAACUUGUAAAAUUAUAUGAUUUUAUGAGUAAGUAUAUAUUUAUUAUUUAAAAUUGAGUUAAAAUAAAAAAUAAUAAAACUAGACUAAAAUCAUAUAAAAUCAAGUAAAAUCAUGAUUUUACUAUUGAUUUUGCAAUAAUUUUAAAAUUUCAAUUCUUAUCUUCAACCAUGAAUACCGUUAUGUUUACUUACUAAUACAAGAGUCCACUAGAAAAUUUGGAUUAUUUGCUACCAACUCAUAAUUUCUUAGAGUUGUUGUAUAAUAUGUGUUUAGUUAUAUAACUUAACGAUCCAGUCUUGAGAGGUAGGAUGAGGAAACGUGAAGGAUCUUAUAUCGAUUCCAACAUGCCCGGUUUGGUAAGUCACUUAUAACUCCUCAUUCUCUUUAUCUUGCAGUUCGUUGAUAUAUAUAUAAUUUUCCCAAGGACUUUAGCUCAAUAUGAUAUGUGGCUAUUCAAAACUACGCAGCCUUUAAGUGGAAAUGGGGUGGCUAGAGUUCUGGAUUCAGGUCAUCCAGACUACAGGAAAGGUGACUUGAUUUGGGAAGAGCACAGUCUCAUUACAGAAACAAAGGGACUGUUCAAAAUUCAACACACAGAUGUGCCUCUUUCCUAUUAUACUGGAAUUCUUAGUUUGUUUUCUUUUUCUUUUGUGUUUGAUUUUUAUUUUUAUCAAGAUUAGGUUGCCGUGGUGCUAGUGAAAUCCAUGGACGGAAAGUGUGAACUGAACUUGUUGGAGGAAAUAUGUUGGAUGCUGUGCUGCUCAACGUGAGGUUAAUUAUAUGCUACUUGUCCAUGUCAUAUCGACACACUCACUACAAUGAAAUGUUAACAUCUUUUGGCUCCGAGCCCGAGCAUAUAUAAAUCUACCAAACUCAACAGUAAUUCUUGAAUUAGAGAGGACAACUGUUAUAACUAAAUUUUUGAACAAAUAAUAAAAAUUAAAUAUAGUUAACAAUGAGGUUAAGACAAUAAAUUUUAAAAUUUAGAGAUAAAAUUAUCAGAUUUGAGAAUAAAUUGAUCAAAAAUUGAAGAAUUAAUAAGUUUGGAAAUUUACUUAAAAUUUGAAUUAGUUUAAUGAAUGAAAUUAAAAGAAUUAAUAAGUUUGUGGACUUAAUUAAACUUUGAUUUAAUUAAUUAAAUAAAUUCAGGGACUUAAUUGAAAUUGAUCCAAAAGGGCAAAAUUAAAAGAAAUAUUUAUUUGCUUAGGGGUCCAAUUGCAGAAUUUCCAAAGUUCAGGGGUCAAAUUGAAAAUAUCCCUUGCUGCCAAAACGCUGCCGUUGCUGGUGGAGGAGCCAUGGUCGUCUUUUCCAUCCCGAUUCCAUAGGCUGAAGAUCUGCAACAGUUUCGAUCCAAAUCGUGGACCACGUCUCUCGCCUGUAAUCUCGAAGAUGGUUAGGGGGGGUCAAUCGGUUGAGUCUCUAUAAAAGGAAGCAAAAAACACAAACCAGAGGCAGGGGGAGAAACCCAGAAAAAGCAGAGUUAAGAACAAGAAAAAUAGAGUUAAGAGAAGAAACCCAGAAAACCAAGUAAUUUACCCAGAAAAACAGAGUCGGGAUAAACAGAAAAAAACCAAAAAAAGAGAGAAGAAACCCAGAAAAACAGAGCAAACAAAACACAAAAAAAAAAAAAUAGAAGAUACAGAGAAGAACAGCAACAUCAACCCAGAUUUCGUCCCUGCAAGAAACCAGUUUUCGUCUGAACUGUUUUCAUCCCUGCAGGAACCCAACUGAUCACCGAACCGUUGGUUAUUGAAGAAAGCAGUCGAACCAACACCGACGUUGCAACCUUCCUCAGCAUCGCCAUAAACAGAAAGCAGCCGACUCAAGGUAGCCACACCAGCGUUGCAGCCUUCUUCAAUCGCCAGAAACAGGUGCGCCUUUUCCAUUUUCUUUGUUCUUCGGUGUUCGAAUGAUGUUUGAACAGUGCGAAGGUAAUUUAAUUACCUUCGCACUGUAGAUGCACGCGUGAAUUGUUUCACGCGUGCAUCUGUUUUUAGCCGGGUCACUGGCUUGGGCCAGUGACCCGGGCCGGGCUGGCUGGGUUCAGCCCAGCCCCUGUGGGGCUGCGCUGAGCCCAGCCACCAAUAUGUAUACAUGCUGGGCUGGAUUCAGCCCAGCCCAGCCCAAAAUAAAAAAAAAAAAAAACAGAAAAACAGAAAAAUAAAAAAGGUAGAAAAUAAUAAAAAAAAUAAAAAAUGUGUAUGCACAAAUAAAAAUAAUGUAAAUUUAUUGGUUUAUUCACUGAUGCUAGAGUCAGGAAUAAAAAUAUCGGUUUAAAUUUAUAUUAUUUUUAUUCGUUGUUUUUUAUUUUAUUUAGCUAGAAAAAUAAAAAAUAUAUGUGCAUGCGUAAAAAUAAAUUCAUUGUUAUUUAUUUAUUCACUGGCGCCAGAGUCAGGAAUAAAAAAAAAUAUUGAUUUAAUUUAUUUUCUAGCUACGUAAUAUUUACCAACGCCAGAGUUGGAAAUAUUCGUAGUUGAAUAUUCACUAACGCCAGAGUCAGGAAUAUUAUAAGCAAAUUUUCAUAACAUAAAAAAUAAACAUUUAACAAUUUAAGACGAAACUAGCAAUGCAGCCUGCCUCAGGCAGGACGUUUAAGGGGUGAUAAUAUCUUUCCUUUUACGUAAUUAGUCCCGAACCAUAGAAUCUCUGCUGACCAGUUAGGGUUCCUAGUGACCAUAAUACUAGGUGGCGACUCCUUAAACAAGAUCAUUCCCUAUUAAAGAACAGGAUGCCAGAAAUCCGUUCUUUCCAAAGAUUUAAAAAAUUUUUAAGGCCGUCGCGAUGUCGGGUGCGACAGAAUGGCGACUCGACUGGGGACUAAUGGACUAAGCUUUGCCUUUUGUUUAUCAAUUGCUAUAAUGUUUGUUAUGUUAUGUUAUGUUUAUUUGUUUAUUUUUUCUUGCAUUUACUGCUUUAGCAUUCAUCAUUGUUUAUAUUGUCAUGCAACACGUUAAGAGCACACACCUUAAAAUCUAGGAUAAGUGGGAAAGUAACGGUACCCCAAUGGCUUUAGCCUGGGUAAGACUCGUGAAACCAUCCAACUCUCGCUUGAUUGUUUACUUGGAAGUGGUUGAUAUGCCAAACUGAUAUUACUCAGGGCCUCUAUUUUCACACUACUUGUAAGCCUCAUAUCGACCUUUCAUGGACGAUCACUGAGCAUGCGAGAGACCCUUUGAAACUAGAUAAUGACCAACCCUUUGAUGCACUCAACAAUUAGGAUCUUCCUAUUAGGUUGUCAUCCCGUGAAGGUGUCAUUCCAUACGCAUUUUUAAUUGAAUCAACAUUUUUGCAUAAAUUGCAUGAUUUACAUUUACAGGUUGAAAUAUAGGUUCCCAUUGAAACCUACAUAUCGAGAAAAACAAAAUGGAAAACGAAGAAAGAGCCCAGUUGGAAGCCCAACAUCAAAAAGAGGUGGACAAUCUUAAAGAAGAAGUCACAAGGCUUACUAGUCUACUCGAGUAGGCCUUGAGAGAUAAAUCUAGAAAAGCAAUACUUAUAGCUCAGCCUGAACCUAUGCUUGUAAAUCCCUUCAAUCCAUAGAAUCUGGGGGCAAAUGGGUUGUCAUCUGAUUUUCAACAAGCUAUGCAUUUCCAACCAUCAUACCCUACAAGAAUUUCUUCCACCAUUGAUUCUACAGAGAAGUGAUCUCAAAAAGGCAAUAUGAUAAAAAAGGAUGAUCUGAACAAAUUCAUUGUCCUAGAACAAAGGAUGAGGGCAUUUGAGGGAAUUCACCUAUAUGAUCCUAUAAAGGCUGCUGAGAUGUGUUUAGUGCCCAACGUUGUCAUUCCUAAAAAUUUUAGAGUGCCAGAAUUUGUUAAAUAUACGGGAACUCAAUGCCCUAUAACUCAUCUCAAAGCAUACUGCAACAAAAUGGCUGAGGUGGUUCAUGAUGAGAAACUGCUGAUUCAUUUCUUUCAAGACAGUCUGAGUAAUGUUGCCCUCACUUGGUAUAUGCGGUUGGACAAUACCAAGGUUAAAAAAUGGAAGGAUUUAGUUGAUGCCUUCAUGAGGCAAUAUAAGUUCAAUAUAGACGUGGGCCCUGAUCGUUUAAGCUUGCAAGCAAUGGAGAAGGACAACAAGGAGUCCAUAAGAGAAUACGCCCAGAGAUGGAGUGAGUUAGCUACACAAGUUAACCCUCCCAUGUUGGAAAAAGAGAUGAUCACUUUAUUUUCCGACACCUUUAAAGCUCCGUACUUUGAAUACUUGGUUAGAAGCUCUGCACAACAUUUCACUGACCUGGUUGUUAUAGCUGAGAGGAUUGAACAAGCCAUUGGGUUAGGUAAGAUUGCUAACCCGACUGAGAAGAACGGUUUCACUGAAGGUGGUUGCCAAGACACUUAUCAUUUCUAUAGCUAAUUGCUUCACAUCGACUCCUAGAAAUCAACUAUCUUGAAGAUAAAGCUAUGGUGAUAUUAGGUCGAGAAUGAUCUACAUUUGAUUUCAAUUGACUGUUGAAAAGAUGCCCUUGUCGAGGAGAAUGAAUGAUUGAAAUAUUCCAGAAAUUCCAAUCAAUGAUCGCUAAAUGUUUAGCCUCUUUAUAUGUUAUCAUGCCAGUAUUCAUAGCCCAAGAUGUUGUCAUAAGUUCUUUCUUGUUGAACUUAUUUUCUAAAGUUUCAAUGAAAAUAAUGAGUUUGUCAUUCAAUCGUGUUUACGAUUAGCAUUAUUCAUUUUUUCUGAGAGAGUUUUCUUAUAAAGAUUCACAAACACAUCUUUGAAGCCUUGUGCGAUCUCAUAGACGCAAUUCAUCUCUUUUACCAAAAAUCAGUUUCCCUAUUAGAGUUUUGAAAAAAAUUGAUCUGGCAUUUUGAUUUCAAAAAAUAAUUUGAUGUUUAUUCAAAAACGAUAUUUUUGACAUUCUACUUGUAGAAUGACAAGUGAAUCAAGCAACUCCAUCAUUGAGGUGACUAAAUUAUAAAAACAAUUGUGAAAAAAAAAAAAUAAACACCCUUACCCCAUUACUCUUGAAUCAUGUGUUUUUAAAUGUAUGAAUAAUGGUAUGUAGUGAACUUGUUGCUCAUAACUCAUGAAAUGCAUCUUUGCAAAGAAUAAACCAUCACACUAUACGAGGUCAAAGUUUAUUGAUCAUAGCUUGCGCUUGAAAUGAGGAAAGACCAUCUUUGUUAUUCCUUUCACGUUCUAAAAUAAGUACAUCCCUUGCAAACCCUUUUUUAGCCUAAAUAAUUUUUCUUUCAUAAAAAAAUCCCGACUAAGAUCACACCCUACACUGGGGCGAAGUGAAAUUUCAAUGAUCAAGAAAGAUGAUAAAGCCGUGAGAAAGCCAAAAGGCAAAAGAGCCCAAGAAACUCAAAUGCUAGGGAUCAUGCCCACUUCACAAAAAAAAGUAAGGGGCAAGUGAAAUUUCAAUGAUCAAGAAAGAGGAUAAAGCCAUGAGAAAGCCAAAAAGCAAAAGAGCCCAAGAGACUCAAAUGCUAGGGGGCAUGACCAAAUCACAAGAAAAAGUGAUAACCAAGAUAAAGUGAAUAUGCUCUAGCAAAGCAAUGAAAAGAAAAAAAGGAAAAAGGGGCAAAUCAAAGAAGGGCGGCAAAAAAAAUAAAAAUAUGAAUGACGUCAAGAGUCAAACUAUUGAUAGUGAUCUUCAGUCUCUGAAACCCUAAAACACUCUUUGAGCCUUGUCGCACCCCACAAAAAAAUCCGGCGCGCGACAUCGGGCUGGUAAUUUUUCUCGUCGUUGCGUUUGCUUUGAAUUCGUUUGUUGGAGUCGCCACCUAGUAUUUUGGUCACUAGGAAACCUAACUGAUCUUUUAGAGAUUCUAAGGCAAGGGACUGGUUGCGUAAAGGGAAGGUAUUAGCACCCCUAAUACGCCCUACCUAAGGUAAGCUGCUUGGUGUUUGGUUUGCUCUUAUAAUCUAUGGUGUUGGUGUUUUCUAGUCCCGUCAAUUGAUUUUGGAUAGAAAUCUAAGGAGAUUCCAUGUGCUUUGAAAGCUAAUUUUUCCCUUAGUAUUUCAAAAAUUUACGACUCGUAAAUCGCAAGGAGUGAAAAAAAAGAAAUCUAAGAAAGUUCUUCACGACUCGAAAACCGUGGAGUAAAAAAAAAUUAAAAUUUUGAAAUGUCCUUGAUUAUAAUCAAGGCUUCUUUCAAGAAUGUGUGCGGAUUUAUUACUCCCAAUAAUAUUUUGGAUAUUCAUCCUUUUAAGGAUUUCUUUAUCCAAACAUUAGCGGUGAACAAUAAAUAAAUUUCCUCCCCAAAAAUAAGAUUUUUAUAGUUUUUUGGAAUAUUGGCCAAUACCCUUUGGAGUUUUACAAACAUGUUGUAAAAUCCGGAAAUGCAAGAAAAUAAUUUGUGUUUAAGAAAUCUAUGCGAAAACACACUUUCAAAGCUUUCAAUAUAUUUUUUUUAUAAAAAGAACAUUCAAAACAUGUUAGAGUAUUGGCCGUAUGCAACACGAAAGAAAACAUUUUUUUUUUGUAAACAAUAUAUUUUUUUUUUGACGAAAUCGGGUAUUUUAAUACUGAAUUUGUAUCUCCACAGCAUAAAAAUACAAACUAAUAUUAAGUCAUUUUUAAAAAAUGUGCGGAAAAAUCAACGAUAUUUUAAGGAAUUUUGGAAAUUUUUUUGAAAGCAAAAUUUUUUUUAUCUUUGAACAUCUUGGAUGUCUUGACGAAAAUCAGGUAUUCUAAAUACUGAAUCGGGUAUUUUAUAACUCCACAGUAGAAAAAUACAAACCCCUAUAAAACAGAAAAUAUAUAUAUAUAUAUAUAUAUAUAUAUAUAUAUAUAUAUAUAUAUAUAUAUAUAUGAAAAGAAAAGAACAACAUUUUUUAGAUUUUUUCCAAAAAAAAAAAAUAUAUAUAUAUAUACCAUAAUAUAAUAUAAUUAUAAUAUAUUAAUAUAUUAAGGGGCUGGGCCGGCCCAACUAACUGGGCUGGACUCAGCCCCACAAGUCUUGGGCCGGAUUCGACCCAAAAGGGACUGGGCCGUUUUCGACCCAAGAAAAGUCCUAACUUGGUCUGGGCCGGACCCGGCCCAGACUGUCGGGUUGGGCCAGAAUCCUUCUGGCCCAUAUACAUGUUUCUGGGCCAGAAACUGUCUGGCCCAGAAGAGAAAACAGAACGGGGGGAAUUAUUUCCCCCCCCGUCCCCUGCAUGCAGAACGAUUCUUCAUGCAGGAGACGAAAUUUAUAAGUAAUAUAAGAAAAAUGUGCAGGGGGGAGAGAGCGUACCCGGCGCGGCGGAGACGACGGCUUGCUGGCGGUGCUGCUGUGGAGGCGGUGGCAGCGUCCUAACUCGCGGCGGCUCCUCAUGGCGAUUUCCCAAACGGUCCGGUGGCGUCCUCUCGGGUCGUUUGCUUGGUUUUCGUUUCUAAGUUCCCUCCCAGCUUCAAACUCUCCCUUUUACUCUCGGCUUUUUGGGUUUUCGGUGACUCUCUCUCCUCUGUUAAGUUGUUUCUCUCUCUCCUCCUCUCUCUCUUCGGGUUUUCUUUUUUUUCUUUUUGGGUUCUCCCUUUUGUUUUUUUUCGUCCUCGUCGGUGUGCUGGGUUGGGCGAUAUUUAUAGAACUAGUGGGCGUGGCUUCACCGUGGAGCCAAGGAGCGGGUCGAGGAGCGGCUGUCGGGGAGCGGCUGUCCAGGCGGGCCUCCCUCGGCUUCGGCAGCGCGGCGGGUGGUCGGCCAGUGUCUUCUGUCGGUGGCCCACCGGCGUGGGGCCUCGGUCGGUCGGUGGCAAGAGGGACCUGCAACAAAUAAAAAAUGCAAACUUUUCCUUCUUCCCCGCUGUAAUGUUCGGGGGAAGAAGAAAGGUGAACAGUGCCGUUCAAAACGGCACCGUUCGCUCUCUUAUUUUUAUUUUUUUUAUGCAUGAAACGGCGUCGUUUUGGAGAAAACGCGCCGUUUCAUUUUAAAAUAAAGGCGCCAGAACAUUUUUUUGAAUCAGUCCUUAAUUUAUCAUUUGUUCUAUUAAGUCCUUCAAUCGAGUCCUUCAAUCAAGAAUAAAAUUCAAUUGCGUCCCUGCCAAAUUCGGUCCCUACCCCUAUAGUUGGCCGCGUUUUUCACUUUGGUCCUUGGCCUCUGAUUUUCACAAUUAAGCCCUUAAUUGAUCAAUAAACUUCCAAUUUCUUCAAUUAUGCCCCUGAAUCAAUUCCAAACCGCCCCCUCUAUCUUUGCGCCUUCUCCAAAUUGAUCCCUGGUUUCGGAUUUUCGCAAUUAAGUCCCUAAUUGGCCAUUAAACUUCAAUAUUUAUGCAAUUAAGCCCCUGAUUUGACCUAAUAAAUUCCUAAAAAAUAUAUUUUGGCCCCAGAACUUAAAUUUCUUCUAAUUAAAGCCCAAAUUGACUUAAAAAUCAAUUUUUCUUGCAAUCAAAUCUUCUAUAAAUUCAAAUAAAAAUCCAAUUAAGUCCAUAAACAUCCAAAUUUGGGCUUUUCUCCUCAAAAUUCAAAUUUUCCUUCUCAAUAGGGCUUUCAUCCUUCAAGAAUAUACUGUUAAAAAUUCAAUCCUUGUAUUUUCAAAUUCCUUGACCAAUUUUCUGACUGUUUUCUGAGCGCUUCUGCCUCCUGUUAUUUUUUCUAACCUCUUUUGGCUAUUUAUUUUAUUUUUCAUGGGGACCCAAAAAUGGGUUACAACAAGCCUUAUAAAUCCUUUUCUUUCCUAGCCAAAAACCACAGCCUACGUUACGUACCUGUAGAAGUCCUUUCUAAUCAAGCAAGCAAGCAACCUAGAACAAUAAACAAUGCUCUCAAAAUGCAAAGAAUACUUUUUCAUAAGAUUCAUGACAUCAAGAAUAAACUACUCAUUAUUAUUAUUCAUGCUGAUAAAAAUAAAUGUUCAAAAAGAGACAAGUUUUUCUCAUACAAAACCUCGAGCUUUUUCUCGAGCCCUCCACUCUGAAAACCUAUAAAAACAAAAGGUCAUAAUAUCAUGACAUAUUUUCACCAAAGACCUCAUUGCCAAACACGAGCAAAUAAUCUCUUUUUCAAUAAAGAAAAUAACCAAGGAGUUGCAAGAUUUCAAAAGCAAAUUGUUAUUGGACUCACAUCGAAAUAAUUUUUGUUUUCAAAAUGCAAGAUCAAGAUUUCAAGAUUCAUUCUAGACCUAUAUUCUUCCACCAAACUGAAAAGGAGAGAAAUGAGAGAAUAGCCUCUUAAAAUCAUUAUUCAUCUAAGUUAGUGACAUAGCACACUUGGGGCAAUGACCUAAGGGGACAACAUUGUGUUUAAGGAAAAUAUAUCAUCCCUUACAACAAGACAAGGGGGCAUUUUGGUUUACAAAAGACAACUCGAUCCUUUCAGUAAGUGAUACCGAAUGUUUUUAGCAGUGAGACGAGGGGUAAUGAAUAAUCCUCUCCAAUUAUUUGAUGAGACGGGCAAGCAAGUGGGUCACGAUGGGCACCGUAAAAGCUGAGUUAUGUAAACAAAUCUAGAAAUAAACUUACAUGGGCCAACUCGAGUGGGCUAGAAAGCCAAACGACAAAGAUGACUCAAAUCAGAUAGCAAGAUCUCACCAACCAAGCAACGAGAAGACUAAGAAGAAAUGGGGGACCUAUAUUUCAAAUCAGGUAAAGAUGCAUGCAUAUCAUUUAAACUUUGAGACAUUGGAUAAUGAGUGUUGCAAAUUUUAUUAGAGAAAAUUCUAACAGAAUCCAUCAAGUGGAAGGCCAACUUGAAAUGGCCAAAUAUCAAAAUUGCUUUUGAAAAAUUGUCAUUUUUGAGAAUUUUGCAACCUGGGCAAGCCGCCCAUGAGAAUUAGGCCACCAGAAAAAUCUCUGUAUUUUUCCACCACCUUUCAGUUUCCACUUCUGAGGUAGUGCAUUUCAUAUCCUACCUCCAUUCGAGCGUGCCUUCGAGCCCUCGUCUUAUCUCCAUUCGAGCGCGCCUUCGAGCCCUCGUCUUAUUUCUUUUCGAGUGCGCCUUCGAGCCCUCGACCAUCAAAGGUAGUGCAUUUCCUAUUCUACCUCCAUUCGAGCGCGCCUUCGAGCCCUCACCUCAUUUCCUUCAAGCUUCUAUUUAUUGAAUAAUGCGCCUUCAAGCCCUAUCAUGUCUUAAUAAAAACAAAAUCCUCGUAUUUUUCUACUGGGCAGGUAACCCAUUACAAUGUGACCAACUGGGCAGGUAACCCAUUACAAUGUGACCAUCUGGGCUGGUAACCCAUUACAAUAUACCAACUGGGCAGGUAACCCAUUACAAUGUGACCAACUGGGCAGGUAACCCAUUACAACUAAUCCAUUACAAUGUGACCAACUGGGCAGGUAACCCAUUACAAUAUACCAACUGGGCAGGUAACCCAUUACAAUGUGACCAACUGGGCAGGUAACCCAUUACAAUGUGACCAUCUGGGCUGGUAACCCGUUACAAUAUACCAACUGGGCAGUAACCCAUUACAAUGUGACCAACUGGGCAGGUAACCCAUUAUAAUGUGACCAUCUGGGCUGGUAACCCGUUAUAAUAUACCAACUGGGCAGGUAACCCAUUACAAUGUGACCACCUGGGCUGGUAACCCAUUACAAUAUACCAACUAGGUCGGUAACCCAUUACAAUAUACCAUCCUAUACUAGGCAGGUAACCCAUUACAAUGUGACCAUCUGGGCUGGUAACCCAUUACAAUAUACCAACUAGGCAGGUAACCCAUUACAAUGUGACCAUUUGGGUCGGUAACCCAUUACAAUAUACCAACUGGGCCGGUAACCCAUUACAAUAUACCAUUCUAUACCGGGCAGGUAACCCAUUAAAAAUUAAAAGAAAUUUUUAUUUGCUUAGGGGUCCAAUUGCAGAAUUUCCAAAGUUCAGGGGUCAAAUUGAAAAUAUCCCUUGCUGCCAAAACGUUGUCGUUGCUGGUGGAGCAGCCAUGGUCGUCUUCUCCAUCCCGAUUCCAUAGGCUGAAGAUCUGCAACAGUUUCGAUCCAAAUCGUGGACCACGUCUCUCGUCUGUAAUCUCGAAGAUGGUUAGGGGGGGUCAAUCGGUUGAGUCUCUAUAAAAGGAAGCAAAAAACACAAACCAGAGGCAGGGGGAGAAACCCAGAAAAAGCAGAGUUAAGAACAAGAAAAAUAGAGUUAAGAGAAGAAACCUAGAAACCAAGUAAUUUACCCAGAAAAACAGAGUCGGGAUAAACAGAAAAAAACCAGAGUCAGGAAAUAUUCGUAGUUGAAUAUUCACUAACGCCAGAGUUAGGAAUAUUAUAAGCAAAUUAACAUAGCAUAAAUUAAUAAACAUUUAGCAAUUUAAGACGAAACUAGCAAUGCAGUCUGCCUCAGGCAGGACGUUUAAGGGGUGAUAAUAUCUUCCCUUUUACGUAAUCAGUCCUGAACCAUAGAAUCUCUGUUGACCAGUUAGGGUUCCUAGUGACCGUAAUACUAGGUGGCAACUCCUUAAACAAGAUCAUUUCCCAUUAAAGAACAGGAUGCCAGAAAUCCAUUCUUUCCAAAGAUUUUAAAAAUUUUUAAGGCUGCUACGAUGUCGGGUGCGACAGACACCAUAACCUACCUGAAUCAAUUAAGCACGUUAAUGUAGCGCCCUUAGAAAAAAGGAGAGCAAGCUCAACCUUGAGAUCCUUUGAAGGGGCGAGAAGUUAGAUACUUUCUCCUGUUUCCUCCUCCCUUCUCAACUAACAAAUAGUGUGGAGAAUCUGGAGAUCAUCAUAAAGUUUCGAAUUUUGUUUUCUUAAAAAGAAGAGACACUCACAGAGAUAGGCAAAAGGUGGGGUCUUUGGUUUCACAACAAAAACCCAAUUUCAUUCCAAUCAUUUUUGCGUGCAAUGAUCCUUCCUUCAGGUUUUACGGGCUCUUCGUUUCUUUGUUUUACAACAUGAAACUGAUUUCUUUUUUUGGUGUAGUUUUUAGUACUUAAAAGAACAUGUUAAUUGGACGAAAAAGUUCCACUUUUUUUUUAAAAAUCUUUUGUUCUUGUUUGUUGAUUUGCUAAUUUGUGUUAAAGGGUUCUCAAUGGUUUGGUUUUUAGUACUUAAAAGAACAUGUUAAUUAACUGGGUUUGGUUUUUGUUAAUUAGAAACAAGAAAAGCUUGUUUGUGAACAAUUAAUGGGUCUUAUUGUGAAGAACUGAAACUUAUAAUUGAAGGAUAACCAAUGCUCAGGAGGGUCGUUGAGGUAUAAUCCUUUUCACUUUAAAAUUUCUAUUCUUUUAGAUUUUUUAUAGGUUUUUGUUUUUUGGAAAGUGAUUUUUGAGAAACCAGUUACCAAACUUUCCAAUAUUUGUUUGUUAUUAAGAAAUUUGAUCGACGGAAAAUACUUUCCGGUCAACGAAAAACACUUUCUAGUCAAAGAAAAAUUUAGCUUGGUUUCUAGAAAAAUGUUUUCCUUUUAUUUUAGGUGGAAAAUAUUUUCCGGAAGUUUUGAAAAAUUUAGAAAUAUCAUAUUAUUUGCUGAUUAUAUCAAAUUUGAUCCUUAAACUUUUGAUUGCUAUAUAUAUAUAUAUAUUGUUUUGAAUAUUUGUUUUUCAAUUUCAUCACUAAGAAUUUAAUUGUUAUAUUAAGUUUGGUCCUCAUUUUUAUAAUUGUUAUUUGCUUUUUCCUUAUCAUUUUUUAAUUGAAAUUUUUUAUCUAUCAAAUUUGAUCCUCAUUCUUUUGAUUGUUACUUAUUUUAUUUUAAAUAAUUUAUGAAAAGUUAAUUAGUAUUAUUUUAAUUUCUUUAUCUUUUUAUUUUUUUAUUUUUUAGAUUUAAUCUCUAUUAUUUUGAUUAUUAUUUAUUUUAUUUGAGAUAAUUUAUGAAAUUAUAUUUUUUUUCAAUUUCAUUCUCAUUCAACUUUUUAAUUUUUAAGAUUUGUUCCUUAUUAUUUUAAUAAAUUUGAAAAGAAAUAAAAUAUUAAUAAGUCAUUUUCCAACUUAUUUUCCAUGACAUUACCCAGAUUACUCUACGCAAUUUAAACUUGUGCAAGAGAUCCAUGGUAUAAUCUUCACUUUAACGACUUGGAUAAAAAGAUGCAUGGUCUUUUAUGAGGAAACCAAGUUGAUAAAAAUCUCAUUUUUUCGCAGCUAUUUUUCUGUAGUCUCUUAAAAUAUAUAUAGAUAAUUGCAUAGAAAUAGUCAAGAAAAAAAAAGAAGAAACAAUUGGCAUUUAACACCCAUGAAGAUUAUGUUGGAUAAGAUUUUUUAAACAACCACAACCCACAUCAGUCCAAUAAUUUUACUAGCUAAAAUAAAUACUACAUUUAUUUAAUUAGUGAUUUUACACAACAAGAUGAUAAUAUCAUAGCUAAGUGGGCAUAAAGUGGGGAGUUUUCUCAAACCAAUCCCUCGACUAAUUGAGAUCAUCAGGUGAAAAUUUUUGCAUGGUUAUGAUUUUCCAUAGGCUGAACCCCCGAAUCAAAAAAGCUUUCCACUGCUGCCUUGUAGAAAAUCUCAUUGAACCAUGACGGGGAUGGUGAAGCAGAUGAUAUGGUGAUGAAGGUAUCGUUCUAUCGCUUUCAACUUCGGACUGUUGGUUGUCAAUCUCAUGAUCUGACGAUCCUGACCCUUCAAAUGAAGUCUCGUAGUAGUCAAUGUCAUGAUCCCCCUCUGAACCUUCAAAAGACUCUUGGUUGUAAAUGUCAUGAUCCAACGCUCGAGUUGCAUCGUAUAUGCUCCGUCCAAAUGGAUGUGUCUCUAUCACAUGGAUCCCACAUCGUACCACUUCAUUGUUUUCGGACCUCAAUAUCACAUGUAGUUCCAAUCCAUCAUCUCCACAGUAUUUUUCCAUUGCCAUCUCAAGUUUACUUAUGACUAUUACCCACCUACCACGGUAAUAGGGUCUUGCAUGUGUAGCUUCGAACAAUUGUAUACCGUUGCUUUUAUUUUUUAUAAUAGCCUUGUAUUCUUGACAACCACCACCUGAACAGACAGCCCAAAUGAGCAAGCCUUCAAAAUCUGGAAGUAUAUUAAAUGAUAACGAACAUCCUUCUCCACUGUAGCUGAACCAAUUUGGAAUCAUAGAAUAAUCUUUGGGAACCAUAAAAGCCUUGAAGGGAAUAAAAUACUCGCGAUAAUGAUAAUUGAAGAUUCUCUGCAUAAAUAUUGAAUUCAAGGAAUGCUGAAAUUUUAGACACUGAUUAAUACACACACACACACAUAUUAGAGAGACAAAAAUAGUACCUCAAGAAGCCAGUCCUUAGUAUUUUUUGAUAAAUUACUCAGACCUUGCUUGCCGUCAUUCUCAAUGAAAUUGUAAAGCAUAUAUUGAGACAGAUAUGGUGGUGCAGGUAUUACUCUAUCUCUUCCAACUUCAGACUCAUGAUCCCACUCUGACCCUUCAAAUGCAUCUGUCUUUUCAACUAUCACAUGGAUCCCACAUUCAAACACUUCAGUGUAUUCUCUCAAACUAUCGAGCAUGCCCAGAAGUUCCACGAACAGUUCCAAUUCCUCAUCUUCACAAUACUCUUUUAUUGCCAUCUCACUUAUACUUGUGUAUCUCAACCAACUUCUACAACCACCUUCGUAUAACAUUCCUUCAAACAAUUGAAUAUCGUUGCAUUUAUUUUUUAUAAUAGCCUUAUACUCCAAUCUGGUGGUACCAGAACUACCAAUCGAGCCUUGACAGACAACCCCAACGACCAAGCCUUGGAAAACUGGAGGUAUAUGAAAUGAUAAUGAACUUCCUUUUCCUCGGUAGCUGAACCAAUUUGGAAUCAUAGUGAACUUAUCUCUGUGGCUGAACGUAUAACAACGAUUGAAGAGAAUUUGAUACCCAUAACCACCGUAGCAUAAUGCCUGUAUAUAUAUAUUGAUUCCAAGGAAUGCUGAAUAUUAGACAUUAAUUAAUGUAUAUCUAGUAUGAGCCAAUUGAGUGCUUAUUUGUGUUCAAGAGAGACAUAAAUAGUACCUCAACAAGAAUUUUCUUAUAAUUAUUUGAUGACUUGUAGUUGGGAACAGAGCGCAUAAUCCAGCCAUGAUUACUUAGACCUUUCAUGCCUUGAAUCUCUAUUAAAUCCGGACAAGUAUAUAGAACCAGAUUUAGAUAUUUUUUUGCCUGGAUUGGUAGUCUUACAGUUCGCAUUGAUUCGCAACCUUCUGUAUCCAAAUGUUCUAAAUUUGAGGGAAGCUCUGGGAUUGACACAAGAUUGCUGCAAUGCUUAACUCUCAAAAGCCGCAGCAUAAAAAGGAUGCCAAUGCCAGAAGGCAGACUGAAGAAAUUGUUUCCUGAUAGAUCCAAUUUUUCGAGAGAGGACAAACCUCCAAAAUCAACAGAAUUAGUUGCACGUUCAGACAAACCAUAAUUUACAAGUUUUAACUUUCCCAAUACUCUCCAAAUAGUGGAAGUUGGAGCUAGCAGAAAAGCUGAAAUCCAAGAAGAAUUUGGUGAAGGCCGAUAUGGUAAGUUCCAGUUGCAGUGUCCGCGCAAUGACAACUUCCUCACACACUUUAAAUGUCCAACUGAAGAGAAAAAUUGCUCGUUGUUAAUUCCAUCUGCUAGAAGCUCAGUGAAGGACUCAAUAUCACUCAUGCACUCUGGCAGCUCCUUAAGUUCUGAACACCCCGAAAUAUUCAAACACACAAGAGACUUUGAAUGUCCAAUAGAUUGAUGUACCUCAACUAAACUUGAGCAACCUUCAAGCAGUAGUUUCUCUAGACUUGAACUGUGCAGGUUUGGUGUUUUUAUAAGGUUCUUUGAAUAACUGAGAUCAAUGAUCUUUAGAGUGUUGAGAAUCUGUCAGAGUAGUGAGGAAAAUCAUUAAAAAGUAAUCAUCAAAAGUUCUCUAGACAAAUUUUGGGCAUUUUGGUAUGUUUCGCACCUUUUUUUCCUUCCAUAGUUCUCUGAUGUUACUAUACUUCAUAUCAAUAACAACUACAUAGUCCAGUGAAAAGUCGGAUGGAAAAAAUCUCAGAGGACAUUCAAGCCAACAAAUCCACGUCAACACUUUAGAAAGCCGUUCGAAAGAUCCGGUGAGAUCUACUCCAUUGAUUUGGAGUAAUUUUAAAAAUUUCAUUUUUGUAAAUGAUCCUGUGCUUAGUGAUUUGUCUUCUGAUCUUGUCACAUCCAGUGUAAGGCCCUUUACAGCUUCUGUUCCCUAAAAAAGCAAAAAAAAAAAAAAUCAAUAGAACUUUGAUAUGAUUGUUUGUAAUAAGUUUGACAAUAAAGAUACACAUGAAUGUGCUUUUCUGUAUGCAUUGAGUUCUUACCAUCUGCAUCUUGAGUACUUUCCACGCAUCCUCUUGACUCCAAAUUCUGCUCCUUUGUGCAGGAUUUUCAGGUGACUCUUCCUUAACGAUCUCCCUUCCCAUCCCUCGUAAUAGAUCAUGCAUGCUUAUCGUUCCAGAAUCAUCAACUUUAAUCAGAGACCUUUCAAUGAGAGUUCCCAAAUCAUCUUCUAGAUUGUAACCAUAACGUCCUUCUAGCACUUUGGCUACGUAUUCUUUCUCUCCACCAAUAAAGAAGCAUGCAAUAUCAAGAAAUGUAUUCUUUAGUGUAGGUUCAUCCAGUGUGUCAAAACUUAUUCUAAGUUUUUUCUGAAUUUCACGGUUUGGAAAUUUUCUCAAUCUGUCAAUUACAGAUUCCCAUCUAGCUUGGUUUUUCCCAAUCAAACAAGAACCUAAAACCUCAAGAGCUAAAGGAAGUCCUCCACAGUAUUCAACUACAUCAUUCGAAAGCUCAACAUAAUCUUUUGCUGGCUUGGUGUCCCUAAACGCAUGCUGACAGAAUAGCUGAAGGGAGUCACCCCGGUGCAAUUCUUGAACCUGGUAUCUUUGAUCAGCUUCAAGAAGUAAGCGUUCAUCUCUAGUUGUAAUUAUCACCCUGCUUCCGGGACCAAACCAGCUUCGCUCUCCCAUCAAAGCAUUUAAUUGGUCCAGAUGAUCCACAUCAUCAACAACAACAAGAACUCUUUUGCGGCAGAGGCGUUCUUUAAUCAGAACCUUUCCUCUAUCAACAUUAUUGAUCUUCUCAGUAUUUUGUCUUAAAAUAUCAUGAAGUAGUUGUUGUUGUAAAAGAACCAAAUCAUUAGGUUCUGAUUUUUCUUUGACAUUCAAAAGAAAAGAGAUUCCCUCGAAUCCAUAUCCAUAGCCAUAGCAGAGUUGAUUAAAUACAACUUUUGCUAUAGUCGUCUUUCCUAUUCCUGGCAUCCCAUGUAAGCCCACAAUGCGUACAUCAUCUGUUGCAGUACUUAGGAAGUGAAAAAUAUUGUGAGCAAGCGGAUCAAUACCUACUAGGUGCUUAGGAACAUGUAAGUACUUAGGGUCCAAUUUAGUCAGCACAUCCUUGAUAAUCUCUUGGACAAAUUUUGCUUCACGCCUGUUCAUGGACAAAAGCAAGUCAUUAGUCAUUAAUAGCGAGACAAUUAAGUAUGUUCAAAAAGUAUUUUAUUGUUUCACAUUGUAAAAUAGGUAAUGUAUAAUGACUCCAUAUAUAAAUGUGUGGAAGUGAAUCUUAUAGAGAAAAGGCAUACCCAUUUGCCAUAUCUUUGAGAUUCCAACCAGAUAGAUUUCCUGCCUCCUUAAGAGCUUCUCUCCACUCCUUCACCUUCUCUUUAGAACGUUCUUCAUGUUUAACAAAUGCUUCUGCAAAACUACCGGUCUGUUUUCUCACAUCUGAAGGAUCGAUGUCAUAGAAUAUAGGAAGAGCAAUUUGACCAGUUUUCCUAUAUUUACACUUCAGAAUCUCCACAAGUUCAUCAAGACACCAUCUAGAAGAAGCAUAUCCUUUUGAGAAGACCACUAUAGAUAUCUUUGAUUCUUGAAUUGCCUCGAGGAGAUGUUGGGAGAUUUCUUUUCCUCUAGGAAGUUCAUCAUCAUCUCGAAAAGUGUGGAUUCCUGCUUGGACUAAGGCAGUAUAUAGAUGAUCUGUAAAUGUCUUGCGAGUAUCUUCUCCUCUAAAACUCAAAAAGACAUCAUAGGCCCCUUGUGGUCGAGAUCGAGAAGAAUCUGACUCUGUCAUGGCAGCUGCAGAAAUUAAGGCGCGAUUAAUUAAUUAGCAAUGAAGUGAUACAUGUGAAGUGAUCAUCAAAGACAAUACAUAUACAUGAAUGUGCUCAGUAGGAAUUUCAACGCAAUUUCAACGGAAUUAACUCAAUAAACUCAUCACUGAUGUCUAUCUGAACAUAAAGCUUUGAAAUUAUUGUUAUCAGUAAAGAAAUGAAAUUAAAACAAGAAAGAAGCAAAGAAGAGGUAGAGCUAUACCUCUAUAUAACAAAGGGUUGGUUGGAUUCCACACAAGCUACGAAAUUGCAGCAAUCUGGGAGAGAGGUUAGCUGAUUAAUUAAUACUGCUUCCAGCUAGCUGCCUUUGUUUGGCGUCUCAGAACUGAAAUCCUAUUCCUGGGACGAUACUUUAUUUCAACUACCCAAACACGGUUAUCAAUUUUUGUUAUCAACUCCCAAGUCAGUCUCUCAAUUUACAUAUAGUUUGCAAGAAGCAAAGUAGAGUUACCAGCAAGAACAUGAGAAAUUAACAAGGGAAAUUCCUUUGUAAAUGUCAAGGAAUUGAACGUGAAAUAGUGAAUUGAACAAAAACGGUUAUUAAUUUCCAAGUCAGUCCAUGGAUUUACUUGUAGUUUCAAAGAAGCAGAGAAGAGUUACAAGCAAAAAACAUGGCAGCAUAAAAUCCCAUGUAUAACUACAUGCAAUCAGUAGCAACAAUCGCAAAGGUUACCUCAAUUCUAUGGUGUUUGAGUUGUUCGGAUUCCACGAACCUGGUGACUUUAAAGAUCAAAUUGCAGCAAUCAGAAAGGUUAGCUGAAGAGUAAAGAAACGAGGACUGAAGGCAAUAUUGUUUCGGGUAUCAUAUGUCGGAAUAGGAGCUUGGAAAUUUCUUUAGCAGCGUGUGAUCAAGGUAAUUUCCCGGUUGUUGCUGAUUGAUUAUAGUUGUUGCUUUAGCGCGCCUCUGACAUAGACUGGAGGACUAAAUUUCUUUAGCAGCGUGUGAUCAAGGUUUUUAUUUUUUAUAAAAAAAAUUUAAAUAAAUCUAGAUUAAUCCCAACUAAUCUAAAAUCUAGAGCUUUGGGAUCAACUCCCCGUCGAUUUAAAAAACUAUGGUUGCAAGUGCAUGAAGUUUUUGUUACAAGGAUAUGCUUCUCGAAAAAUAAAAGGAAAUUGUUGUUUUGUUUCUACCUUAGAAUAAAAUUAGUUUUUAAUUUAAUUUUACAUUAAUUAAAAUAAAUAUUAGUGAAAAAUUUUAAAUUUUAAAACAAAAACUCAUCAUGUUAUGCUAAGAAAGUCACAAAAAAAUAUUUGUUAAUUUUAAAUUGAUAAAAUAAAUAUUUUAUUUUCAUUGAAUAUUCAUGAGUAAUUUUUUUAAAAAAAAUCUUGAAUAUUAGGUUCAUAUAUAAUUAUUCAUAAAAUAAUAAUUAACAUUACUAAAAAAAUUAUAAUCUUAUUUAAAAAUUACAGCACAACCGAAUAAGUUUAUAAAUAUUAUUUUUAAAAUGAAUUUUAUGACAAAAAUGUCAAAAACCAAAACUUGAAAGACCAUAUUGAUUUUUUUAGUGGAAAAGAUUGUCGCAAUCCACAACAGUUAUGGCGAGGGCUACACGUCUAAGCAUCAAUCUAGCACCAUUGAUUACAAAACCGCGUUGUUGGGUGUGGCAGCAUCACAAUCAAAUGGCAUUAUUUUCCACACGGGAAACUAAAGAAGAGUCGAAGACCCUCGCCCUCACUCUCCAUCUCCAUUUAUUUGCCUGCUGAAUUCCAUCUCUCAGCCCUGCUUUUUUGUUUCCGGGUCUAGUCUUAUAUUUAAAAAAAAAACAUUUUUUUAUCUUUAACAUUAUUUAAAACUUGUUAUAUAUUAAUUUUAUUCAUAUAAAAUAUAUUUAUUAUUUUUUUUUAAAUAAAAUUAUUAUUUCUACCGUGUUUUUGAGAAACCCGACAAUAACAUCAUAAUCAAAAAGUAUAAAUUUCCACGGACAACUUGCAUAUUUGUUCAUGUUUGUUGAUUUGCUAAUUUGUGUUAAAGGGAGGGAAAGGGACUGGAUCUAUAUAAUCCACCUUUCAAUUCUUUGUGUUUGUUGCUACCCAAUUUUUGACCCAUGUUUUUGAUAUAUUUUAAAAAAAAUCAAGAAAUAGAGAAAAACAAAGAAAAUCCAAAAAAAUAUGUUUUUUAAUAUAUUUUCGUCAUUUUAGCAUUUUUAACGUCGUCUAAAAAGAAUUUAAUUUUUCAAACGCGUUCGACUUUUCACGCGUCAUUUUUAAAAUCAUUGAUUUUCCUCAUUGAGUCGACGUUGAUAUUGCUCGUUUUUAAAAAAUACAAAAAAACAAGAAAAAUCAAAUUUUACAAAAAAAGAAAGUUGACCAAUUUUUGAAAACUUGGCAAUAUUUUUUGCCUAUAAAUACUGGUCUUAAACUCACAUUAAAGGAGGGGUUUUCAUUUUUGCAAGGGGGCUAAUUUUGGAAACACCAGAAAAAUAAAAAAAUAAAAAAACCUAAACCUAUCUUCUCCCCCCACUUUUUUUCAAACAGCCGCCGGUCCCCCCCCUGGUCCAAGACCAUUAUUUUUCCAGCUGAAAAUCAGCAACUCAGCCCCACCCAUGGUCUGCUUUUCUUUGUUUCCAGCCGACCAGAGACGCUCCCCCUCACCAUCUGCCCACUCUCCCUGGCCCUAUGCAAAACGAAGACAGCCCCUUUGUAAUUAAUUUUCUUCUCUUUCCCCUCAUAAACCAGCCACACACUCUCCCUCGCCCUAUGCAAAAACGAAGGCACCCCCCCCGGUGGAUUUCAUUUUUUCUCCCGGGCAGCCACCAUCAGAAAAUCAAGGCAGCCGCCCCCACCCUUGACAUUUUUUGUUUUUCUUUCAACACCGGAACCAGCCCCCUUCCCCGGUUUGAAAUUUUUUACUCCCACAACCCCCUGAUUUUCAGCUCAAUCUCAGCCGGUCCCUUCCCCCCCCAAAGCCAUUUUUUUUUCUUUUCACAGCCAGCCCACAGACUCUCCCCAGCACGCCGGAGCCACCACCGUUGGACCUUCCACCUCUGCCUCUCCACCGCAGCUCACUUCCUUUCUUCUCCCACAGCCCAGUCUUCUCCCCUCCACCAACAGCGCCGAUCCUCCCUUUCAGCCACUGUGAACGGACAACCUUCUCCACUGCAUUCCACCGACCAGCGAACGGAGCCCACCACAGGAGCAGCCGAUCUCCUUCACCGCCGGCCAGCCAGCUUGCCAAGACUGAAUCAAAUCCUCCAGUAACAGACCCGACCACAGACCCGAUCUGCCACCGGAGAAGAAGACAAAACCAUAACAAACCGACUCACCGAAGAACCCAGCGGCGACACCCCACAACUCCACCGCUGCCUGAAACAGAGAAGGAGAAGCAAGAUCAGACAAGAAGAAGCAAAAAAAACCGAAGCAGAUUUGAAGGAGAAGAGAGGCAGAUCGGGAAAACAAAAGAAAUAAAAAAUUAUUAAUAAAAUCGACUGCCUGUUGCGUUUUGGUUUGUUUUUUGCAGGUAACACCGGCGAGGAAAGGAGGGGGAGAAGAGGCUAGCCAGAUCGCACUGUUUCCAGCUUCUUUCUCACGGCGGCGCGUGAACCCACGCGCCGCCAGUGGCGGUGGUGCGUGGAUCCAUGCGCCGGAACUGUUCACACAGCCCCCAGAAGUCCUUCCCUGCAAUUUCUGGAUUUUUAGGGACUAUUUUGUAAUUUUUAAAUUAAUUAAUGUAAUUUUUAUUUAUUUGUUUUGAUUUUGAAUUUGUAUUUGAAUUUGUAUUUGAAUUUGUAUUUGUAAAAGAAAAAAGAAAAGAAAAGAAAAAUAAAUGAUAAAAAAAAAGUUGUGUGUGUUUGUAUUUUUUAUUUAUGUUAUUGAAUUAUAAAAAUAAAAAAAAAAAGACAAAAAGAUUUAAUUGUUAAUUUAAAUAUGGUUAAAUAUCUCAAGGACAAAUAAAAUCAAGUUGUAUUUUCCAUGAAAAUGUGAGAACAAGUUUCUACAUAUAUUCGGGGAUUUAAUAACUGAUUUAUUCAAGCCUUAGAAUUUGAUUAAUAUUUUAAAGUUUCAAAUCACAUCAGAACACGAAGCAGCUUACCUAAGGUAGGGUGUGUUAGGGGUGCUAAUACCUUCCCUAACCACAACCAGUCCCUUACCCGCGAUCUCUGACAAGACCAGUACAUCAGGUUUCCUAGUAGCCCUCAAUGAAUUACUAGGUGGCGACUCCAAAGAACCAAAACGUAAAAACGAUAAAAAUCGCCAGCCGCGCUCGCGCUAUGUAUUUUUUUGGGGUGCGACAGUGUUCAUAUUUAUGUUGAUUCAUUCUUAGCGUUUUAAGGGAUUUUCGGCUGGUGACUAGUAUAGUACAUUCUAUUUGGUAAUGUGAUCCGGAGGCUUUCUUUUUCUUUUUCUUUUUCUUUUUUUCCUUUUUGUUAAAAGCAUCUUGACCAUUUUGAAUUUUAACAAGGCAGUGCAAGGGCUUCCAAAAGUGGAGGAAAAAUAAAAGGUAUUAUUAAAAAUUUCUAAUUCAAUUUAAUUUAGUGAUUUCCAAACAAGUAAUAGUUUUUGAAAUUGGUGCUUUUCUUCAACUAUUCUCCUGGAAUUUUUUUUUUUCAAUAACAUGACAUGAUUGUUUUGGCAAUUGUUUUUGCUAAAAACAUGAUUGUCUAGCCAUUUUGCACCCUAUUUUUCUAGCAAUGCAAAAGAGAAAAACAACAUGGAGAAAAAGCUAGCAGAAACAGUUGUAUAUUGGAAUUCUUGGUUUGUUAUUCUUUUUCUUUUUCUUUUGUAUUUGAUUUUUAUUUUUAUCAAGAUUAGGUUGCCGUGGUGCUACUGAAAUCCAUGGACGGCAAGUGUGAACUGAACUUGUUGGAGGAAAGAUGUUGGAUGCUGUGCUGCUCAACAUGAGGUUGCAUGCACGCAUUGCUCUGAGCCCGAGCAUAGAUAAAUCUACCAAACUCAACAUUAAUCUUUGAAUUAGAGAUAUCUUUCUGUGAUAAAAUUAGAGAUGUUUCAUGCUAUCAGUAUAUAUGUUCUAUUUGGUAAUGUGAUCCGGAGGCUUUCUUAUUUUCUUUUUUUUUUCCUUUUUGUUAAAAAAAUCUUGACCCUUUUGAAUUUUAACAUGGCAGUGCAAGGGCUCUCAAAAGUGUAGGAAAAGUAAAGGGUAUUAAAAUCACGAGUGAACUUGUAUAAUUUUACAAGUAAAUAUACAUAUUUAUUAUUUAAAAUUGAGUUAAAAUUAAAAAAAAAAUGAUUAAAUUGGUCUAAAAUCAUAUAAAAUCAGGUAAAAUCAUGAUUUACUAUUGAUUUUAAAAUAUUUUUAAAUUUUCAUUUCUUAUCUUCUUCCAUGCAUACUCUUAUGUUUACUUACUCAAAUAUGAGUCCACUAGCAAAUUUGGAUUAUUUGCUAACAACUCAUAAUUUCUUAGAGUUGUUCUGUAUAAUAUGCGUUUAGUUAUAUAACUUAAUUUUAAGUUGGACCUAUAAUAAUGAUUUUUUUUAAGAUGAUUUCUUAACUGCUUGUGUGGAAUUAAUUUUCCACUGUAAUUUAAUUUGAAUUUAAUUUAUAAAUAAAUUAAAUUUAAUAAACAGAAUUCAAUUCAUUUUAGUUUUUAUAUUACCCUCAUCAACUUCAUCUCAUUUCUUCAAAGUUAUGUAAAAAAAAAGAUAGGUAUUUUAAAAAAAUAAUUUUAACAUUAAAUGUUUUCUAUUUGGAAUUAUAAAUAAGAGGGAUUAAUAUCUAAUUUAUUUUGAUAUAAUUUUUAGAGAUUGAAUUCUAUGUAAAAUAUGUUAAAUAACACUAAAAAUAUUUUAAAUAUGAAAUAUUAUUAAAAAUUUCUAAUUUAAUUUAGUGAUUUCAAAACAUGCAUGAGUUUUUGAAAUUGGUGCUUUUCAACCGGAUGGGUUGGGAGAGGGAAAAAAGAAACUUCUGCCGUGAAGAAAGCCCAAUUUCAUUCGAAUCAUUUUUGCGUGCAAUGAUCCUUCCUUCAGGUUUUACGGGCUCUUCAUUUCUUUCUUUUACAACAUGAAAGUGAUAUCUAUUUUUGGUGUAUUUUUAGUACUUAAAAGAACAUGUUAAUUGGACCAAAAAGUUCACCUUUAAAAAAAAAAAUUAUUCUUGUUUGUUGAUUUGCUAAUUUAUGUAAGGGGAUAUUUUAAAGUAUAGUUGUGGUUGUUUUUUAAAGUAUUUUCACUAAAAAAAUAUUAAAAUAAUAAUUUUUUAAAAAAUAUUUUUUUGACAUCAACACAUCAAAAUGAUUUAAAAACAUAAAAAUAUUAUUAUUUUCAAGUAAAAAAAUAAAAAAUAUUCAAGUAUUUUCAACCAAUGUUGAUUCAUUCAUAGGUUAUAAGGGAUUUUGAGCUAGUGACUAGUAUAUUCUGUUUAGUAAUGUGAUAAGAGGCUUCUUUUUUUUUGUUUGUUAAAAAAUUCUUUUGACCCUUUUGAAUUUUAACAAGGCAGUGCAAGGGCUCUGAAAAGUGUAGGAAAAGUCAAAGGUAUUAAAAUCAUGAAUUAACUUGUAAAAUUAUAUGAUUUUAUAAGUAAAUAUAUAUUUAUCAUCUAAAAUUGAGUUAACUUAAAAAACUAAUAAAAUCAUACUAAAAUCAAGUAAAAUCAUGAUUUUACAAUCCAUUUUACAAUAAUUCCAAAUUUUUAAGUAUUAUCAUCCUCAAUGCAUACCCUUGUGUUUACUCAUUAAUGCAUGAGCCCACACGUGCUUGUAUCUGUGGAUUCUUUCUUUAAUCAAUAGUGUAGAGAUAAAGAAAACAUGGCCUUACUUUAACACUUUCUAACAAAUAAAAAAUUAUUUAUUACGGAACAAAACUUUGAAAAUUUUUAUUUCAUAAGGAUAUUUUUACGGACAAGAGUGACAAACAAUACUCUAAAGUCUGAUCUACCAUGUGUCUAUACUAAAAUACGAUAGUUUUUUAAACAAGUUUACAACAUUAUGAUUUAUCUAUAGAAAAUCCCAUAACUUGUCUAAGACAUAAUAACAAGAAACAAGACUUCAAAAUUAAAAAGAAGGUACAACUUUGAAUUGUUCGAUUUAUUAUUUAUUUUAGAUCAUACAGGGUCUAUAAUUCUUUAAUUCUAUAAUUCUUUAAUGAUUCUCUUAUUGAAGUUCAUAGUGUGUAACAAACAAUAUCAGUCUGUUGUUAUCUAAAAUAAAUACUACAUUUAUUUAAUUAGUGAUUUUACAGAACAGGAUAUAAUAUCAUAGCUAAGUGGGCAUAAAGUGGGGAGUUUUCUCAAACCAAUCCCUCGACUAAUUGAGAUAAUCAGGUGAGAAUUUUUGCCUGUCCGUGGUUUUCCAUAGGCUGGACGCCCGAAUCAAAAAAGCUUUCCACUGCUGCCUUGUAGAAAACCUCAUUGAACCAUGACGGGGAUGGUGAAGCAGAUGAUAUGGUGGCAAAGGUAUCGUUCUAUCGCUUUCAACUUCGGAGUACUCUUGGUUGUCUCAUGAUCCGACGAUCCUGACCCUUCAAAUGAAGUCUCGUAGUAGUCAAUGUCAUGAUCCCCUUCUGAACCUUCAAAAGACUCUUGGUUGUAAAUGUCAUGAUCCAAUGCUGGAGAUUGAUCGUAGUUGCUCCGUCCAAAUGGAUGUGUCUCUAUCACAUGGAUCCCACAUCGUACCACUUCACUGUUUUCGGACCUCAAUAUCACAUGUAGUUCCAAUCCAGCAUCUCCGAAGUAUUUUUCCAUUUCCAUCUCACGUCUACUUAUGACUCUUAGCCACCUACAACGGAAAUAGGGUAUUGCAUGUGUAGCUUCAAACAACUGAACACCGUUGCUUUUAUUUUUUAUAAUAGCAUUUAAUUCUCGAUGCCAAGUACCACCUGAACAGAGAGCCCAAAUGACCAAGCCUUCGAAAUCUGGAGGUAUAUCAAAUGAUAAUGAACAUCCUUCUCCACCGUAGCUGAACCAUUUUGGAAUGAUAGAAUUAUCGCAGGGAACCAAAAAAGCCUUGAAGGGAAUAAAAUACUCGAGAAAAUGAUAACUGAAGAUUCUCUGUAUAAAUAUUGAAUUCAAGGAACGCUGAGAUUUUAGACACCGAUUAAUAUAUAUAUCUGCGUGCACACCAAUUGUGUGCAAGAGGGACAGGACUAGUACCUGAAGAAGCCGAUCCUUGGUAUUUUUUGAUAAAUUACUCAGACCUUGCUUGCCGUCAAUGUCAAUGAAAUUGCACAGCGCAUAUUGAGACAGAUAUGGUGGUGCAGCUAUUACGACUCUAUCUCUUCCAACUUCAGACUCAUGAUCCAACUCUGACCCUUCAAAUGAAUCUGUCUUUUCAACUAUCACAUGGAUCCCACAUUCAAACACAUCAGUGUCUUCUCCCGUAUAAAGUCAGACGCACAGUUCCAAUUCCUCAUCUUCAUAAUAUUCUUUCAUUGCCAUCUCGCUUAGACUUAUGUAUCUCAACCAAUUUCUACCGACACAUUGAAUUACAGUUGCUUCAAACAAUUGAAUACCGUUGCUUUUAUUUUUUAUACACAAUUUGGCGGUACCAAAAAGACAUAUCAAGCAUUGACAGGCAACCCCAACGACCAAGCCUUGGAAAACUGGAGGUACAUGAAAUGAUAAUGAACUUCCUUUUCCACGGUAGCUGAACCAAUUUGGAAUCAGAGUGAACUUAUCUUUCUGGCUGAACGUAUUGAAGAGAAUUUGAUACCCGUAACCACCGUAGCACAGUGCCUGUAUAUAUUAGACAUUAAUUAAUGUAUAUAUAGUAUGUGCUUAUUUGUGUGCAUGAGAGACAGAAAUAGUACCUCAACAAGACUUUUCUUAUAAUUAUUUGGUAACUUGCUCUUGGUAACAGAGAGAAUAAUCCAGCCAUGAUUACUUAGACCUUCCAUGCCUUGAAUCUCUAUUAAAUCCGGACAACCAAACAAAUCCAGGCUUAGAUAUUUUUUUGCUUCGAUUGGUAGUCUUACCCAUUGCAUUGAUUUGCAACCAAAUGUAUCCAAAUGUUCUAAAUUUGAGGGAAGCUUUGGGAUUGAUACAAGAUUUCUGCAUUCCUGAACGGUCAAAAGCCGCAGCUUAGAAAGGAUGCCGAUGCUAGAAGGCAGACUAAAGAACUCGUUUCUUGAUAGAUCCAACUCUUCAAGAGAGGACAAACCUCCAAAAUCAACACAAUUAGUUACGCGUUCAGACAAACCAUAACCACCAAGUUUUAGCUUUCCCAAUACUCUCCAAAUAGUGGAAGUUGGAGUUAGCAGAAAAGCUGAAAUCCAAGAAGAAUUUGGUGAAGGCCGAUAUGGUAAGUUCCCGUCCCACUUCCAGUGUCCGCGCAAUGACAACUUCCUCAAACACUUUAAAUGUCCAACUGAAGAGAGAAAUUGCUCGUUGUUAAUUCCAUCUGCUAGAAGCUCAGUUCACUCAUGCACUCCGGCAGCUCUUUAAGUUGUGAGCACCCCGAAAUAUUCAAACACACAAGAGACUUUGAAUGUCCAAUAGAUUGAUCUACCUCAACUAAACUUGAGCAACCUUCAAGCAGUAGUUUCUCUAGUCUUGAACUAUGCAAGUUUGGUGUUUUUACAAGGUUCUUUGAAUAACUAAGAUCAAGAAUCUUUAGAUUGUUGAGCAUCUGUCAGAGCAGAGAGAAAAAUCAUUAAAAAGUAAUCAUCAAAAGUUCUCUAGACAAAUUUUUGGGCAUUUUGGUAUGUUUCGCACCUUGUUUUCCUUCCAUAGUUCUCUGAUUUUAUUGUACUGCAUAUCAAUAACAACUACAUAGUCUAGUGAAAAGUCGGAUGGUAAAAAUUCCAAAGGACAUUCAAGCCAACAAAUCCACGUCAACACUUUAGAAAGCUGCUCGAAAGAUCCGGUGAGUUCUGCUCCAUUGAUUUGGAGUAAUUUUAACAAUUUCAUUUUUGUAAAUGAUCCUGUGCUUAGUGAUUUGUCUUCUGAUCUUCUCACAUCCAGUGUAAGGCCCUUUACAACUUCUGUUCCCUUAAAAAGAAAAAAAAAUCAAUAGAACUUUCAUGUGAUUGUUUGUAAUAAGUUUGACAAUAAAGAUACAAAUGAAUGUGCUUUUCUGUAUGCAUUGAUCUCUUACCAUCUGCAUCUUGAGUACUAUCCACGCAUCCUCUUGACUCCAAAUUCUGCUCCUUUGUGCAGGAUUUUCAGGUGACUCUUCCUUAACGAUCUCCCUUCCCAUCCCUCGUAAUAGAUCAUGCAUUCCUAUCGUUCCAGAAUCAUCAACUUUAAUCAGAGACCGUUCAAUAAGAGUUCCGAAAUCAUCUUCUGGAUUGCAAUCAUAACGUCCUUCUAGCACUUUUGCUAUGUAUUCUUUCUUUCUACCAAUAAAGAAGCAUGCAAUAUCAAGAAAUGUAUUCUUUAGUGUAGAUUCAUCCAGUGUGUCAAAACUUAUUCUAAGUUUUUUCUGAAUUUCACUGUUUGGAAAAUUUCUCAAUCUGUCAAUUACAGAUUCCCAUCUAGCUUGGUUUUUCCCAUACAAACAAGAACCUAAAACCUUAAGAGCUAAAGGAAUUCCUCCACAGUAUUCAACUACAUCAUUCGAAAGCUCAACAUAAUAUUUUGCUGGUUUGGUGUCCCUAAACGCAUGCCUACAGAAAAGCUGAAGGGAGUCACCCCGGGUCAAUUCUUGAACCUGGUAUCUUUGAUCAGCUUCAAGAAGUAAGCUUUCAUCUGUAGUUGUAAUUAUUACCCUACUUCCAGGGCCUAACCAACUUGGCUCUCCCAUCAAAUCAAAUGAAGAAGUGCGGUCUCAUUAUCAUGGGUGACCUACCCAGAUGGAAAAAAUAUGAAGAAGUGUGGUCUCGUUAUCAUGGGUGACCUACCCAGGUGGAAAAAAAAUAUGAAGUGUGGUCUCAUUGUAAUGGGUGACCUACCCAAGAUGGAAAAAAUAUGAAGAAGUGCGGUCUCAUUGUCAUGGCUGACCAACCCAGGUGGAAGAUGUGAUAUGACAAGUGUGAAAAAUAGGACUUACCUGGCGAAGUCCUGAGGGGAUGACAGAAAAAGGGCUGGAAAACUUGGUGCUUCCUGAUAAUUCCCGAUCAUAGGGUUUGAAAACUCGGUGUUUCCUGACUGCAAGGGUUGAAAAUUCGAGGCUUCCCGGUUGCAAGGUUGAUCUAUUCAUUUCUUUGGGAUUUUCCUAAUGGUAGGGUUCAUCCCAUCGUCCUUUUAUUCCAUGAUCAAAACCGAUUCUUUAUUAUCAUCACCCACAAUGCUUCUUUCUUUUUCCACCAUCUUGCUGGACCUCAUUAAGGAUUUUCCUAUAACAAUUCAAAAAUAUGUACAAAUGGUUUUUUUUUUUUUUUUGAGGUUAGAUGAUAUGCAUGCAUCCUUACCUGAUUUGAAAUAUAGGUCCCCCCCUCCUUGAUGCUCCAUCGUCAUAGGGUGCCCUUGUUUGCAUCCCAAAGUUUUCUUUGUUCUUCCGAUGCAUUGGCUCAUUCAUGUGCUAGCCAUCCACUCAGCUGUAAAUGCAGUGCCCAUCCCGGGCUGUCUUCGACAAUUACUGCUUGCCUCGUUCAUCAAGCUUGACCCUGCCCUCAAGUGUGGUGCUGCUCAAUUCAUUAUGAAGGUUUUUCUCUCCUAGAUUCUUUCGAGGAUUAUCCUUUUGAUUGAUUGUGUGUGUUGUAACCCAUUUUUAGGUCCCCACAAAAAUAAAAAUAAAAUAAAUAGCCAAAGGAGGUUAGAAAAAUAACAAGAGGUAGAAGCGCUUAGAAAGUGGUCAGAAAAAUCGGUCAAGGAGGAUAAAAAUACAAAGAUGGAUUUUUGACAAUAUAUUCUUGAAUGAUAAGAACCCUGGUGGAUAAAAAAAUUUGAUUUUUUGAGGAGAAAAGUCCAAAUUUGGAGGUUUAUGGAUUUAAUUGGAUUUUUAAUUGAAUUUAUAGAGGAUUUGAGUGCAAGAAAAGUUGAUUUUUAAGUCAAUUUGGGCUUUAAUUAGAAGAAAUUUAAGUUCUGGGGCCAAAAUAUAUUUUUUAGGAUUUUAUUGGGUCAAAUCAGGGGCUUAAUUGCAUAAAUAUUGAAGUUUAAUGGCCAAUUAGGGACUUAAUUAAGAAAAUCCGAAACCAGGGACCAAAUUGGAAGAGGCGCGUAAAUGGAGGGGCUGCAAUUAUUCGGUUUAGGGGCCUAAUUGAAGAAAUUGAAAGUUUAUUAAUCAAUUGAGGGCUCAAUUGCAUAAAUUAGAGGCCAAGUACCAAAGUGAAAAACACGGCCAACUAUGGGGGCGGGGACCGAAUUUGGCAGGGAUACAAUUGAAAUGAACAAGAAAUGAUGGAGGGCUGAUUUGAAGUUUGGCUCAUUUAAAUGAAAAGGCGCGUUUUAUCCAAAACGACGUCGUUUCAUAUAUAUAUAUAUAUAUAUAUAUAUAUAUAUAUAUAUAUAUAUAAAAGACCAGAACGAUGUCGUUUUGAACGACACUGUUCAUCUUCCUCCUUCCCCCCGAAUGAGCAGCAACAAGAGACGAAAACAUUUUCAAACCUUCCCGCCUCUCUCUCCUCGCCCCCACCGAAGCCCCACAAGACCACCAAACGGGUCACUGGCCGACCAGCCGUUGCGUGAUUGAAGGUGCACUAGCAAAAGGCACACCGGCUCCUUUUUUCCCCCUUAUAAAUAGAGAGAGACCAAAGGAGAGAGGAAGACCCGAGGAUAGAGGGAGAAGAGAAAUAACGCACGAAGAAGAGGGAAGAGCAGGAACAAACCGAAAACAAAGAAACCCAAACCGAAAACAAAAAAGAAAAAAAAGAGAACCGAAACAAGGAGAAGGGAGGAGAGAGAGAGAGCAAACCGAACACUUGGAAACAGCCGCCGCGCCGCCGCCCGAAGCCGCCGUCCACAAGCCACGCCACCGCAGCACCGCCAGUGACCGCCUCCUCCACGCCAGGUAAAUUUUCUUCUUCCCCCUUCGCUUUCAUUGCAGGCGUUACCUCCUGCAUGAAGAGUUCUGCAUGCAGGAGGCGAGGGGAAGAAAAUUAAUUCUUCCCCCCGCUGGGCCGAGGGUGCUGGGCCAGCCCGAUGCUGGCCCAGACUGUAGAAGUUUUUGGGCCGAGAUCGGCCCAAUUUCAUUUUGGGCUGAGGUCGGCCCGUUUUUAUUUUUUUGGGCUGAGCCUGGCCCAUUUAUUUGGGCCGGCCCAGCCCCAUAAUAUAAUAUAUUAUAUAUUAUAUAUAAAAAAAUAUUUAUAUUAAAAGAAAAUAUUUUGAAAAAUCUUAAAAAAUACUGUUGAUUUUCCUGCAUAUUUUUGUCAAAAAUGCUUUAAUGUUGGUUUGUAUUUUUAUACCGUAAAGAUACAAAAUAAGUGUUAAAAAUACCCGGUUUUCGUCAAAAUAUCAAAGAUUUUUAGAAUAAAAAAUGUUUUUGCUAAAAAAAAUCCCUAAAAAUGUUGUUGAUUGUUCUGCAUAUUUUUAUUAAAGUUGAUUAAUAUUGGAUUGUAUUUUUAUAUCGUAAGGAUACAAACUCAGUAUUUAAAUACCCGAUUUUCAUCAAAGCAUAAAAAAUAAUAUUUUCCAAAAAAAUUUGUGUUUGGUUUUAAAAUACGGCCUAGUCUCUCCAAUAUAUAUAUAAAUAUUAUAUCAUAUUUUCACACAACAAAGGAAAUUUUCAAAACAAUAUAUGUAUUAGCAUGCAUUUUGGCUUUAAUAACCAGUUUAUUCAAGCCAUGAGAACUAGACCAAUAUUUCAAAAAUUAUAAAAAAUUCUUUUUGUUUUCUUUUAGUAUUUGGGAUUAGGAAUUUAUACGUAAAAUGUAUUCCUAAAUAUUAUUAAUAAAGUUUUGGGUAUAGACGUUAGAACAGUUAGGAUUUUACCCAAUAAGAUAAAGAUCUCCUUAUCGAGGAGGUUUUUUUCUUGAACCAUACACAGACCAACAACUAGGAAAACACGAAAAUACCUUAGAUUUUAUCAGAUAAUAAAACAAUGCAGCUUACCUUAGGUAGGGCGUAUUUGGGGUGUUAAUACCUUCACUUUACGCAACCAGUCCCCGUACCCGAUCUCUGAGACCAGUUAGGGUUCCUAGUGACCAAAAUACUAGGUGGCGACUCCAAAGAACCAAAUCAGUAAAACAAAAAAAAAUCGCCAGCUGAACGCCGCAUUGGAUUUUUUUUGGGGUGCGACAGUGUGCAUCAUGCCAACACCCAUCCAGAUUGUUAACUAGUCUGAAACUGCCUCCAGUUGAAACAUCAUUCAAGUAUAUGUGGUCAUCCAUAAUCAUGGAACUGCCACGUCAUUCCGACAUGCAUCUCAUACUUUGCAGGGAAAGGCUCAUCGUUGUAAGCUCAAUGUUUUCCUCAAAAAGUUAUUCUCACCCAUCUAAUCAGAUCUUGAAAAGAAAUGUAUUGGCAUCAUCAAUGAUGUUCAUGUUAUCACCCAUAUUCAUGCGGUGAAGUGUGCAUUUGAGCUUCAAAACAAAUGGUCCCACAAUCAGUCUUGGUGGGUGCAUCCUUCAGCAUUCAUGCACAUGCAACUAUGUGAACAUCGUUCAAAAGUCAUACCAUGUUGAAGAUGAUAAACCAAGAUGAAGAUAUGAAAAUAUCCUUCUAGUGCAGCGUUGCUCAUCAAUUGCUGCUGAAGUGCACUAGAUCAUGGAUUGUCUUUGAACAACAUUGCCCCAUAUGAUCUGAAGGUUCGUUCAUCUUUAUACUCAAGAAGGUUUUUCUUUGUCAUUGUCAGAUGCUAAAACUUUGGACUUUGAUGACUCAUCAUCUGAUUCUUUCUUUGCCCCCAGCUGAUCUGGAUAUUGUUUGUUUUCUUCUUAAGGGUCCACUGUAUUGCCCCCAGGUGGUCAACGUUUCAAGGAGUGUCGAGAAAUGUUGAUGUCAUUUUUGUCAAGGAUUUUGCAAACUCAAUGAUGUUUUCUUGUUUGAAAUCUUUCUUGUUCUGGAAUCAAAUCUCAUUUCAACGAUCAUGUCUAUUCAAGUCUAAUUGUUGAAAUGAAAUCAGAGAGAUAUCUGUUUUUGAAAAUUAUUUUGAAAUUCAAACUUCUUUGGUCAAAGACCCAACACACUAUUCAAUGCAGUCCUUUGAUUGUCUUGUAUUUUGAAAACAGAAAUGACCCGUUGUAAGAUUUAAAAUGACUUUUUCAUGGUUCUUUGUGUCCACUUUAAACUCUGAUUUUGGGUAUAUCUUUUUGGUUGUGAUGAGGUGAUUUUUAUGAAUUUCAAAAACAAGAUGCUCAGGCUUUAUCAAGAAAGGUUGUUUCUUUUCUUAGCAUUUAUUUUAUCAGCAUGCAUAAUAACCAGUAGCUUAAUUCAUGAAGUCACGACCCUUAUGGAAAAACUCUUCAAGUUUUGAGAGCGCCAUUUAUCGUUCAAAGUUGCUUGCUUGAUUAAAAAGGGCUUUUAAAAGCACGUAAUGCAGGCUAUGGUUCAUGGCUAAAAGAAAGAAUUUCAAGGCUCAAAAGGUGUUUGAGGGUUUCAACGACCUAGGACCAACAUUAACUAUUCAUCGAUUCUCUUUCUCUUUUGUCAUUGUAGAGAAAGUGACAUAUAACCUUGUUAAUCUCAAAUAUCAGAAUUCUCUUAACAUAGGUCAUAAUGCAAAUCCAACUUUUCUUUGAUGAAUAACUAAUCUAAUUUUGAAGACAUUAGAGGCUCUAUCCUAGACACACCAAAAGAUAUGAAGCAUCGAUUUUUCUAGUGUUGACUUUUGGUAUUUAUUGUCUUUUCUCAAUUGAAAACUGUCUUGCCUCUCUUAGAAUUGAUAGACAUUCCUUUUCCAUUUCUUUCAUUUUUUUUGCAUAGCCUUCCUCAAAGUUUUUCUUGGAUGGCCCUCAAUCUAUGGAUUUUCUUCUUCUAGCCCUUUCUCAAACAUUGGACUUUUGUUCUAAGCUUUUCUUUGAUCCAUUGAUUUAUGUGUCUCCAAAAUAUUCUCAUUUGCCCCCAGUGUGGGGUGUGAUCCUAGUCAGGGUUUUUUGAAAGAAAAUAUUUCACCAGCUCAAAAUGGGACUACAAGGGAUAAUUUUAGAAAGUGAAGGAUAUCAAAGAUGGCCUUUUCUCAUUUCAAGCAAGGUCGGUUAGAACCGAUAAAUUUUGACCUCAUCUAGUGUAAUGAUUGGACUUGUAAGAGUCAUGAUUCACGAGUCCAUAACUACCAAAUCCACUACAUGUCAUUAUGCAUACUGCUAAAACUUAGCUAUAUGAUGUGUGGUUCAAUUUAGUGUGAGUUCAAAAUUUGUUCGGUCACCUCAUGUCAUUUCAACAAGAAUCGAGUCAUUUCUGCAAUCAAAACACUUUUAAUCUUCAGGAUUGAUUAACCUUUAUCGCAUGUUGGAGUUUGAUCAAAAUAUUUCGUCAAAAAACCCUUUGAAAGAAGUAUCUCUUGAUUUCAAAACAAUAAGAAGACAAAAAAACAUGUUUCGUUCAAGGAGGAGAUGUGAUCCCAAAACAAAAUGCAAAAUGGCAAAAAUCCAUAACAAAAAUGCUUGACAGUUUAACUCCUUCUUGGAUCAACUUCUCUAGCAAUAUAUAUGUUUUGCCAAGCAAUUCCGAUCAUUUGUCAUUCUAAAAAUGAUUGAUGACAUCAUCUUUUGCAAAUUGAGCUCGACUCUUGAAACUCUUUCAUCUGUUUAACUAAAAUGGCCGAGGACCCCCACCAUGACAACACAUCUCUUGUCCAGAUUGAACCACCUAAAAAAUAGUGGUUAGAUGGGAUUUGUCGAAGUCAAGAAAAAUUCUAGAAUCUGGCAGAUGCUGGUCGACAAACUUAAGUGGCAGAGGAAUAUCCAUCUUGGCAAAGACAUUUGAGCAAUUGAUGCUUGAGCGAGACUUGACUAGGCCAAAUAACUGAGGUUUCUCAAUCGAGAGUCAUCUUCUGAUUCAACUCUCUUCACAGUUCUGGAAUUUAUAACAAAACCUUCAAUCCUUCACUUCUUCAUAGCUCACUCAAUUCUUUCGAUGAUCCUCACAACAUCAUGUCACUCUUCCAAUGUUGUUGUGGUUGGUUGAGGGUUGUUGGAAAACUUUCCAACAGCUUGGUAAUCUUGGCAGCGCCCAAAAACUUGUAGAAUCAUGCUUUAUCUCUUCUAUGGGAGAAAAUGAUGAACAUGAAUCUCCUCUAUUUCUUCUUCGAUUCCUCUUGAACGGUGCAGCAAACAAGCACCAAUAGAGGGAGUUCUGCUCUGUGGAAGUUUCAGUCUUCUUCAUGUUUUUCAUUUUAGGCAUGUCUCUUCUCUCUACUUUUGCGUUUUAAUACUGACACUGUUGGAGGAAAAUCAUAGAUGAUCUGAAACUACUGUAUUCCUUCUUGGAUUUCCCACUUGCGGAUCCACAAACAGAUUCCUGUCGAGAGAGCUCUGCUACGUUGAAGUUUGAUGUCUGCUCAUAUUUUUCAGACCAGGUCUGGCUCUUUGCCUACUACAAUGUUUUGCUUGUGCCACUGGUGGGAAAAUGUUUUUUCAAAGCAUAUGAAAUUAAUACAUCCCCUUUUGAAUUUUCCAUUGGCAGAUCCACAAAUAAAUCUCUAUAGAGAGAGCUCUACCGCGUAGAAGUUCAGUGUCUCAUCAUGGUUUUUCAGACCAACAUCUUAUGCUGCUGAACUGGAAUUGAGCUCAUAAUUGGGGUAACUUCAAAGUAGACUAGUGCAAAAUGAACAUAAGGCUAGUAGUCGUUUGGUUGCAUUAGAUGAUGUGGAGGCGAUGAACACUUAACAGUGCAACUGGACAGGAAUCAGAGUUGUCAUUAGUUGAUGACUGAAGGCAUUGUUGCUGUUGUUCAUGAAUGAAAAUGAGAGAUACAACUUCAAUUGGACGUGAACAAGCAGUGUUCCCACAGAAGACUGUGCAGACACUCUCUUUCCAUUUAAUGCUCAACACUUGUUUGAGCAAAUCUCAGUCCAGCUACUUCGUCUUUGAUGCUCUCAACCUUAAUCUUAUAAUGAGCCUCUAUCUGACAUCUUUCUUCACUUCCAUCAUUUUUCUUCAAUCACGUACAGCACAGCUUGUGCGGGGGAACCUACUUUUCAACCCAGUACAUGCAUGAUAAAUGUAUGAACAUGUAAUCUAUAUGAUGAACUCGCCCUUCAAAGGGUGACAAUAUGGUCGUAACUCUUGUAUGAUGGAACAAGAAUCGUGAUUUUUGCCCAAGCUCUACAAUGAAAAUUUUCGGAGUGAUGACCAUUGUGUCACCCAUAAGUCUUUAGUUCAAGAUGCUUCAAGAAGGGUUUGCUCAGAUGCAAAACAAAUAUUUACGGAGCAUACAUCUUACAGCAGGUUCUAAUCUUUUUACGUGAGACAAAGGAUAGGUUUACUACUUGGUGUCUAAAAAAAGGGUCUCUUGUUGUCCCAGUGAUUACCCUCGUAAAGGCAAUAUAGGGGCCCGGUAGGUAAUGGAUUGGCACGUGUACCAAUAUUUAUCAGUCUAAGCACUCAACAAAGAGUUGGGGUUUACACAAACUUAAACCUUGACUCAAGUCAUAAGGUAAGCUGCUAGUCCCCCACUUAACUUAAAGUUUAAUGUGUGUGCUCUCAAAAAUAAACAAAGGUGAUGCAUGAGACAAUUCUAUAAAAUGCAUNNNNNNNNNNNNNNNNNNNNNNNNNNNNNNNNNNNNNNNNNNNNNNNNNNNNNNNNNNNNNNNNNNNNNNNNNNNNNNNNNNNNNNNNNNNNNNNNNNNNAGUGAAUUAAUAUUUGAUCUCCAGCAUUUGUUGAAAAUGAAGCAUGGUAUUUUCCUUCAAACGAACCCAUGCCUCAACGCCAUCGCCAUCGUUAGAGUCCAAUAGCAAAAUCCCCUCUAUUGGUGCAUACACGCUACUCACCCAUUCUGGCCUUUCCCAACCAAAAUCUGCUUCAUAAAUUGGAAACCGACUCCAGGAAUUAAACAAAUAGACAUCUAUUUCAGUUGUUUCAAAUAUUUCUUUCAUCUUAAGCAUCUUGUUUGUCACUAUUGAAAUUAUGUCAUCACCAUUCGAAGCUUUAGCACAUUCUGAGAAAGUGCUACUCAUUUCUUCAUGGAUUCGAUUUACCACAUCAUGAAGCUGCACUGUGCUGUCAUCACCUGGAAUGAAUUGUGCAAUUGACAUGGUUCCAAAAUUUCCACACAUAUUCCCUGGAAUCGGUAGCGCUGUCCUCCUUCUCAUGUCAACUAUGUGUGUUAGAUAAGAAGGACAUAAGCAUCCAUGUCUGGCUUGAGAGGCCUUGAUGAGAGCCCUCCAUAUGAAAGCUGUCACCACUUGCACUCGUGAUGGUUCGUAUUUCAGCGAUCCUGAAUUAUUAACGUUGACAUGAGCAGCUGCUUUCAGACUUGAUAGAGCUGCGCCAUUAAACACAAUCCUUUUCUCGACAAUCGUGUUAUCUCUUUUGCUCCUCGGAGAAAAAGUCUUGAUGGAAGACAUAUCUUUUGGUGGGCAGAAGGAAGACAAUUGGAAACUUGGGGAGUGAACUUUGUCGAUUCCUAUUCUGCACGCGGUAGCCCAAGCAUCAACAAAUGUAAACAAAGUGAAUCCAUCAACUAUCUUGUGUGUCACAGAUAUACCAAUGGCAAGUCCACCACAUUCAAACAUGUUGAACUGAACUAUAAGCAAAGGGCUUUCUUCUGGUUGAAAUAAUGGUGGAGCUAAAUGAUUCCUCAGCUCGGUUACAAGCUCUCCUUCCUUGAGAAAUUCAGAGAGGCAACCACUUGCUUUGGCUUCCAAAUAUUCUGCCCCAUUGUCGUUACAAUCAAUGAAGACACUUCCUUUCACGUAUCUUCCUCCAAGUGGGUAAUAAAGGGUCAAGAUUUCUGAUAAGGAUUUUUGCAACUGCUUGCUUUUUUCUGCAGUAUUAACACAAUCUUCUUCACCACUGGCUGGGUAGUAGAAAAUGCACGAUGUGUAAUGAUUUGAAGGAAAAUUCUGAUCUAAACAAGAUAUUUUCAAUUUCUGAAGGUUGAGUGGAGUUGGAGAUGAUGGAGUUAUCAACUUUCUAGCUAAGAUCUGAACCUUCAUAUUCGAAUUCUUUCGCUUUCGCUUUGCAAGAGAUGAUGUAUAGAUUUUUGUGAAGAAAUUUCACACAAGCUAGAGGUUGGAUUGCUUGAAAAACUUCUGUAUAAACAAUAUAAAAUGUCUGCAGUGAUUAUUUAAGCUGAUUCUGGUGCUUUGUUCCCAGCAAAACUGCUAAAAGAUUUUAUAUUAUACCUCGGGAAAAGGUGGGGUGGGGAGUAGUUAAGCUGUCUACUACUCUUCUGUUGGCAUUGCCCUAACUUGUGAAUCCUGAGACGUUGAAUUUUAUUAGUUAAUUAACUUAAGCUAAUCAUGACAUUGACAAAAUAAAAAUAAAAAUAAAAAAUGAAUUAAAUAUUUUAUACAGCAUCUGUCUUUUGGGUCCCUGGCUAGCACUGGAAACCAGAGAAGACAGCCUCUUCAAAAGUUGAUGAACUUGUACAUGAAAAUGUCCUGUCACCCCUUGGUCUUACAAGGGUUGAUUUGUUGUCUGGCUGGUAUAUAUUAGGUACAUUCCUGACGACGUAAUGAUUUCGAAAGAUGCUUGAUGCAGUGAUGCUCUGUAAUUGUUGAGACAGAGAAACUGGCGCUCCAGACUAAUGCUCUAUCUGUAUUUCCCCAUUCUACAGUUCCUCUGCAAUUGUUGAGACAAAGAAAUUGUUGAGACUAAUGGAUCGGGAUUCUAGAAUCUCAAUCCAUUAGUCUCCUUGAAAAUGGCAGAUCUUAAUUUUUCUAACCUAAACCUCAAAAACCCAUAACAAUUCAAUUAACCCAUCAUACUAUAAUCAAUUCAUCUAUUAAACUCCAAAAACACAAAACUCCAAAACCCUAAAUCUCAUCAAGUCUAAAACCAAAGCUAAUUACAACAAUUAUACUUAUCAAAACAUAAAUCUUACCUUAAUAACUCAUUUCUUCAAACUUAUCUUCUCCUUCCUUUAUCUUUCACUCUCUUUCUUUCUCCUUUCCACUACCGGUUCUCUCUCUCUCUCUCUAAUUUCAGAUUCUCUCUUUUCUUUCCUUUUGUUUUUCUCUUCUUUUUAUAUUUAUUAAUUCUUUGUGCAAUUAUCUAAAUUUCCCUCAUUCAUUUAUACGUAAUAUCCACUCCUCUAAAGGGCAUUGUUUCAUUUUCCUACUCGAACCCCUCUUUUCAUUUGCCAAGAUGCUAGCUAAUAGCCAGCAGGUAACAUUCAAACAUAUACUUCUAAUAUCAUGCUUUGAGAAUGGAGAUCGCCCUUGGCAUCUGGAUAUCUCAUAUAUAUGCAAACAUUUCCAGACUGAUAUUGCUCUUUCUAUAUUUUCCCGUUCUGAGUUUCCUCUGUGGAAAGAUAUUAAAAGACCUGAUUGUGCCACAUGUCAAGAGAUUAGAGAAUCAAGCAGUUAAAAUUCUGUUAAGCAGUUAAAGUUCUGUUAAUAAUGUUAGACAGUUAAGAAAGUUUGUUAGUAUUGAGGUGAGAAGCUUGUUCACAUCUAUAACUUGAUAUAAAAAGAUCUGUAACAGUGUAAAACAGAGUAAUGAAUUACAGUGAACACAUUCUUCUUCUUCCAUCACCUAUCAGACAUUCUCUCUGCUUAGUUUUCUAGUGUAUUCCUGUGAAAAUCUGCAUCUUAACACUCUGUAAUUGUUGAGACAAAGAAAUGGGCGCAUAAUGGCACUGCAUGGUGAUGAAGAAGUAGCUAACAAGCAGGUGAUAUUAAAAGACUAUGUCAUGUCUGGUUGUCCUAAGAAUUCAGACAUGAAUGUGAUCACCAGUUCUAUCAAACUUGAAGGUGUUUACGUGCUUGAGUAUUAUGUAAGAAAAGAAAGUAGAAGAGAAUUUUAAAACAGCAAUGUUAUUGAUGCUGCAGUAUUAUUAAGAAAGGAUUGAAUACAGAAUUGCUUAAUGUUUCACAGCAAUCUUAAUCAUUUGAUAAAAUUGCUGUUUGAUCAAAUUAGAGAUGUUUCAUGCUAUUAGGAUAAGGAUGAUGGACUCUGUAAAUGUUUUGAAUCAAGGCAAACAAUCACCAGUACAAUAUGUUUCAAAUUUGUUGAGUUACUUCUCUUGGGUAUUCUUUUGCUACCUGCAGUGAGUAUUCUUCGGAAUCAUCUUCAGAUAACGAUGAACAGAUUGAACAAUAACAGUACUUUUGGGAUUUUAAAUGAUGGUUCUGAAAUUACCUUUAUGUCAAGGGGAUACAAUUCUUCUUCCAUCUGACAGUAGUGGAGAAAAACUAGCCAGCAAGUUUUUGAAACAGAAGUAGCACCAUUAAAACACAGAAAGCUAGAGCUGAACCUAUUUUCAAUGUAAAAAACAAAAAAAGCAGUUUAAUUUGUAUCUAAUGGUAAAUUCAAUAACAGAAAAGAUGUAGAUGGAGCAGCAAAUGACACAAGAAGUUAUCGAAAUUCCAAACCAUACCUCAGUGUGUUAAUAUAUUGUCGUUCUAUACACAAUGGACAACAUUGAUGUUUCCUUAUGCUUACUCUUUGUGUUUGCUCACUAAUACAUGACAAGUAAUUGGAUCCAUGAAUUCUUUUUUAAAUUAAUAGUACAAUGACGAAGAAAACAUACUCUUAUUUAACCCUUCAUAACAAAUAAAAAUUUAUCUAUUAUAAGACUAAAUUUUAAAAUAUUUUAUUCCAUAAAGAUAUUAAAUAAAUUCUUUAAUCAAUAGUAAUAAAUAAUAUUCUAAAAUUUGAUCCAUAAUGUGUUUAUGUCUAAAUAUCUUAGUCUUUUAAAUAAAUUCACAACAUUAUAAUUUAUCUAUAAAAAACGUCAUAACUUGUCUAAAAUAUUAUCUAUCUAACAAGAAACAAGACUUCAAAAUUAAAAAUAAGUCAACCUUUGAUUUGGUUGAUUUUACAAAACAAGAUGAUAAUAUCAUAGCUAAGUGGCAUAAAAUGGGGAGUUUUCUUAAACCAAUCCUUCGACUAAUUGAGAUCAUCAGGUGAGAAUUUUUGCAUGAUCCAGAUUUUCCAUAGGCUGAACCCCCGAAUCAAAAAAGCUUUCCACUGCUGCCUUGUAGAAAAUCUCAUUGAACCAUGACGGGGAUGGUGAAGCAGAUGAUAUGGUGGAGAAGGUAUCGUUCUAUCGCUUUCAACUUCGGACUUUUGGUUAUCAAUCUUAUGAUCCGACGAUCCUGACCCUUCAAAUGAAGUCUCGUAGUAGUCAAUGUCAUGAUCCCCCUCUGAACCUUCAAAAUGAAGUCUCGUAGUUGUCAAGGUCAUGAUUCAUCCGUAGCAUUGCACCGUCAAAGCUCCAUCCAGAUGGUGUCUUUAUCACAUGGAUCCCACAUCGUACCACUUCACUGUUUUCGGACCUCAAUAUCAAAUGUAGUUCCAAUCCAUCAUCUCCAUAGUAUUUUUCCAUUGCCAUCUCAGGUUUACUUAUGACCAUUACCCACCUACGACGGAAAUAGGGUCUUGCAUGUGUAGAUUCGAACAAUGGAAUACCGUUUCUUUUAUUUUUUAUAAUAGCCUUGUAUUCUUGAUACCCACCACCACCUGAACAGACAACCCAAAUGAGCAAGCCUUCGAAAUCUGGAGGUAUAUGAAAUGAUAAUGAACACCCUUCUCCAUGGAACCAAUCUUGAAAGUCAUAAUAAUCAUAGGGAACCAUAAGAGCCUUGAAGGGAGUAUCAUACUCGUCACAAUGAUAAGCGAAGAUUUUCUGCAUAAGUAUCAAAUUCAAGGAAUGCUGAGAUUUUAGACACUGAUUAAUAUAUAUAUAUAUAUAUGCAAGAGGGACAGGACUAGUACCUCAAGAAGCCGAUCCUUGGCACGUUUUGAUAAAUUACUUAGACCUUGCUUGCCGUCAAUCUCAAUGAAAUUGUAAAGCGUAUAUUGAGACAGAUAUGGUGGUGCAGGUAUUACUACUCUAUCUCUUCCAACUUCAGACUCAUGAUCCCACUCUGACCCUCCAAAUGAAUCUGUCUUUUCAACUAUCACAUGGAUCCCACAUUCAAACACUUCAGCGUCUUCUCCCAUAUAAAGUCCCACGCACAGUUCCAAUUCCUCAUCUUCACAAUAUUCUUCCAUUGCCAUCUCACUUUUACUUGUGUAUGUCAUCAAAUUGCUAGCGGCCGUUCCAAUCCCAUCGCCCAGAAGUUCCACGCACAGUUCCAAUUCCUCAUCUCCAGAAUAUUCUUUCAUUGCCAUCUCACUUACACUUAUGUAUCUCAACCAACUUCUACAUCUUCUGGCGUAUACCGUUGCUUCAAACAAUUGAAUACCGUUGCUUUUAUUUUUUAUACACAAUUUGGCGGUACAAAUAAGACCUAUCAAGCGUUGACAGACAACCCCAAUGACCAAGCCUUGGAAAACUGGAGGUACAUGAAAUGAUAAUGAAGUUCCUUUUCCACGGUAGCUGAACCAAUUUGGAAUCAUAGUGAACUUAUCUCUGUGGCUGAACGUAUAACAGCGAUUGAAGACAAUUUGAUACCCGUAACCACCGUAGCACAGUGCCUGUGUGUAUAUAUAUAUAUAUAUAUAUAUAUAUAUAUUGAUUUCAAGGAAUGCUGAAUAUUAGACAUCAAAUAUGCCAAUUGUGUGCUUAUUUGUGUACAAGAGAGACAAAAAUAGUACCUCAACAAGACUUUUCUUAUAAUUAUUUGAUGACUUGUACCAGGGAACAGAGCGCAUAAUCCACCCAUGAUUACUUAGACCUUCCAUGCCUUGAAGCUCCUUUAAAUCCGGACAUCUAAACAGAUCCAGAUUUAGAUAUUUUUUUGCUUGGAUUGGUAGUCUUACCCAUUGCAUUGAUUUGCAACGAACUGUAUUCAAACGUUCUAAAUUUGAGGGAAGCUCUGGGAUUGAUACAAGAUUUCUGCAAUCAUCAACUAUCAAAAGCCGCAGCUUAGAAAGGAUGCCCGAUGCCAGAAGGCAAACUGAAGAAAUUGUUUCCUGAUAGAUCUAACUCUUCAAGAGAGGACAAACCUCCAAAAUCAACAGAAUUAGUUGCGCAUUCAGACAAACCAUAACCAACAAGUUUUAGCUUUUUCAAUACUCUCCAAACAGUGAAAGCUGGACUUAGCAAAGCUGAAAUCCAAGAAGAAUUUGGUGAAGGCUGAUAUGGUAAGUUCCAGUUGCAGUAUCCGCGCAAUGACAACUUCCUCACACACUUUAAAUGUCCAACUGAAGAGAGAAAUUUCUCGUUGUUAAUUCCAUCUGCUAGAAGAUUAGUGAAGGACUCGAUAUCACCUAUGCACUCCGGCAGCUCCUUAAGUUGUGAGCACCCUGAAAUAUUCAAACACACAAGAGACUUUGAAUGUCCAAUAGAUUCAUCUACCUCAACUAAACUUGAGCAACCUUCAAGCAGUAGUUUCUCUAGUCUUGAACUGUGCAAAUUUGGUGUUUUCACAAGGUUCUUUGAAUAACUGACAUCAAGGAUCUUUAAUUUGUUGAGAAUCUGUCAGAGCAGUGAGGAAAAUAAUUAACAAGUACUCAUCAAAAGUUGUAAAUAUAAAUUACAUAACAAACAUCUUUUUGGGCAUUUUGGUAUGUUUCACACCUUUUUUUCCUUCCAUAAUUGUCUGAUGUUACUGUACUUCAUAUCAAUAACAACGAUGUAAUCCAGUGCAAAAUUAGAUGGCAAAAAUCUCAAAGUACAUUCAAGCCAACAAAUCCACGUCAACACUUUAGAAAGCCGUUCGAAAGAUCCAGUGAAAAAUUAGAUGGCAAAAAUCUCAAAGUACAUUCAAGCCAACAAAUCCACGUCAACACUUUAGAAAGCCGUUCGAAAGAUCCAGUGAGAUCUACUCCGUUGAUUUGCAGUAAUUUUAAAUCUUCCAUAUUUGUAAAUGAUCCUGUGCUUAGUGAUUUGUCUUCUGAUCUUGUCACAUCCAGUGUAAGGCCUUUUACAAAAUUUGUUCCCUAAAAAAAAGCAAAAAAAGAAAAAAAAUUUAAAAAUCAAUAGAAUUUUCAUAUGAUUGUUUGUAAUAAGUUUGACAAUAGAGAUACACAUGAAUGUGCUUUUCUGUACGUAUGCAUUGAAUUCUUACCAUCUGCAUCUUGAGUACUUUCCACGCAUCCUCUUGACUCCAAAUUCUGCUCCUUUGUGCAGGAUUUUCAGGUGACUCAUCCUUAACGAUCCCCCUUCCCAUCUCUUGUAAUAGAUCAUGCAUGCUUAUCGUUCCAGAAUCAUCAACUUUAAUCAGAGACCUUUCAAUGAGAGUUCCGAAAUCAUCUUCUGGAUUGCAACCAUAACGUCCUUCUAGCACUUCUGCUACGUAUUCUUUCUGUCCACCAAUAAAGAAGCAUGAAAUAUCAAGAAAUGUAUUCUUUAGAAUUAGGGGCUUUUAGUGAGUCAAAACUUAUUCUAAGCCUUUCUUGAAUAGCAUGCUCUGGAAUUCUUCUCAAUCUGUCAAUUACAGAUUCCCAUCUAGCUUGGUUUUUCCCAAUCAAACAAGAACCUAAGACCUCAAGAGCUAAAGGAAGUCCUCCACAGUAUUCAACUACAUCAUUAGAAAGCUCAACAUAAUCUUUUGCUGGCUUGGCGUCCCUAAACGCAUGCUGACAGAAUAGCUGAAGGGAGUCACCCCGGUGCAAUUCUUGAACCUGGUAUCUUUGAUCAGCUUCAAGAAGUAAGCGCUCAUCUCUAGUUGUAAUUAUCACCCUGCUUCCGGGACCAAACCAGCUUCGCUCUCCCAUCAAAGCAUUUAAUUGGUCCAGAUGAUCCACAUCAUCAACAACAACAAGAACUCUUUUGCGGCAGAGGCGUUCUUUAAUCAGAACCUUUCCUCUAUCAACAUUAUUGAUCUUCUCAGUAUUUUGUCUUAAAAUAUCAUGAAGUAGUUGUUGUUGUAAAAGAACCAAAUCAUUAGGUUCUGAUUUUUCUUUGACAUUCAAAAGAAAAGAGAUUCCCUCGAAUCCAUAUCCAAAGCCAUAGCAGAGUUGAUUAAAUACAACUUUUGCUAUAGUCGUCUUUCCUAUUUCUGGCAUCCCAUGUAAGCCCACAAUGCGUACAUCAUCUGCUGCAGUACUUAGGAAGUGAAAAAUAUUGUGAGCAAGCGGAUCAAUACCUACUAGGUGCUUAGGAACAUGUAAGUACUUGGGGUCCAAUUUAGUCAGCACAUCCUUGAUAAUCUCUUGGAUAAAUUUUGCUUCAUGCCUGUUCAUAGACAAAAGCAAGUCAUUAAUAGCGAGACAAUUAUGUUCAAAAUGUAUUUUAUUGUUUCACAUUGUAAAAUAUGUGAUGUAUAAUGACUCCAUAAAUGUGUGGAAGUGAAUCUUAUAGAUAAAAGGCAUACCCAUUUGCCAAAUCUUUGAGAUUCCAUCCAGAUAGAUUUCCUGCCUCUUCAAGAGCUUCUCUCCACUCCUUCACCUUCUCUUUAGAACGUUCUUCAUGUUUAACAAAUGCUUCUGCAAAACUACCAGUCUGUUUUCUCACAUAUGAAGGAUCAAUGUCAUAGAAUAUAGGAAGAGCAAUCUGACCAGUUUUCCUAUAUUUACACUUCAGAAUCUCCACAAGUUCAUCAAGACACCAUCUUGAAGAAGCAUAUCCUUUUGAGAAGACCACUAUAGAUAUCUUUGAUUCUCGAAUUGUCUUGAGGAGAUGAUCGGAGAUUUCUUCUCCUCUAGGAAGUUCAUCAUCAUCUCGAAAAGUGUGGAUUCCUGCUUGGACUAAGGCAAUAUAUAGAUGAUCUGUAAAUGUCUUGCGAGUAUCUUGUCCUCUAAAACUCAAAAAGACAUCAUAGGCCCCCUGUGGUGUAGAUGGAGAAGAAUCUGGCUCUGUCAUGGCAGCUGCAGAAAUUAAGGCAUGAUUAAUUGGCAAUGAAGCGAUUGCAGGAGGUAUCUGCUAUCUUGUAAUUAUAACUAGUAAGGGAUGCAUGUGAAGUGAUCAUCAGAGACAACACAUAUAUAUGAAUGUGCUGAGUAGGAAUUUCAACGCAAUUACUAUUAGAGAGUAAGCUAAGAAAAUCAUCCAUUCAUUGAGUUUCACCUAAUACUUCAAGUUUAAGAACCAGAGAGCAUAAAACAAUAGCAUUUAAAAAGCUUACUGAGGUCAGCUUUUCUUCUCUUUCGCGAGGAUGAACCAUUUUCUUCAUCUUUGGAUUGUUUACGUUUUUCUUUCGGCAUUCUAAAAUAGAAUGAUCUUGUUCUAGAAGACAUGUAAGGAAUUCUUUGUGUUCAUAUUUAAUUGAAUUCUAAACUCAUCAAUGACGUCUAUCUGAACAUAAAGCUUUCAAAUUAUUGUUAUGAGUGAAGACAUGAAAUUAAAACAAGAAAGAAGCAAAGAAGAGGCAUAAGCUAUAACAAAGGGUUGGUUGGAUUCCACAAGCUAUGAAAUUGCAGCAAUCGGGAACGGUAAUUUAUUUCAACUACCCAAACAUAUUUUUCAAUUUGUUUUUCAAUUUACAUGUAGUUUCAAAGAAGCAAAGAAGGGUUAUAUACUAGCAAAAACAUGACAGCAUAAAAUCCCGUGUAGCAAUUAUCUUGUUUGGCAAUCUUCUUAGUGUUAAUAUUGCUGUAAAACUAAAUGCAUUCAUGCAAUCAGAAGCAACAAUCGCAAAGGUUACCUCAAUAUGGUGUUUGAGUUGUUCGGAUUCCACCGACCUGGCGACUUUAAAGAUCAAAUUGCAGCUCUCAGAAAGGACUGAAGGAUAGUUGAGGCAAUAUUGUGUCGGAGAAAGAAUGUAAAUGCUUUCUUGCAAAUUAUUAGAGCAAUAUAUGCAAUAAUUAUCAAAGAUGAAGCGUAACAUGCAUAGGAAAGGGAGCAAGGAAAUUUCUUUAGCAGCGUGUGAUCAAGCUAAUUUCCCGGUUGUUGCUGAGGAAUAAUUGUACAGGAAAAAGAGGAAGGAAAUUUCUCUAGCCGCGUAUUUCAUUGUUCUUUUUUUCAAAAGUAGCCGCGUAUCUCGUUCUUCUUUUUUUCAAAUGAAGAGAUGACAGAAUCACAUUGUGUCUAUCACCAUUGAUUACAAAAGCAAGUAUCUCUCAGCCCUACUAUUUGGUUUGUGGGUCCAAUCUGAUACUUGUUAAUGUAAAUAUUUUAUAAUCAUUAUAUUAAUUUUAUUCAUUCAAAUUUAUUUAUUAUUAAAAAAACAUCUUUUUAUCUUUAACAUUUAUUGAUGUUUGAUUAACGAGUCUAUAGUAAAAAUAAAAUUUUUGAGAUAAAAAUAUUUUUUAAUGAAAAUUAUUAAGUAAUUAUAAUUAUAACAUUUUAUUUAUAUAAAAACGGUAUUCCUAAAUGUUAUUAGUUAAUGCUCUAUUAAUAAAGGACAUUAAUUAGAGUUGUUAAGACUAUUUUAAAUUAUAUAUGUUCUUUCUUUUUGUGAAAAAGAAACAUUUGUUCUCACAAGUUAAUGUAUAGAGAAAAUCUAGAUCUAAUUAUAUGUAGAUGCGUGUCAGAUAACAUAUUCAUUAAACUACAUUGCAUAAGAAUUUCAUAUAGAUAAAUAUCAGUGUUUAUGGAAAGGCUCGUACAGUAAUUGUAUAAGUAUUGAUCAUUAAACUUAAGAUCACUAGGUUAUUUUAUAUAUGAAAUGUUAUGUUUUGAUUCUAGCUAUACGUUGUUUUAAUCAAUAGUAAUAAAUAUGUAAAUAUUGGCUAUAACAUGAACUAUAUAUGAAUUAUUAUUAUAUACAAUUAUUGUUAUGAGUUUCACAUGUUCUCAAAUAAUAUUUAAUAUGAAAUCUUUGCGUAAGGUGGAAUAAGAUAUGAAAAAAGUUUUAAAUCUUAUUUAAAGAAUCAAUUUUUAUGUUGUUGAGACCAUACAUGAUUCGACAGGGCACACACAUUUCAUACUCAAAUGUCUAAAUCGUAGCAUUAUAGGUAAAUGGAUAAUAAUUACACUAAGAAUCUGAUCACUAAAAAUUUAAAUUAAACCAUAUAUGAUUUUCCUUAUAUUUGAGAGAUUAUGAUACAUUACUAGAUAGUACACUUGAUCUUUAAAGAUAAAUCAAUUAAUUAUUGAUGAAUUGAUAAUAAAUUAAAUUAUAUAAUUUAUUUAAUUGAAUUUUAUUUAGAAUUAUAAUUUAUAUUUGAAUUAAUAUAUUAAAAACUUAACAAGUCAUACACAUUAAGAAUCAAUGGUUGAUUAAAUCUUGAUUUCCCGAUAUUUUGAAUCAAAUUACAAUGUUAGGCUAAACUUAAUAACUAUAUUGUAUAAUUGAUAUGAUAAACUUUUUAUAUAUAUAUAAAGACAUGUCAUGCUUUCUGUCAUUUCAAUCAAAUAUAAAAUCGUAAAACAUUGUAAAACUUCACAAAACUUAACUAUCAAGUUAUCUAGUAUUUUAAUGAAAGUUGAAGGACAACAUUUUAAUUUAGUCAGCACAUUUUGUGUGUUAUUAAAGACUUCCAGUCAGUCAAUGCGGGUAUGAACACUAACUCUUUUUUUUUUUUUUUCCACACACAAUUGUUUUGUUUGGAAUUUAUGGGUUUUUGUUCUUGUAAAAUAACAGUGUUUCUCACACGGCGCUUGUAUUCAAGUUCUUUAUCGGUGUUUUCUGUCUUGCAUCAUCGUGUUUUUAAGAAUUUUAAAUUGUUUUUUGUUAAAAAUAAUUUUUUUAUAUUUUCAAAUUAUUUUGAUUUAUUAAUAUUAAAAUUAAUUUUUUAAAAAAUAAAAAAUAUAUAUAUAUAUAUAUAUAUAUAUUAUUUUAAUAUAUUUUUAAACCAAAAAUAUUUUAAACUAUAAUAACUAAUAUAAUUCCAAACAGAUAUUAAACACAACCGCUAGUCAUGAUGGACAGUUUACAUGGGAACAGACGAAGGAGUAAAGACUUAGACUUUGGUGGAUCGAUGGACGAUGGGAAUAGCUAAUAUUAUCAUCUACUAACUAUGAACCUUCUUGACUCUUUAGUAUAUUAUUUUUAUAUUUUAAAAAUAAUAUUUAAAAAAUUUAAAUUUUAUUUUAUUUUUUUAUUAACUUUAAAUUAAUAUGUUUUUAGUUUUUUAAAUUAUUUUAAUAUAUUAAUGUUAAAAAUAAUUUUUAAAAAAUAAAAAAAUAUUAUUAAUAUAUAUUUUAAUAUAAAAAAUUAUUUAAAAAACAAUCAUUUUAAAUCUUUCUCCCCCGUCUGCAGCAUUGAUUACAAAACCGCGUUGUUGGGUAUGUCAUUGGCAGCAUGAUAGCAUCACAAUCAAAUGGCAUAAUUUUCCACUCGGGAAACUCAGAAGACCCUCGCCCUCACGCUCCCGUCUCCAUUUAUUUGGCUGCUAAUUCCAUCUAUCAGCCCUGCUUUUUUUUUUUUUUUUCCUGGGUCUAGUCUGAUACUUUUAUUAAUUUUAUUCAUAUAAAAUAUAUUUUUAUUUAAGAAAAUAUAUUUUUAUUUUUAACAUUAUUUAAAAGUUGUUAUUAAUUUUAUUCAUAUAAAAUAUAUUUAUUAUUUUAAAAAAAUAAAAUUAUUAUUUCUACCGUGUUUUUGAGAAACCCGACAAUAACAUCAUAAUCAAAAAGUAUAAAUUUCCACGGACAACUUGCAAAUACAUGGGACAGCUCUAACCAUUUUUUUGUUCUUGUUUGUUGAUUUGCUAAUUUGUGUUAAAGGGAGGGAAAGGGACUGGAUCUAUAUAAUCCACCUUUCAAUUCUUUGUGUUCAUAUUUAUGUUGAUUCAUUCUUAGCGUUUUAAGGGAUUUUCGGCUGGUGACUAGUCUAGUACAUUCUAUUUGGUAAUGUGAUCCGGAGGCUUUCUUUUUCUUUUCUUUUUCUUUUUGUUAAAAACAUCUUGACCAUUUUGAAUUUUAACAAGGCAGUGCAAGGGCUUCCAAAAGUGUAGGAAAAAUAAAAAGUAUUAUUAAAAAUUUCUAAUUCAAUUUAAUUUAGUGAUUUCCAAAACAAGCAAUAGUUUUUGAAAUUGGUGCUUUUCUUCAACUAUUCUCCUGGAUUUUGUUUAAUCAAUAACAUGACAUGAUUGUUUUGGCAAUUGUUUUUGCUAAAAACAUGAUUGUCAUAGCCAUUUUGCACCCUAUUUUUCUAGCAAUGCAAAAGAGAAAAACAACAUGGAGAAAAGGCUAGCAGAAACAGUUGUAUAUUGGAAUUCUUGUUUUGUUUUCUUUUUCUUUUUCUUUUGUAUUUGAUUUUUAUUUUUAUCAAGAUUAGGUUGCCGGCAAGUGUGAACUGAACUUGUUGGAGGAAAGAUGUUGGAUGCUGUGCUGCUCAACAUGAGGUUGCGUGGACGCAUUGCUCUGAGCCCGAGCAUAGAUAAAUCUACCAAACUCAACAUUAAUCUUUGAAUUAGACAUAUCUUUCUUUGAUAAAAUUAGAGAUGUUUCAUGCUAUCAGUAUAUUCUAUUUGGUAAUGUGAUCCGGAGGCUUUCUUCUUCUUCUUUUUUCCUUUUUGUUAAAAAAAUCUUGACCCUUUUGAAUUUUAACAAGGCAGUGCAGGGGCUCUCAAAAGUGUAGGAAAAGUAAAGGGUAUUAAAAUCAAGAGUGAACUUGUAUAAUUUUACAAGUAAAUAUAUAUAUUUAUUAUUUAAAAUUAUAUAAAAAAAUGAUAAAACUGGUCUAAAAUCAUGAUUUUACUAUUGAUUUUAAAAUAUUUUUAAAUUUUCAAUUCUUAUCUUCUUCCAUGCAUACUCUUAUGUUUACUUACUCAUAUAUGAGUCCACUAGCAAAUUUGGAUUAUUUGCUAACAACUCAUAAUUUCUUAGAGUUGUUCUGUAUAAUAUGUGUUUAGUUAUAUAUCUUAAUUUUAAGUUGGACCUAUAAUAAUGAUUUUUUUUAAGAUGAUUUCUUAACUGCUUGUGUGGAAUUAAUUUUCCACUGUAAUUUAAUUUGAAUUUAAUUUAUAAAUAAAUUAAAUUUAAUAAAUAGAAUUCAAUUCAUUUUAGUUUUUAUAUUACCUUCAUCACCUUCAUCUCAUUUCUUCAAAGUUAUGUAAAAAAAAAAGAUAGGUAUUUUAAAAAAAUAAUUUUAACAUUAAAUUUUUUCUAUUUGGAAUUAUAAAUCAGAGGAUUAAUAUCUAAUUUAUUUUGAUAUAAUUUUUAGAGAUUGAAUUCUAUGUAAAAUAUGUUAAAUAACACUAAAAAUAUUUUAAAUAUGAAAUAUUAUUAAAAAGUUUUAAUUUAAUUUAGUGAUUUCAAAACAAGCAUGAGUUUUUGAAAUUGGUGCUUUUCAACCGGAUAGGUUGGGAGAGGGACAAAAAAAACUUCUGCCGUGAAGAAAGCCCAAUUUCAUUCGAAUCAUUUUUGCUCUUCGUUUCUUUCUUUUACAACAUGAAAGUGAUUUCUCUUUUUGGUGUAUUUUUAGUACUUAAAAGAACAUGUUAAUUGGACCAAAAAGUUCACCUUUUUUUUUUAAAAAAAAUUGUUCUUGUUUGUUGAUUUGCUAAUUUGUGUAAGGGGGAUGGUUUAAAGUAUGGUUGUGGUUGUUUUCUAAAAUAUUUUUGCUCACAAAUAUAUUAAAAUAAUUCUUUUUUUAUUUUUUAAAAAUUAUUUUUGACAUCAACACAUUAAAAUGAUUUAAAACAUAAAAAAAAUAUUAAUUUCGAUUAAAAAAAUAAAAAAUAUUCAAGUAUUUUCAACCAAUGUUGAUUCAUUCAUAGAUUCAUAGGUUAUAAGGGAUUUUGGGCUAGUAACCAGUAUAUUCUAUUUGGUAAUGUGAUAAAAGCUUUUUUUUUUUUUUUUUGUUAAAAAAAUCUUUUGACCCUUUUGAAUUUUGACUAAGCAGGGCUUUGAAAAGUGUAAGAAAAAUCAAGGGUGUUAAAAUCAAGAAUUAACUUGUAAAAUUAUAUGAUUUUAUAAAUAUAUAAUCAUCAUCCAAAAUUAAGUUAACAUAAAAAACUGAUAAAACCAGACUAAGAUCAAGUAAAAUCAUGUAAAAUCUACCCAUUUUACAAUAAUUUUAAAUUUUUAAUUAUUAUCUUCCUCAAUGCAUGCCCUUGUGUUUACUCAUUAAUGCAUGAGCCCACAAGUGCUUGUAUCUAUGGAUUCUUUCUUUAAACAAUAGUGCAAAGAUGAAGAAAACAUGGUCUUACUUGAACACUUCCUAACAAAUAAAAAAUUAUUUAUUACAGAACAAAACUUUGUAAAUUCUUAUUUCAUAAAGAUAAUUUUACGGACAAGAGUGACAAACAAUACUCUAAAGUCUAAUCUAUCAUGUGUCUAUGCCAAAAUAAUAUCAUAGUCUUUUAAACAAGUUUACAACAUUAUGAUUUAUUUAUAGAAAAUCCCAUAACUUGUCUAAGACAUAAUCUAACAAGAAACAAGACUUCAAAAUUAAAAAGAAGGUACAACUUUGAAUUGUUUGAUUUAUUAUUUAUUUUAGAUCAUAUAGGGUCUACAAUUCUUUAAUGAUUCUCUUAUUGAAGUUCAUAGUGUGUAACAAACAAUAUCAGUCUGUUGCUAUCUAAAAUAAAUACUACAUUAAUUUAAUUAGUGAUUUUACACAACAAGAUGAUAAUAUCAUAGCUAAGUAGGCAUAAAGUGGGGAGUUUUCUUAAACCAAUCCCUCGAUUAAUUGAGAUCAUCAGGUAAGAAUUUUUGCAUGACUAUUGUUUUCCAUAGGCUGAACCCCCGAAUCAAAAAAGCUUUCCACUGCUGCCUUGUAGAAAAUCUCAUUGAACCAUGACGGGGAUGAUGAAGCAGAUGAUAUGGUGGCGAAGGUAUCGUUCUAUCGCUUUCAACUUCGGAGUACUCUUGGUUGUCAUUCUCAUGAUCCGACGAUCCUGACCCUUUAAAUGAAGUCUCGUAGUAGUCAAUGUCAUGAUCCCCCUCUGAACCUUCAAAAGACUCUUUGUUGUAAAUGUCAUGAUCCAACGCUGGAGUUUGAUCGUAGUUGCUCCGUCCAAAUGGAUGUAUCACUACAUGGAUCCCAGAUCGUACCACUUCACUCUUUUCGGACCUCAAUAUUACUUAUGAUUCCUAGCCACCUACUACGGAAAUAGGGCAUUGCAUGUGUAGCUUCGAACAACUGAACACCGUUGCUUUUAUUUUUUAUAAUAGCCUUUAAUUCUUGAUGCCAAGUAGCACCUGAACAGAGAGCCCAAAUGACCAAGCCUUCGAAAUCUGGAGGUAUAUCAAAUGAUAAUGAACAUCCUUCUCCACCGUAGCUGAACCAUUUUGGAAUGAUGGAAUAAUCGUAGGGAACGGAAAAAGCCUUGAGGGGAAUAAAAUACUCGAGAAAAUGAUAAUUCAAGAUUCUCUGCAUAAAUAUUGAAUUCAAGAAAUGCUGAGAUUUUAGACACCGAUUAAUAUAUAUAUAUAUAUAUAUAUAUAUAUAUAUAUUUGUGCGCGCGCGCGCCAAUUGUGUGUUUAUUUGUGUGCAAGAGAGACAGAACUAGUACCUCUAGAAGCCGAUCCUUGGUAUUUUUUGAUAAAUUACCGAGACGUUGCUUGCCGUAAAUCUCAAAGAAAUUGUAACGCGCAUAUUGAGACAGAUAUGGUGGAGCAGGUAUUACAACUCUAUCUCUUCCAACUUCAGACUCAUGAUCCCACUCUGACCCUUCAAAUGAAUCUGUCUUUUCAACUAUCACAUGGAUCCCGCAUUCAAACACUUCAUCGUCUUCUCCCGUAUAAAGUCCCACGCACAGUUGCAAUUCCUCAUCUUCACAAUAUUCUUUCAUUGUCAUCUCACUUAUACUUAUGUAUCUCAACCAAUUUCUACCGACACAAUCACUUAUAGUUGCUUCAAACAAUUGAAUACCGUUGCUUUUAUUUCUUAUACACAAUUUGGUGAUUCCAAUAAGACCUAUCAAGCGUUGACAGACAACCCCAACGACCAAGCCUCGGAAAACUAGAGGUAUAUGAAAUGAUAAUGAACUUCCUUUUCCUCGGUAGCUGAACCAAUUUGGAAUCAUAGUGAACUUAUCUCUGUGGCUGAACGUAUGCCAAAGAUUGAAGAACAUAUGAUACGCGUAACCACCGUAGCAUAGUGCCUGUAUAUAUUAGACAAUAAUUAAUGUAUAUAUUGUAUGUGCAAAUUGUGUGCUUAUUUGCGUGCACGAGAGACAGAAAUAGUACCUCAGCAAGACUUUUCUUAUAAUUAUUUGAUAACUUGCUCUUGGUAAGAUAGGAAAUAAACCAGCCAUGAUUACUUAGACCUUCCAUGCCUUCAAUCUCUGUUAAAUCCGGACAACCAAACAGAAACAAACUUAGAUAUUUUUUUGCUUGGAUUGGUAGUCUUACCCAUUGCAUAGAUUUGCAACCAAAUGUAUCCAACUGUUCUAAAUUUGAGGGAAGCUCUGGGAUUGAUACAAGAUUUCUGCAUUCCUGAACGGUCAAAAGCCGCAGCUUAGAAAGGAUGCCGAUGCCAGAAGGCAGACUGAAGAACUCAUUUUUUGAUAGAUCCAACUCUUCAAGAGAGGAAAAACCUCCUAAAUCAACAGAAUUAAUUGCACGUUCAGAGAAACCACAAUUAACAAGUUUUAGCUUUCCCAAUACUCUCCAAAUAGUGGAAGUUGGAGUUGGCAGAAAAGCUGAAAUCCAAGAAGAAUUUGGUGAAGGCCGAUAUGGUAAGUUCCAGUCCCACUUCCAGUGUCCGCGCAAUGACAACUUCCUCACACACUUUAAAUGUCCAACUGAAGAGAGAAAUUGCUCAUUGUUAAUUCCAUCUGCUAGAAGCUCAAUGAAAGACUCGAUAUCACCCAUGCACUCUGGCAGCUCCUUAAGUUGUGAGCACCCCGCAAUAUUCAAACACACAAGAGACUUUGAAUGUUUAAUAGAUUGAUCUACCUCAAUUAAACUUGAGCAACCUUCAAGUAGUAGUUUUUCUAGUCUUGAACUGUGCAAGUUUGGUGUUUUCACAAGGUUCUUUGAAUAACUAAGAUCAAGAAUCUUUAGAUUGUUGAGUAUCUGUCAGAGCAGAGAGAAAAAUCAUUAAAAAGUAAUCAUCAAAAGUUUUCUAGACAAAUUUUUGGGCAUUUUGGUAUGUUUCGCACCUUUUUUUCUUUCCAUAGUUCUCUGAUGUUACUGUACUGCAUAUCAAUAACAACUACGUAGUCCAAUGAAAAGUCGGAUGGUAAAAAUUCCAAAGGAUAUUCAAGCCAACAAAUCCACGUCAACACUUUAGAAAGCCGUUCAAAAGAUCCGGUGAGUUCUGCCCCACUGAUUUGGAGUAAUUUUAACAAUUUCAUUUUUGUAAAUGAUCCUGUGCUUAGUGAUUUGUCUUCUGAUCUUCUCACAUCCAAUGUAAGGCCCUUUACAACUUCUGUUCCCUUAAAAAGAAAAAAAAAAAUGAAUAGAACUUUCAUCUGAUUUUUUGUAAUAAGUUUGACAAUAAAGAUACAAAUUAAUGAAUGUGCUUUUCUGUAUGCAUUGAGUUCUUACCAUAUGCAUCUUGAGUACUAUCCACGCAUCCUCUUGACUCCAAAUUCUGCUCCUUCGUGCAGGAUUUUCAGGUGACUCUUCCUUAACGAUCUCCCUUCCCAUCCCUCGUAAUAGAUCAUGCAUGCCUAUCGUUCCAGAAUCAUCAACUUUAAUCAGAGACCGUUCAAUGAGAGUUCCGAAAUCAUCUUCUGGAUUGUAAUCAUAACGUCCUUCUAGCACUUUUGCUACGUAUUCUUUCUUUCUACCAAUAAAGAAGCAUGCAAUAUCAAGAAAUGUAUUCUUUAGUGUAGAUUCAUCCAGUGUGUCAAAACUUAUUCUAAGUUUUUUCUGAAUUUCACUGUUUGGAAAAUUUCUCAAUCUGUCAAUUACAGAUUCCCAUCUAGCUUGGUUUUUCCCAUACAAACAAGAACCUAAAACCUUAAGAGCUAAAGGAAGUCCUCCACAGUAUUCAACUACAUCAUUCGAAAGCUCAACAUAAUCUUUUGCUGGUUUGGUGUCCCUAAACGCAUGCCUACAGAAAAGCUGAAGGGAGUCACCCCGGUUCAAUUCUUGAAUAUGGUAACUUUGAUCAGCUUCAAGAAGUAAGCUUUCAUCUGUAGUUGUAAUUAUUACCCUACUUCCAGGGCCCAACCAACUUGGCUCUCCCAUCAAAUCAAGUAGUCGGUCUGGACGAUCCACAUCGUCAAAAACAACAAGAACUCUUUUGUGCCGAAGUCGUUCUUUAAUCAGAACCUUUCCUCUAUCAACAUUAUUGAUCUUCUUAGUAUUUUGUCUUAAAAUAUCAUGAAGUAGUUGUUGUUGCAAAAGAACCAUAUCCUUAGAUUCUGAUUUUUCUUUAACAUUCAAAAGAAAAGAGCUCCCCUCGAAUUCAUGGCAGAGUUUACUAAAUACUUCUUUUGCUAUAGUCGGCUUUCCUAUUCCUGGCAUCCCAUGUAUGCCCACAAUGCAAACCUUCUCUGUUGCAUUACUUACGAAGUCUUUGAUUUCAUUGACAAGGGGAUCAAUAUGUUGAGAAAUGACAGUUAGAUAAUUCUGUUAGAACAGUUAGUUAAUUCUGUUAGAACAGUUAGUUAGUUAAGUCAGUUAGUUGGUUAGCAUCAGUUCAGCAACAGAAUCCUUAGUUUACGGGGCAGCAGUUACUCUGCAUGUUAACUCUGCAUUUGAAGGCUAUAUAAAGCCACACUGCAGUUCAAUUGAAUAAGACAGUUGAUGAUUAAGCAAGAAUUCUUCAUAUCUUUCUUAUCAAAUUGGUAUCAGAGCAGAAAUAAGAAAGAAAAGCUGCAGCAAGUGAAAAAGAAAGGCAGUAAUUUGAUUCUGCCGAAAUUAAGAGUGUUGUUACUCUCACAAAACAAAGGAGAGCCAAAACUGAGAGAUGGCAAAUGACAGCAGCAGCAAUUUUAUUCAACCAUCCAUACCACGGUUUGAUGGCCAUUUUGAUCACUGGAGCAUGCUAAUGGAGAACUUCUUGCGAUCCAAGGAAUUCUGGAUCUUGAUUGAGACAGGCUACACAGAACCAGAAGAAGGAGCAAGUAUAACAGAAACUCAACGCAAGAACUUAGAGGAGUUAAAACUGAAAGAUCUGAAGGUAAAAAACUACCUAUUUCAGGCCAUUGACAGAACUAUACUUGAAACCAUUCUGGAGAAGAACACCUCCAAACAGAUUUGGGACUCGAUGAAAGGAAAUAUGAAGGAAAUGCAAGAGUGAAGCGAUCAAUCCUCCAAACACUAAGGAAGGAGUUUGAAACACUGGAGAUGAAAACUGGUGAGCAUGUCACUGAUUACUUUGCAAAAGUUAUGACUGUAGCCAGCAAAAUGAGGAUCUAUGGAGAGAAAUGCGAGAUGUAACAAUUGUGGAAAAAAUUCUUCGAUCUCUAACUGACAGAUUCAACUACAUAGUAUGUUCAAUUGAAGAAUCGAAGGAUAUUGAUGUUCUAUCAAUUGAUGAGUUACAAAGCUCAUUGAUUGUACAUGAACAAAAAUUUCCAGAAACACAGCAUGGAGGAACAAGCUUUAAAAGUGACAUCUGAAGAAAGGUCAUAUGGUAGAGGUCAAAGCAGAAGAAUCUUUAGAGGUGGAGGAAGAGGUAGAGGACGAUAUACUUUGAUAAAACCACUGUGGAAUGCUAUAGAUGUCACAAGCUUGGCCAUUUCCAGUAUGAAUGUCCCACAGUAAACAAGGAGGCAAAUUAUGCAGAACUAAACAAUGAAGAAGAAAUACUAUUGAUGUCUCAUGUGGAACUAUAUGACAGCAAUCGAGAGGAUUCAUGGUUUCUUGACUCUGGCUGCUCAAAUCAUAUGUGUGGGAUAAGAAUAUGUUCCAUGAGUUGAAUGAAGAUUUAGACAACUGGUAAAGCUGGGGAAUAACACACGGAUGACAGUUCUUGGUAAAGGAAAAAUCAAAUUACUCUUGAAUGGCUUGCAGCACACGGUCACUGAUGUCUUCUAUGUACCUGAACUAAAGAAUAACCUCCUCAGCAUAGGCCAGCUACAAGAGAAGGGUAUGGCAAUCCUUAUCAAAUCAGGAACAUGCAAAGUCUAUCAUCCUAUGAGGGGUCUGAUCAUUCAAACCAGGAUGACAAUCAACAGGAUGUUUGUGCUAAUAGCAAAGGCUCAAGCUAAAGAUACCUCCUGUUUUCAUACACAUACACAGGAUCUGUCUCAUUUAUGGCAUUGCAGAUAUGGUCACCUCAGCCACAAAGGAUUAAGAACCCUGCAAUACAAGAAGAUGGUGAGAGGAUUACCACAACUUCCUGCUUCAACCACAGAAUGCACUGCCUGCAUUACGGGCAAGCAGCAUAGAGAACCUUUUCCUAAAAGAAGUCAAUGGCGUGCAUCACAGAGAUUACAACUUAUUCAUGCAGACUUGUGUGGUCCAAUCACACCAACCUCAAACAGCAAGAAAAGGUAUUUCUUAUGCCUCAUUGAUGACUAUAGCAGAAAGGCCUGGGUCUAUUUUUUGGCAGAGAAAUCAGAAGCUCUCCAACAUUUCCAGUAUUUUAAGAAGCUUGUGGAAAAAGAAACUGGACAGUACAUCAAAAGCUUAAGAACAGAUAGGGGUGGUGAAUUCAACUCAAUGGAAUUCAAUGAGUUCUGUUUACAACAUGGCAUCAAGAGACAGCUGACCACAGCCUACACUCCUCAGCAGAAUGGAGUGGCAGAGAGGAAGAAUAGGACAGUGAUGAACUUGGUAAGAUCCAUGCUGACAGAAAAGAAGAUUCCCAAGAGCUUCUGGGCUGAGGCAGUAAACUGGAUCAUAUAUGUCUUGAACAGAUGUCCUACGAAUGCUGUAAAAGAUAUGACUCCAGAAGAAGUAUGGACUGGAAUCAAGCCUUCAGUUGAACACUUUAGAGUAUUUGGAUGUGUAGCCCAUGUGCACAUACCAAAUGCAAGACGAACUAAACUGGAAGACAAUAGUGUGUGCUGCAUAUUGCUGGGAGUAAGUGAAGAAUCAAAGGGGUACAAAUUGUAUGAUCCUGCAACAAAGAGAAUUGUAACUAGCAGGGACAUCAUUUUUGAAGAAGAAAAACAUUGGGAAUGGGAUAUCAGUCACAAGGAGGAGUUACAAAUGGAUUUAGAAUGGGGAGGAGAAGGUGCAACUGAUGGAGAAAAUGCAAACAUCAGUAGAGAUGCAGAUGCAAUUGAGAGUGCAGAUGCAAUUGAGAGUGCAGAGGCAAUUGAGACUAAUAGUACAGACUCAGGAGCAGAGUCAGAUUUGAAUAGCAUUGAAGGAUCAAGCAAUGCUCAUAUCAACACCAUACAUGAAGAAGGUGUUGAUUUGAACGUAAGAAGGGAGACAAUCAUGCCCAGCUGGAUGAGAGACUAUGUCUCUGGUGAAGGACUAUCAGAAGAAGAAACAGAAUUGAACAUGGCAAUUGUGACUUCUGAUGACCCCGUGAGCUAUGAAGAGGCAGUGAAAAGCUACAAGUGGAGGGAGGCCAUGGAUGCUGAAAUAGAGUCAAUUCAGAAGAAUGAGACAUGGAGUCUAAUGGAAUUACCAGCUGGAACCAAGAAGAUUGGUGUGAAAUGGAUAUACAAGACCAAGUUAAAUGAAACUGGAAAAGUGGAUAAGUUCAAAGCCAGGCUAGUGGCUAAGGGUUAUGCUCAAAAACAUGGUGUGGAUUAUACUGAAGUAUUUGCUCCGGUGGCAAGGAUGGAUACUGUUCGGAUGAUCAUUGCUCUAGCUGCUAAGAAAGGGUGGCUUAUCUAUCAAUUAGAUGUUAAGUCAGCCUUCCUGCAUGGGGAAUUAAGUGAGGAGUUGUUUGUGGAACAACCAAGAGGGUAUGAGCAGAAAGGAAAUGAGCACAAAGUUUACAAAUUACACAAAGCACUAUAUGGAUUAAAACAAGCCCCUAGAGCUUGGUUUAGCCGCAUUGAAGCCUACUUCACUCAUGAAGGAUUCCAAAAGUGCAUCAGUGAACAGAAUUUGUUUGUCAAACUAACCAGUGGAGGCAAAAUCCUUAUCGUGAGCAUUUAUGUAGACGACCUGAUCUUCACUGGAGAUAAUGAGGAGAUGAUUCUGGAAUUCAAACAGUCCAUGAUGAAGGUUUUCGAUAUGACUGAUCUAGGAAGAAUGAGAUUCUUCCUAGGUAUAGAAGUACUGCAACAUGCCAAUGGAAUCUUUAUCUGUCAACGAAAAUAUACAUUGGAAGUUCUGAAACGCUUUGGAAUGGAAGAAAGCAAUGCAGUAAUGAAUCCCAUAGUGCCUGGGUGCAAAACUGAUACAGUUGGAGAAGGAAACAGAAUCGAUGAUACUUACUAUAAACAAAUAGUAGGAAGUCUUAUGUACAUUACUGCUACAAGGCCAGACAUCAUGUUUGGGGUGAGUUUUAUAAGCAGGUUUAUGGCUAAUCCAACAGAAGGGCAUCUACAAGCUGCAAAAAGAAUAUUGAGAUACUUGAAGGGCACUAUUAACUAUGGUAUAUACUAUAAGAAGAAUGAGGACAAGCAGCUGAUUGCAUACACUGACAGUGACUAUGCAGGAGACAUUACAGACAGGAAGAGCACAUCCGGCUAUGUCUUCAUGUUGAGUGGAGGAGCAGUUUCAUGGGCAUCAAAGAAGCAGCCUAUAGUCACUCUGUCAACGACUGAAGCAGAAUUCGUGGCAGCAGCAGCUUGUGCUUGCCAGGCAGUAUGGAUGAGAAGAAUACUAGAGAAACUGAAUCAUGAACAAAGAGGCUGCACCAUCUUAAUGUGUGAUAAUAGCUCAACCAUCAAGCUCUCACGAAAUCCCAUUAUGCAUGGACGCAUCAAGCAUAUUGAUGUGAGGUUCCAUUUCCUGCGUGAGUUAACACGAGACAAGAUCAUAGAACUGAUGCACUGUGGCUCACAUGAUCAAGUAGCUGAUCUCCUAACAAAACCAGUUAAGCUGCAGACAUUUGAGAAUCUUCGAGGACAAAUGGGAGUCUGUGUAAUACCUGAUGUAAACUAACUGUUACACAGAUUAGUUUAAAGGAGAGAAUGUUGAGAAAUGACAAUUAGAUAAUUCUGUUAGAACAGUUAGUUAAUUCUGUUAGAACAGUUAGUUAGUUAAGUCAGUUAGUUGGUUAGCAUCAGUUCAGCAACAGAAUCCUUAGUUUACGGGGCAGCAGUUACUCUGCAUGUUAACUCUGCAUUUGAAGGCUAUAUAAAGCCACACUGCAGUUCAAUUGAAUAAGACAGUUGAGGAUUAAGCAAGAAUUCUUCAUAUCUUUCUUAUCACAAUACCUACUGGGUGAGUACCAACAUUCAUGUCCUUGGGAUACAAUUUGUUCCACACUUCCUUGAUAAUAUAUUGGAUAAAUUUUGCUUCAUGCCUGUUCAUAGACAAAAGCAAGUUAAUAGUGAGAGAAUUAAGUGUUGGGAUAUUGCUAUUAAUGGGCAACAACAUGUGUAUCUACUCUAAGAAAUAAGAAUACUAUUCUCGAAAGGUUACAAUGAAAGUUGUACCAACCAUUGACAAACAGGGUACAAACCAUGUGCUGCCACCAUUUGUGCCAUAAUUGAUGGCCUAUUAUUUUACCAUUGAUGCCUAUAAAUAGAGGCAUUAUUUGAGAGCAAAAUGAUAGAGAGUUGUGAGAGUAUGUAAAGAGAAUAAGAGAGAAAAAGAGAAGAUCUGCAAGGGCAGUAAUGUGAGCUGGGAGUGGAGUUUGAGUGAAGUGAUUUUCCUCCUUGUAUUUGUUUGGUAUCAUUUCUCUAUCUCUAAUAAUAUGGACAUCUUUCAUGGAUGUAGGCAAUUUGUCAAACCACAUUAAAUAUUGUGUCAGUGUGCUUAGAAUCUAAUGGGCAACUAUCAAUACAUCACUGGUUAGAUUCCCCAAUAUUAAACAUGUUCAAAAAGUAUUUUAUUGUUUCACAUUGUAAAAAAUAUAAUGUAUAAUGACUCCAUGAAUGUGUGGACGUGAAUCUUAUAGAGAAAAGGCAUACCCAUUUGCCAUAUCUUUGAGAUUCCAUCCGGAUAGAUUUCCUGCCUCUUCAAGAGCUUCUCUCCACUCCUUCACCUUCUCUUUAGAACGUUCUUCAUGUUUCACAAAUGCUUCUGCAAAACUGCCAGUCUGUUUUCUCACAUCUGAAGGAUCAAUGUCAUAGAAUAUAGGAAGAGCAAUCUGACCAGUUUUCCUAUAUUUGCACUUAAAAAUCUCCACUAGUUCAUCUAGACACCAUCUUGAAGAAGCAUAUCCUUUUGAGAAGACCACUAUAAAUAUCUUUGAUUCUUGAAUUGCCUCGAGGAGAUGUUGGGAGAUUUCUUCUCCUCUAGGAAGUUCAUCAUCAUCUUGAAAAGUGUGGAUUCCUGCUUGGACUAAGGCAGUAUAUAGAUGAUCUGUAAAUGUCUUGCGAGUAUCUUGUCCUCUAAAACUCAAAAAGACAUCAUAGGCCCCUUGUGGUGUAGAUGGAGAAGAAUCUGGCUCUGUCAUGGCAGCUGCAGAAAUUAAGGCACGAUUAAUUAAUUAGAAAUGAAGCGAUUGCAGGAGGUAUCUGCUAUCUUGCAAUUAUAACUAGUAAGGGAUACAUGUGAAGUGAUCAUCAAAGACAAUACAUAUGAAUGUGCUGAGUAGGAAUUUCAAUUAGAGAGUAAGGUAAGAAAAUCAUUCAGUCAUUGAGUUUCACCUAAUACUUCAAGCUUAACAACCAGAGAGCAUAAAACAAUAGCAUUUAAAAAGCUUACUGAGGUCAGCUUUUCUUCUCUUUCGCGAGGAUGAAUCAUUUUCUUCAUCUUUGGAUUGUUUGCGUUUUUCUUUCGGCAUUCUAAAAUGAAAUGAUCUUGUUCUAGAAGACAUGCAAGGAAUUAACUCAAUAAACUCAUCAAUGAUGUCUAUCUGAACAUAAAGCUUUCAAAUUAUUGUUACGAGUAAAGACAUGAAAUUAAAACAAGAAAGAAGCAAAGAAGAGGUAGAGCUAUACCUCUAUAUAACAAAGGGUUGGUUGGAUUCCACACAAGCUAUGAAAUUGCAGCAAUCUGGGAGAGAGGUUAGCUGAUUAAUCAAUACUGCUUCCAGCUAGCUGCCUUUGUUUGACGUCUCAGAACUGAAAGACUAUUCCUGGGACGAUACUUUAUUUCAACUACCCAAACAAUUUUUGUUAUCAAUUUUUGUUAUAGUUUCCAAGAAGCAAAGAAGAGUUACCAGCAAGAACAUGAAGACAUAAGAGCCAAUGCAACAAUUAUUUUCCCUGGCAAUCCUCUUAGUGUUAAUGUUGCUGUCAUGCAACAAUUAAUAUUACUGUAAAGACUAAAACAAGGGAAAUUCCUUUGUAAAUGACAAGGAAUUGAACGUUAAAUAGUGAAUUGAACAAAAAUGGUUAUUAAUUUCCAAGUCAGUCCGUGAAUUUACUUGUAGUUUCGAAGAAGCAAAGAAGAGUUACAAGCAAAAAACAUGGCAGCAUAAAAUCCCAUGUUUUCAAAACAAUCAGUAGCAACUACACGCAUGCAUGCAAUCAGUAGCAACAAUCGCAAAGGUUACCUCAAUUCUAUGGUGUUUGAGCUGUACGGAUUCCACGAACCUGGUGACUUUAAAGAUCAAAUUGCAGCAAUCAGAAAGGUUAGCUGAAGAGUAAAGAAACGAGGACUGAAGGCAAUAUUGUUUCGGGUAUCAUAUAUAGGAAUAGGAGCUUGGAAAUUUCUUUAGCAGCGUGUGAUCAAGGUAAUUUCCCGGUUGUUGCUGACUGAUUAUAGUUGUUGCUUUAGCGCGCCUCUGACAUAGACUGGAGGACUAAAUUUCUUUAGCAGCGUGUGAUCAAGAUUAAUCCCAACUAAUCUAAAAUCUAGAGCUUUGGGAUCAACUCCCCGUCGAUUUAAAAAACUAUGGUUAAAAGCAAGUGCAUGAAGUUUUUGUUACAAGGAUAUGCUUCUCGAAAAAUAAAAGGAAAUUGUUGUUUUGUUUCUACCUUAGAAUAAAAAUAGUUUUUAAUUUAAUUUUACAUUAAUUAAAAUAAAUAUUAGUAAAAGAUUUUAAAUUUUAAAACAAAAACUCAUCAUGUUAUGCUAAGAAAGUCACAAAAAAUUAUUUGUUAGUUUUAAAUUAAUAAAUUAAUAAAAUAAAUAUUUUAUUUUCAUUGAAUAUUCAUGAGUAUUGUUUUUAAAAAAAUCUUGAAUAUUAGGUUCAUAUAUAAUUAGCCAUAAAAUUAUAAUUAACAUUACUAAAAAAAUUAUAAUAUUAUUUAAAAAUUACAGCACAACCGAAUAAGUUUAUAAAUAUUAUUUUUAAAAUGAAUUUUAUGAAAAAAAUGUCAAAAACCAAAACUUGAAAGACCAUAUUGAAUUUUUUAGUGGAAAAGAUUGUCGCAAUCCACAACAGUUAUGGCGAGGGCUACACGUCUAAGCAUCAAUCUAGCACCAUUGAUUACAAAACCUCGUUCUUGGACAAUCAAUUGGCAUAAUUUUCCACACGGAUUAGUUGAAUCUUAAAAAUGAUAGCUUGACAAGGAUUAGUUGAAUUUGUGCAUCACAAUCAAAUGGCAUAAUUUUCCACACGGGAAACUUAGAAGAGUCGAAGACCCUCGCCCUCACACUCCAUCUCCAUUUAUUUGCCUGCUGAAUUCCAUCUCUCAGCCCUGCUUUUUUGUUUCCGGGUCUAAUCUGAUACUUGUUAUUAAUUUUAUUCAUAUAAAAUAUAUUUAUUAUUUAAAAAAAUUAAUAUUAUUCGUUCUACCAUGUUUUUGAGAAACCCAACAAUAACAUAAUAAUAAAAAAAUAUAAAAAAUUAAGAUUAUAUUCACAUCCAUGGUUUUUUUUUCCUUACAAUCCUUUCAAUUUGCAUUAUGAAUAUUUCAGCAUGAAUUAAAAAAUAGUUUUAACAUUAAUUUUUUUCUAUUUGGAAUUGUAAAUCAGAGGGGUUAAUAUCUAACUUACUUUGGUAUAAUUUUUAGGGAUUGAAUCCUAUUUAAAAUUUAAUUCUUAACACUAAAAAUAUUUUAAAUAUGAGAUAUUAUUAAAAAUUUCUAAUUCAAUUUAAUUUAGUGAAAUAGUUUUUGAAAUUGGUGCUUUUCUUCAACUAUUCUCCUGGAUUUGUUUUUUAAUCAAUAACAUGACAUGAUUGUUUUGGCAAUUGUUUUUGCUAAAAACAUGAUUUUCAUAGCCAUUUGCACCCUAUUAUUUAUUUUUAUUCAUAUAUUAAUGUCAAUAUUCCCUUUUUUUUAUUCAUUUAUUUAUUUUUAUUUUGAUGAAAAUGUAUUUUGUAAUAGAAGCUUGGUUUUUUAUAUAAGAACUUAUCAUGAUUUGUGAACUAAUUUUCAAAAACAAAUUAAAAAAUAAUAACAUCCCCAUUAUUUUUGUGAGACUUUAUGAAAACAAUAAAGAAUAAUUAAUUUGAGAAAAAAUAUAAAAAUUCACAAUACAAAAAUAAUAUAUAUAUAUAUAUAUAUUAUUCUCAUUAUAUAUUAAUGUCCAUUUUAUAAAAUAUGGUGCAUGUGAGUUUUGUACAUAAUUAUAAAAAUACUGCAAAUAUAACCAUAAACAAUUAUAAUUUUAUUUAAAAAUAAUGAUAUAAUUUAAUGAUUUAUGAAACAUCAUUGCAAUUAUUUAUUAAAGUAGUUUUUAUUUUAAGAUAAAAAAAACAUAUAUAAAAAAAAAUGAAAGAAUAUAAUGGACAAGAAAUAUCAGAAGCAGAUAGACCUAUGCUAUGAGGCUUCCACGCUUAGCCCAUAAGAAACCUUGGCACCAAUAAGACUUUUGAUAAUUGAUAUUACUAACUCAAUCAAUGUCAAUGAAGCCAAUGGCCAUAAGAUGUGGAGCAUGUGUUAUAACUUAAUUUUUUAUAUAUAUAUAAAAUGAAAAGAAAAUAAAAUGGAAUAAAUUAAGAAAAAUUAAGAUUUGAAUCAUACAGAACAAAUGAAAAGAUGAAAAGUUUUGAAGAAUUAACCAGAGAGGGAUUGUAAUCCAGGGUUCAAUUUUACUAGAAAUAAAAAUAAUAGAUAAGUUUAAGGACUUAAUUAAACUUUAAAUUUGUUUAAAUUAAUGAUAUCAGGGGUUUAAUUGAUAGAUUUAAGGACUUAAAUAAGAUUAAAAUCAAUUUAAUUAAUAAAAUCAGGAGUUUAAGUGAAGAAAUAUCCAAGUUUGGAAUUAAUUAAGGAUUAAAUGGAUUAAACUGGAAGCCAAGGACUUUUUUGUAAACGACACCGAAAUCCAGGGGUCUGAUUAUAAUGUUCCUUGGGCCUGAUUAGAAGAUCUCGAAACGUAAAAUGACUAAAUUGCAAAAGAGCCACCCAAGUCAGAAACGACGCCGUUUUGUUUCAUUCUUUGUUCCUUUCGAAACAGAGGAGAUCACCUGCGAAGGAAAUACAGAAUGCCACCCAGACAGACAACUCACACCACAAGACACAUUGCAAUGCCCAAGACUUCCAUCACCAGCUUUUCAAUUCUUUUUCGUGUCCCUCGCCGCCAUAACAAACCAUUGAGGCGUGGAGGAAACCACCACCAUUGACAAGAUAGUGUUUGGGCUGAUGUGGACAAAAAGCCAUAGAGUGAGUACAGAUAAACGGAAAUGGUUAGAGAUUCAGCGGAAAAGAUGAAUAGGAAGACUUUGGUUUGUAAUGAUAAUUUGAUUAUGAGUUAAAUAUUAUUUCUAAGGCUCUGAUGUAGCCUCUCCACGAAACUCUCAAAUUUUGAUUUAUGUUAUUAAAGUAUUUAUCAAUCUUGUUGAGUGUAAAUAUAUUAUUGUAUCUAACAGCAGAACCCAAAGUUAUAUUGACAACAGAGGAAAAGCUAUAAGAUCACAGACUACAAUUACACAAAACAAAUGUACGCAAAUAAAGAAGAAAACCACAGAUGGGUUUGGAUAUUUGAAGCAAGUAGUAAUAGCAACAGUUGUUGUGCAGAGUAGUGAAGGUCCUGAAAUUUUUCUACUUUUGUUCAUAUAUCUGAUGUGCAGAGUAAUGAAUGGUUUGUUUGGCUGUGAUGAUUUAUACGAAUUUUGACUCACAAUACAUCACUCUGAAACAUAAGGGAAAUGAAUUGGCACAAGGCAUAGCAGAGAAACAAGAUAUAUAGUUUAAUCCAAAACGAACCUGCAUUUCUAAAAUUAGAAAUGCAAAAUUCAAACGAAAAGAUUUGCCAACUAACAUCCAACUACAGCAACUAUUAUCAUACUCUAAUCAAUUUUGGCUCUGAUCUAUUAUCAUAUUCUUCAGCAUAAAUUAAAUGCAACUUUCAAAAGAAACCAUCAACUUAAAUUCCAGCAGCAGCAGCAACAAUCAUAGACCCAAACUCUGAUUUGAUAAAUUUUAAAUUUGAUAAUAAUAAUCUACUCUGAAAAUGAGCUACAAACGGUUUAAACAGUACUUUAAACCGACCAACAGGUUCCUUUGUUGAGGUGGGAUAAGGACAUCAUGAGAAGGUACAAAAUGCAGCAUUUACCUUGUGACAAUGCCGGCUUAUCAGAACUCGGCAUUUUCUGCAUGUCUCAUUGUAAAGGUGGUUGCCAGGAUGCUAGCUAAUAGCCAGCAGGUAAAAUUCAAACAUAUACUUCUAAUAUCAUGCUUUGAGAAUGGAGAUCGCCCUUGGCAUCUGGAUAUCUCAUAUAUAUGCAAACAUUUCCAGACUGAUAUUGCUCUUUCUAUAUUUUUCCCGUUCUGAGUUUCCUCUGUAAUUGUUGAGACAAAGAAAUUGGCGCAUAUGGCACUGCGUGGUGAUGAAGAAGUAGCUAACAAGCAGGUGAUAUUGAAAGACUAUGUCUUGUCUGGUUUUCCUAGGAAUUCAGACAUGAAUGUGAUCACCAGUUCUAUCAAACUUAAGGUACCAGAAGAAACUCCAGGAAUUCUAGUCAAGAAUCUUUAUUUGUCAUGUGAUCCAGCCAUGAGAGGUAGAAUGUUAAUACUUGAAGGAUCUUAUGCUGAGUCCUUCAAGCCUGGUUCGGUCAGUCACUCUGCUUAUCUUGCAUUUCAUUGAAUACUUUUGAAGAAAACAAUCGAUACAAAUUAGAAUAGGGCUGUUGAUAUAUGUGCUUCUGUAUAGCUCAAACUUUCAUGUGGCUGUUCCAAAAAAAUGCAGCCUUUAAAUGGAUAUGGAGUGGCUAGAGUUUUGGAUUCAGGGCAUCCAGACUGUCACACCCCCACAAAAAAAAUUAUAAGGCGCGACAUCGGCUGGCGAUUUUCGUUGUGUUCUAAGGAUUUGGUUCUUUGGAGUCGCCACCUAGUAUUUGGUCACUAGGAACCCUAACUGGUCUUUCAGAGAUUCUAAGGCAAGGGACUGGUUGCGUAAAGGGAAGGUACUAGCACCCCUAGUAUGCCCUACCGAAGGUAAGCUGCUUGGUGUUUGGUUUGCUCUAUAGUCUAUGGUGUUGGUGUUUUCUAAUCCCGUCAACUCGUAGAUCGCCCGGAAAAGAAAAGAAAAAAAAACGAAGAAAAAUUCACAAUUCUUAAAAAAAACAAUUUUAUACUUUCACGACUCGUAAACCGUGGAGUAAAAAAAAUUAAAAUUUUGAAAUGUCCUCGAUUACAACCAAAGCUUCUUUCAAACAUGUGCGCUGAUUUAUUACUCCCAAUAAUAUUUUGGAUGUUCGUCCUUUUAAGGAUUUCUUCAUCCAAACAUUAGCGGUGAACAAUAACCACCACUUCUCCUCCCAAAAUAAGAUUUUUUAUAGUUUUUGGAAUAUUGGCCAAUACCCUUUGGAGUUUUACAAACAUGUUGUAAAAUCCACAAAUGGAAGAAAAUGAUUUGUGUUUAAGAAAUCUAUGCGAAAACACACCUUCAAAGCUUCCAAUAUUUUUUGUGUAUAAAAAAGAAAAUUCAAAAUCAUGUUAGAGUAUUGGCCGUAUGCAACACGCAAGAAAACAUUUUUUUUUUUUGACGAAAACGGGUGUUUUUAAACACUGAAAUUAUAUCCCCAUAGUAAAAAAAUGCAAAUCAAUGUAUAUAAAAACAACAAUAUAUUUUUUUUACUUUUCAGAAAUUUUUUAUUUUUUAUUUUAUUAAUUUUUUUUUAUAAAAAAAAUAUAUAUAUAUAUACAUCCACAUGCAUAAUAUAAUAAUAUAAUAUAAUAUUAAUAUCAAGUGGGCUGGGCCGGCCCAACUAACUGGGCCGGAUUCCAGCCCCAAAAACGUUGGGCCACACUCGGCCCAACAACAUCUUGUCUUGAUCUGGGCCGGACUGGCCCAGACCUGCAAUCUGGGCCGGACCGGCCUAGACCCGCCUAUCACUGGGCCAGACCCUGUCUGGCCCAACAGAAGAAAAAGAAAUGAACGAGGGAGGGAAUUAUUUUCCCCCCCGUAUGCCUCCUGCAUGCAGAACGAUUCUGCAUGCAGGAGGCCAACCUAUGCCAGCCUUCAACAGAAAAUGCAGGGGGGUCAGAAUGGCGUACCUGGCGCAGCGGAGACGGCGGCUUGCUGGCGGGGGCUGCGGCGGGGGCGGUGGCAGCGGCUUAGCUCACAGUGGUUUCCAAGUGGACCGAGACCACACCUUCGGUUCGCUCGCUUCUGCUUCAACUUCUGGAUGUCCCCUCUCGGUUUCAACUACCCCAAGCUUUUCAAACCAUGGGUUUUCGGUCACUGUUUCGUAAGUUUUGUGGUUUCUCUCUCUUUCGGUCUCUCUCUCUCUCUCACUGUCUCGGUUUUUUGUCUUUCUUUCGGGUCCCUCUUUUUCGUUCGUCCUCCUCUUUUCUCACUCUGCUUCUUCUCUAUUUAUAGGCAUAUCGGGGCAUGCAUGGGGGAACGAGGCGUGCUGGUCGGUCGGUCGGCAGGCGCCGCUGCCAAGGUGCUUCUCUCGGGUUCGGUGGCGCGGCGGGUGGUCGGCCAGCGGCUUCGGUUUCGGGGGUCCCAAGGUGUGGAGCGUCGGGCCAUGGCACGUGAGGAGAGAGGCGGGGACCAAAACCCCGGUUUUCCUCUCCUCUGCUACGCCUGCGGGGGGGAAGAAGAAGAGAAACAGUGUCGUUCAAAACGGCACCGUUUGGUCUUUUUUUUUUCUUUUUUUUUUUUAAAACGCAUGAAACGACGUCGUUUUGGAGAAAACGCGCCGUUUCAUUUAAAUGUGGCGCCAGAAAUGCGCCAACGUUCACAUCAGUCCCCCAAUUAUUUUUGUUCCUUUCAAUUGCGUCCCUGCCAAUUCCGGUCUUGUCCGCCAAGUUGGCCGCCUUUUCCACUUUGGUCCUUGGCCUCUAAAUUAUGCAAUUUAGCCCUCAAUUGAUCAAUAAACUUCUAAUUUCUUCAAUUAGGCCCCUCAAUCAAUCCCAAACAGCCCCCCCUAUUCUUGCGCCUUUUUCAAAUUGGUCCCUGGUUUCGGAUUUUCACAAUUAAACCCCUAAUUGGCCAUUAAACUUCAAUAUUUAUGCAAUUAAGCCCCUGAUUUGACUUAAUAAAAUCCUAAAAAUUAUAAUUUGGCCCCAGAACUUAAAUUUCUUCAAUUUAAAGCCCAAUUGACUUAAAAAUCAAUUUUUCUUGCAAUCAAAUCCCUUAUAAAUCCAAUUAAAAAAUCAAUUAAACCAUAAACAUCCAAAUUUGGGCUUCUCUCCUCAAAAUUCAAAAUUUCCUUCUCAAUAGGGUUUUCAUCUUCAAGAAUAUAUUGUAAAAAUCCAAUCUUUGUAUUUUAUACUCCUUGACCAAUUUUCUGACCAUUUUCUGAGCGCUUCUGCCUCUUGUCAUUUUUCUAACCUUCUUUGGCUAUUUAUUUAUUUUUUUGCGGGGACCCAAAAAUGGGUUACAACAGAUGCCCCCUCUUUAUAGAGCUUACGGAGCAAAGGUUUUGCGUAGUAAGUUUUAUAAAGAUAGUCCCAACUAAACUCCCGAAACUGAUCUGGUCGAAGCUUGAUCGAUCUGAAACUCUUUCUUUACAACAAUCCUCUUCGGCCAUCGGAAUCCCAUCUGGCAUUCCCUUUAACGAAAAUGAAAUAUGAGGUCCCUUCUGGCGACCCCUUUUGACAAAUAUCGAAAUACGAGAUCCCUUCUGGCGAUCUCCUUUAAUCAACUUGGAAUCCCAUCUGGCGAUUCCUAUUAACAAACAUGAAGUACGAGGUCCCAUCUGGCGACCUCCAAAAUAGUGAAACACGAGAUCCCUUCUGGCGAUCUCAAACAACUGGAAUCCCAUCUGGCGAUUCCUUUUAACCAACAUGAAGUGUGAGGUCCCAUCUGGCGACCUCCACAAUAGUGAAACACGAGAUCCCUUCUGGCGAUCUCAAACAACCUGGAAUCCCAUCUGGCGAUUCCUUUUAACCAACAUGAAAUACGAGGUCCCAUCUGGCGACCUCCAAAUAGUGAAACACGAGAUCCCUUCUGGCGAUCUCAAACAACUGGAAUCCCAUCUGGCGAUUCCUUUUAACCAACAUGAAAUACGAGGUCCCAUCUGGCGACCUCCAAAUAGUGAAACACGAGAUCCCUUCUGGCGAUCUCAAACAACUUGGAAUCCCAUCUGGCGAUUCCUUUUAACCAACAUGAAAUGAGGUCCCAUCUGGCGACCUCCAAAUAGUGAAACACGAGAUCCCUUCUGGCGAUCUCAAACAACUUGGAAUCCCAUCUGGCGAUUCCUUUUAUUCAAACUGAAAUAUGAGUCCCUUCUGGCGACUCAUCGAAAAACGAGAUCCCUUCUGGCGAUCUCUUUUAACCAACAACUUGGAAUCCCAUCUGACGAUUCCCUUUUACCAAUUGUAUCGAUGUCGUUCUUCCUGCUGGCAGGGUUUGAAAAAUUAUCUUCUCUUCUUGUUGUUCUAGACUCAACUCAAUGAUUCUUUCUUCGUCCACAAUCUUGUUGGAAUGCACUAAGAUCUCCUCCUGUAACGAUAAAAAACAUACAUGCAAUGAUUUAUGAUUAGAUGCAAUGCAUGCAUUCGUACCUGGUUUUGAAACAUAGGCCCCAUCCUCUUCUUCUAGUUCAUGAGACUCCUCUAACAUGAGCUUGCUUUUGAAGUCGUAUGCUGGAUUCAUCUCUCGUGUUGCCUUUUUUACUUAUCAUAUUCUUGGAGAAGAAUUAUUUGACUUUCCUCAAGUAGUCCUUUUCUCAAAAUGUAAGACUUGUUAUUGCCUUUAUGUCAUGCUUUUGUCAAAUGCUUUAGCUUGGUUUUCAAAUCUAUAGGCUUCCGUAAAACUUUUCAUAAAAAACAUCUUGUAUUGCCCCCAAUGUAGGGGUGUGAUCCUAGUUUGAGAUUUUAUAUUAGAGAAGACAUUCGUUCAGUCGAUGCUAAACUUUUUAAAUGAGUGAUGAGAUGCACAAAAAUGAUUGCUGUGAGAUCAAUGCACAAAAAGAAAGAAAUCAAUGGCCAAACUUUGCUUUAUUGAUUCAGGGAAUUACAUCAAGCGUAAUAUCUUUUUACAGAGUCAGAAUUCACAGGUCGAGCUAGGUCUUCUCCAUCCAUUCUAGCUAACUUCAACGCUCCUCCUGAGAAUGCCUUUGUUACUACAUAAGGACCCUCAUAAUUUGGUGCCCAUUUGCUUUGAUCAUCUCCGGGUAAUGACAAUAUCUUCUUCAACACUAGAUCCCCUUCUUGAAACAACUGCGGUCUAACCUUCUUAUCAUACGCCUUAGCCAUUCGUUUCUGGUAAAGUUGGUGAUGACAUAUUGCGGCCAUCCUCUUUUCACUGAUCAGGUUCAGUUGCUCGUGUCUCACUCUGGCCCACUCGGCUUCUUCUAACUCAGAAUCGAUUAACACUCUUAACGACGGGAUUUCCACUUCCAAAGGCAUCACUGCCUCCAUACCGUACACCAAAGAAUAUGGGGUAGUCCCUGUCGAGGUUCGAACUGCGGUGCGAUAUGCAUGAAGGGCAAAUGGUAACAUCUCAUGCCAAUCCUUAUAGGUGACUACCAUCUUCUGAAAUCUUUUUGACAUUCUUGUUAGCAGCUUCUACCGCCCCAUUCAUCUUUGGUCUAUAUGGCGAAGAAUUGGAAUGCUUGAUUUUCCAUUUAGUGCAGAGCUCUAUUAUCAUCUUGCCGUUGAAAUUCUGGGCAUUAUCAGUUAUAAUCUUUUCUGGUGGACCAUACCGACAUAUCAAAUCUCUCUCAAUAAAUUUCUUCACCACUUUUUGUGUCACAUGAGCAAAUGACCCGGCUUCUACCCAUUUUGUGAAGUAGUCAAUAGCCACGAGGAUAAAUCUAUGACCAUUGCUCGCUUUUGGGUUUACAGGUCCAAUCACAUCAAUUCCCCACAUCGCGAAGGGCCAUGGAGAUGUUAAGUUAAACAGAGGAGCUGGUGGCAUAUUGACCUUGUCACUGUAAAUUUGACAUUUGUGACAUUUUCUGACAUAGUCGAUACAAUCUUUUUCUAGUGUCAUCCAAAAAUAACCAGCCCUUUGGAUUUUCCUUGCCAUCAUAUGCCCGCUAGCAUGGGUUGAGCAAAUCCCCUCAUGGACCUCUCUUAAUGCCUUUCUAGCAUCUGCCUCAUCCAAACACCUUAACAGGGUUCCAUCAAAUGAUCUUUUAUAUAAAAUCUCUCCAUCUAAAUAGAAGUCUAUAGCCAACCUUCUCAAGGUUUUCUUAUCCGUUUUAGAAGCUCCCACCGGAUAUUCCUGAUUCUGCACAAGAUUCUUGAUAUCGUAAUACCAAGGUUGUCCGUCCAUCUCUCCUUCAACUAAACAACAGUGCGCUGGAUCAUUUCUAAUAUCAAUGUGUACCGGUUGUACCUUGCACUUGAGGUCAAUGGUAGUCAUAGCAGCUAGUGUGGCCAAAGCAUCCGCAAAAUGGUUCCCCUCCCUUCCCAGAUGGGUGAAUCUAAUUUCUUCAAAUUCCUUUGCUAGCAUGGAUAGGUAUUCCUGGUACGGCCUCAACUUUUCUUCUUUGGUUUGCCAUUCCCCUUUGACCUGGCAGAUGAUCAACAUUGAAUCCCCAUAUACAUCUAUCUUCUUUAUCUUUAACUCCAAUGCCGCUUCUAAACCGAGUAUACAAGCUUCAUACUCAGCUGUAUUGUUGGUGCACUCGAAAUGUAGUUUGACCGAAACUGGGUAUUGUUUCUUAUUAGGAGAGAUUAUUACCGCCCCUGCCCCGUUACCAUAUACAUUUACUGCCCCGUCAAAAAACAUGGUCCACCAAUCUGUCUUCUCUUCUUCCUUUUCUAUUGACAAUAUAUCUUCAUCAGGGAAAUCAAAAUCCAAAGGUUCGUAAUCUUCAACAGCAUUAUCGGCCAGAUGGUCUGCGAUUGCACUCCCUUUUACGGCUUUCCUUGUCAUGUACACUAUGUCAUAUUCUGCUAAUAAAACCUGCCACCUUGCAAUUCGACUUGAGAGAAAAGGCUUAUUACAAAUAUACCUCAGAGGAUCCAAUUUUGAAAUCAACCAAGUGGUAUAGUAUAACAUGUAAUGUCGCAACCUCUUUGCCGCCCACACCAACGCACAACAAAGUUUUCUAUCUCCGUGUAUCUGGACUCACAUUCAGUGAAUUUCUUACUCAAGUAAUAAAUAGCUCUUUCCUUCCUUCCGGUUUCAUCAUGCUGACCCAAUACACAUCCCAUGGCUACUUCAGUUACGGUUAGAUAUAAUACUAGAGGUUUCCUGAUACAGGAGGACCAGUAAAGGUGGAUUUUGUAAAUAAUGCUUGAUUUUAUUGAAUGCCUCCUCACACUCCUCAUUCCAGGUUCCAGGAUUCUUUUUCCUUAGUAGUCGGAAUAUAGGCUCGCAUGUUGUUGUUAGCUGAGCUAUAAAUCGAGCAAUGUAAUUCAACCUUCCCAAGAAUCCUCUUACUUCUUUCUCCGUCUUAGGGGAUGACAUAGCUUGAAUGGCCCUUACUUUAUCUGGAUCCACCUCUAUACCUCUAUCACUUACCACAAAUCCCAACAGCUUGCCCGAUUUAACUCCGAAUGAACAUUUUGCAGGAUUAAGCCUUAGUUCAUACUUCCUCAACCUCUCAAAUAACUUCCUCAAAACUUCCACAUGAUCCUGUCCCUUUUUAGACUUGGCAAUCAUAUCAUCUACAUACACCUCAAUUUCUUUGUGCAUCAUGUCGUGGAAUAGAGUCACCAUUGCUCUUUGAUAUGUUGCACCUGCGUUCUUUAACCCAAAUGGCAUGACCUUGUAGCAGUAGGUCCCCCAAGGUGUGACAAAAGUUGUUUUCGCCUUAUCCUCUGGAGCCAUUUUUAUUUGAUUGUAUCCUGAAAAACCGUCCAUAAAGGAAUAAGUGGAACUUCGGGCAGCAUUAUCCACUAAAACAUCUAUGUGUGGUAGAGGAAAAUCAUCCUUAGGGCUAGCUCUAUUCAAAUUCCGAAAAUCCACACAAACUCUAAUCUUCCCUUCCUUCUUAGGCACCACAACAAUGUUAGAUACCCAUUGUGGAUAUCUAACUACUUCUAGAAAGCCAGCAUCCCAUUGCUUUUCGAGUUCUGCCUUGACCUUGAUCCAGACGUCCGGGUGGGCCCUCCUCAGUUUCUGCUUGACUGGCUUAUAACCUUCUUCCAACGGUAUCUUGUGUUCUACAAUACUUGUAUCCAAACCGGGCAUAUCUUCAUAGGACCAAGCAAAGACAUCUGAAUAUUCUUGUAAUAGGGUGAUCAUUUUUAUCCUUUGUUCAGAAGUAAUUAGGGUACCUAUUUUCAACUCUUUCUUGAGCUGACCAUUGCCCACAUUGAUGGUUUCGAGUUCCUCGGCGGCAGGCUUCCAAGUCUGUUCCUGUUGUUCUACUAGCCUGGUGAAUUCACUGAUAUUGCUUUCAUCCCACUCUUCUUCUUCCAUAGCUAUUACAUGCUCGUUCAAGUUUGGCCAUUUAUUCUUGAUGCUAGAUGUAUGUGAUGUUGUAGGAGAUCCGCUUUCAGGAUUCCUGAAAGCGGGAAGUGCUUGGUGUAAAUGCAUAUAUAAAAACAAUUUUUGAAAAAAGUGCAUGAUCUCAUAUUCAUUCAAAGGAAAAGGUGGGCUCCAUGACAAACAUAGAAUCUAGCUGACAUCAUGAGCCUCGAUUGUCAACUAGAGAAAAUAAAGCAAACAUAAGCAAAUGACAAAAACAUUUUAAGGCAAACAAAGUUGGUUUACAUUUUGAAAACCACUGGAGCUUCUUGGGUCACCCAAUUCUGGAACUUUUCGCCUUGAGCCAACUUGCGCACAAAGGUCUUGGCGGAGACUUCUUCUAGUGUAUGGAUCGUCAGUUGUGGCAGCACUUCAUCUUCUUUUCCCGCUAUUUCUUUCGCGUCACCUUUUUCCUUCUCCUUUCCCUCCAAGGUGUUUAUGCUCAUAUUGCCAGCUCUAGACCCAGGCUUUCAGCUCCCUUAUCAUGUUGCACUAUGUAUGCAGCUCUUGGGAAUGAUACGCUAAGGGGAGGGAUUUCCAGUUGUUCUUCUUCAAGAUCUCUUCCUUUAAUUCUAGCCAUCCUUCUUGUCCUUCUCCGAUCAGCAGCCCAACGAUAAUCCUCUUGGUUAGGUUGAUAUCCUAGCCCAAAUCUUUGAUCAGCUUUUCUCUUCCUUGUCGGAUUAGCCCCUUCUGGUAUUCCGCAAGCGAGGUUAUAUCGACGUGGGACCCCACGGUUCAAGAAACAUAGACUUGCCAUCCUUGCUGCUUCUGAGAUCCUUGGCCUUCUUAGCACGGUGUUCUCCGGCACCCAGUCGGUGUUCACGAUCUCAAAAGCAUGGAUAUUGUUAUCCUUGCAAUCCUCCGCUUCGAUGAAAGGCACAGCCACAUUCUUUAUCAUGGAUAUUGCCUCCUCAGCCUUGACGGUUACUAACAUCCCAUUCAUGAUGUACUUCAGACAUUGGUGCAAUGAUGAAGCUACUGCCCCCGCUGCGUGGAUCCAAGGUCUUCCCAACAACAUGCUAUAGGAAGGGUGGAUAUCCAUAACCUGAAGUGUCACUAGGAACAUUUGCGGUCCCACAUAUAGCUCCACUUCUAAAGUCCCAAGUAUUGGCCUAGGUGAGCCAUCAUAUGCUCUGGCCAUCAUAGUACUUGGCUUCAUAUGGAUUCAUCAAUCGGCAUUUCCUCCAGAAUGUGCUUUGGCAACGUUGAGGGCCGAGCCAUUAUCGACGAGCACCUUCCCUACGAGGCAGUCUUUGCACCUAACAGUAAUGUAUAAAGGCUUGUUGUGUCCGGUACCUUCAGCAUCAAGCUCAUCAGCCGUGAAGUAGAGGUAAUUAGUUGCAUGGAUCCUCCCCACUAAAUGCUCCAUGGUUUUAUGCUCAAUGUCUUGGGGUACAUAUGCCUCAUUCAAUACCUUUUGCAAGGCAUUUCGAUGCGGCUCAGAGCUGAGUAUCAAGGACAUAAGGGAGAUCCGAGCUGGAGUCUUUUUUAGUUGAUCCACUAUGCAAUAUUCGCUAUGCUUGAUCAACUUCAAAAAUCAUUCGACUCCUCUUCCGUUACCGGCUUAUUAACUUCUGGUGCUUUGUCCAGAUCUACCACUUCUUUACCCUUUUCCUUCCUCCAUUCUUCAGGCGUAAAGCAACGACCACUCCUGGUCAAACCACUUAUCUCCGUCUGGAACAAAGGAAGAGGCGCUCGAAUGUUGGAGGCAUACCCAUAAUUAUACGGCAUGGCAUUGUGAUUCUCUUUUGUGCAGGACGGUUUAACAAGAUCAGCCUUGGGGGCCCAUUAGCAGUCUGUUGGACCCUGCAAACUCCUGCCAUCUCAUCUUGACCUUCCAUCAUGCUGACCUCACACCUGCUCUCCAUGGGUUCAAUCCUCAAUUGUCCCAUCUUCAACAUUUUUGCGAUCUUUUCGCAAAACUCGGCGCAAUCCUCAAUGUGAUGUCCAUCUCUUCCGUGGAACUCACAGUAGUCACCUCUCUCCAAUUGGCUUACCACCUUUGCCUCUAGAAAUCCUGAUUGUACUAACAUGUCGUACAACCUUUUCAUCGGCACCUUCAACACCUUGCAUUGAUUUCCCACUUCGAUCAUGCCUAUUCCACCACUAUUUGGAGCAUGUUUAGGCAAUGGGUUUGAAUUAACAUUGGGCUUGUCUUCGAAGGAUACCCAUCCCAACUUAAUAAGCUCCAAUAACCUCUUCUUGAAUGCAUAGCAGGUUUCAAUCCCAUGCCCGGGAUUACCCCCAUGGUACUCGCAAGUCAAAUCGGGCUUGUACCAAAUUGGGAAUGGUGGUUGUAGUGGUAGUGUAGGGAUAGGAGCUAUUUGUCCAAUGCUCAAAAGUUUGGCAUACAUGUCCUUCAAAGGCAUGGGUAACGGCGGCAGUUGUUCUGAAGUGUAUCCUGAGUGGGGUCUUUGGUAGUGAUUUUGGUAGUUUGGUUGGUUAUUUGUUCGGUUAGGUGAAAAAGAUUGGUUAAAGUUUAUGCGUGGGAAUUGAGAGGUAGGUGCUUGUGGGCUGUGGAAAUUUACUUUUUUGCCUUUGUACCCGCCUUCCAAAUUGUUAACGUCCCCUUCUCUUUUCCUUCCCAUAAAACCUUUCUUCUCUAAAGGCUCCGCUAUGCGCCCUGCUUUAAUUCCUUGCUCUAUCCUUUCCGCCACACGUACAACAUCAUAGAAAUGUUGAGAUGAGCUACCCAUUAAAUGCUCAUAGUAGGGUGCCUUGAAUGUAUUGGCGAACAAAGUCACCAUCUCCGUUUCUAUCAAAGGGGGUUGCACGUGCGUGGCCUCGUCCCUCCAUCUUUGCGCAUAAGCCCUCACUGACUCUUGGCUUCUCUUUUCCAUUGACAUGAGGCUCGUUCGAUCUGGAGCAAUUUCCAAAUUGAACUUGUAUUGCUUUAGGAAAGCCUCCACUAAGUCCUUCCAUUUCUUAAUCUUGACAUUAUCCAGCCUCAUGUACCAACUUAGCGCAGAUCCCGAUAGACUGUCUUGGAAAAAGUAGAUCAUUAACUUAUCGUCAUGAAUCACCUCAGCCAUCUUAUUGCAAUAAGAUCGAAGGUGAGUGUUUGGGCAUUCCAACCCAGUGUACCUUAUAAACUCUGGUAUCCUAAAAUCUUUUGGUACCGUGAGGUUUGGUACCAAGCAUAUUUCCGACGCUCGCAUGGGGUCAAACCAAUCAUUUCCCUCGACUGCUCUUAACCUUUCUUCUAAUGCUGAUAUCUUGUCAUCGUUCACAAAACCAGUGGACCUAUUAUCGGAAGGCCCCUCGGCUGUUAAAUCUACAGUGAUAUGAGCUUGAGGGGGUUGAAUGGGAAUGCUAGGUGCAAAGUGCUGCCCCGUCGCUGAAUCUGCCCCCAUAUUCUGAGAUACCCCCGGGACAGGAGCCGACGGUGCUCCUAUAGGUGGUUGGGUAGAUGUUCCCUCCCCAUUCUUGGCUUUUAAAAGUUGCUCAAGCAGAUUGGUCAACCGGGAAACUUCAUUUUUCACGGAUUCCAACUCGGUCUGGUAGUGUGACUCUAACUGAGCUCUUUCUUCGUUUUCCAUUCUUGAUCUGGACCGGGUUUGGUGGACUCUGGAUGUGGGACCUAUGUUUCACGAUCUGGAGAUGCAUGCAUAGAUGUAUGAGAAAAUGUAUGAUUGUGAUGGAUGCAUGCAUGUUUUAUUGUGAACGAAAAACAACCAUCCCAUUAUAAGCAUUCUCUUGUCACAUUGCUUUGAUAGGAGUUCUGCCUUUCGAGUCGUUUGCUUGAAUCAUGUUCACCAAGAGACAGAUUUUGCAUAAGAAGAUGGGUCAACGCCCUUUUCAUUAAUGCUUGGAUAAAAAUACAUUUUAGAAAUACAACAUGCUAAUCUCUUUCCUCCAUAAACUCUUUAGCCAAAGGUAAGAAAGCAAAGCCGCGGUUCUCAAUCUUCCCUAGAAAGGCAUCGGUUUCAGCUAGGCUUCGGCGAUAGCGAAUGAUGUCUCCUCCCACAUUCCGUGCAUUGAUUCUAAUAAUUCGAGCAUGUGCAGCAGCUUCGUCCAUUUGCUCAUCUGUUUUGGUCAUUUUUUCUAUGAGCAACAUGUUUGUUCUGUUCAAAGCAGUGUUGUUGGCGUCGAUUCGAUCCUUGUGCUUUUCCGUUGCUACUAGCUUCUCGUCUAAUACUUCACCUUUUCGCGUUCUUUGUCAAGCUUUAUCCUCAUAACUUUUAUCUCAUUCUCUUCCGCUAACUCUGCUUUAACAUCCUCGAAUCCUCCCCUUUGCUUUCCAACUCCAUAUAUCUCUUAUUCAAAUCCUUAUACCUCCUAAUCCUAUCCAUUAGUUCGAAUUGCACUUGCGCAAAUUUUUCUUGGUAAUAUUCUGCACUUUCUUGGCAAUCGCUAAAGUCCAUCUCCAUUGCUUCAAGUUCAGAGCAACCUUGCAUCCAAUCCAAACUCACCCCUUUUAAGCUCCUUCUCACUUCUUUCCCUAGCAAUCUUCUCCUCACCAGUUUACUCAAGCUUUGUUAUUUUCAUCUCUAGACUGUAUUUGCUCAUCUAGAAAUGUUCUCCUUUUAUCCUCUUCUAACAUCAUUUCUUCCAACAUUGCCUUGUCUUUUUGCUCUUGCUCAACUCUAUUCUCAUUUUGUCCACUUGCCUUCUCAAUUCACCGUUAACCCUCUUUCUUUUGAGGGGUUCCUCUACAGUUUGAGGAGAUUUGACUUCUACACGAGGCAUGGCUGAAGCAGCUGAAUCAUCUUCAAUAUUAACCUCCUUUCUCUUAAUAGGCUCCUCUACAACUUGAGGAGAUUUAGCUUCUACGCAAGACAUGGCUGAAGCAGCUGAGGCUCUCCAUUUUACAUAUCCUUCGCUCACACUUGGAUCUCUCAAACCUUCUAUUUCCACCAACACUAGAUGCUUCCAAUCUUGUUUGAUGAUCUCCAAAACUUCUUUUGCCAUGGGAUCUUUGAACAGACCAAAGAAUUGAGCAAUUCCCAUAGUCCGGGGAACAAACUGCAUGCCCCCAAGUUGUCUUACCACUAAAGCCGGGCAUAACUCACAUAACCCGUAAUCCCCACCAAUGGUACCAACGCCUUUGUCCACAACUCAUUAGGACCUUCACUGUCGUUACCCAUGGGCUCUCCAUUUAAAAUCGCUAUUAGGUAAACCUUCUAAUUUAUCAACCCAACCCUGGUUGUCUAGAUCUCCCCAUUCUUCUUCUUCUACUAACUUUAGGGGUUUUUGGGUGAACCACCAAAAAUUAUUGAAGACAGGUUUCUUUGUUUCGAUAUGGCUAACCAUCCAAAUAUACAACAGUUGCGUGCAGCAUCUCAUUGCUCCUUUUCCAGCCCUCUACAAUGGUUAAGUGUCAAAAAUGUUUCGGCUAAAAUAGCAACCACUGGAUUGAUCUGUGUGUUCUCAUACUCCACAUAAGCAGCAGCGGCCUCCAAACUUACUAAACCAGUCUGACUUGGGAACAACACAAGACCAAAUAUACCUAAGGCAAUCAAUCUCUCUUUUUCUACUCCUGACUCCUUUUCCAACUCUAGCAUCCUCCAUUUCAAACCGGUGCCAUUCUUUUCCAGAAACUUUUCCAAGUUGGAGAUUCUGAGCAGUUUUGACAGCUCAGGGAUGAUCUUGUCGGAUCUCAAAGGAGAAUAAAUCCGAUACAGGUCGUUCGGAAACUCGGUCAACAAUCCAUAUUCCUCAAUCGUGGGGCACAAGUCUAUGCUUCCAAAGGAGAAACAUCGGUAGUCUGGAUCCCAAAAAUGAACUAAGGCUCGCACAGCUGGGCUUAAAACUUCUACCUUUGCGAUUUCCAUCAAACGUCCGUAUUUCCUAAAAAAUGCAUCUUUAUCCACAUUCUGAAAAUGAGUCGUUAACUUGUUCACCUCAUUCAAUAUGCAAUUCAGGUUCUUGAUUGGCGACAUCUUCUUAGCAUCGCUUCUAAGGCAGUCUCCUUCAGUCAAUUGUGACAGUUCAGAAUUCUUUCCAUACUCUAGGAUGGAAGAUUUGAUGAUGGUCAUUUCGUUCACAAAUCCUGCAAUUCAAAAUGCAUGGGGGUUAGUCUUGUUUCGAUGCAAAAGAUUUAUAUCGGAACAUACACCCUAAGGAUAGGUUCUAGUUCUUUUACGUGAGACAUAGGGUAGGUUUACUACUAGGUCUCUAAAAGAGGGUCUCUUGUUGUUCCAGUGAUCACCCUCGUAAAGGCGAUAUGGAGGUCCAGCAGAUAGUGGGAUGGCACGUGUACCAAUCACUAUCAGUCUAAACACUCAGCAAAGAGUUGGGGUUUACACAAACUUAAACCUUGACUCAAGUCAUAAGGCAAGCUGCUAGUCCCCCACUUAAACUUAGAGUUACAUGUGUGUGCCCUCCAAAACAUAAUAAUAAUAAUAAAGUGAUGCAUGACGAUGCCAUGUAUGAUAGAAUGUAAAGAUAUAUGCUAAAGCUUUUAAACAAAACAUUAUAAGAAAACAAAAACCAAUAACACAUAACAUAAACAAACAAACAAAUCAAGCUUAGUCCUAACAUCCCCAGUGGAGUCGCCAUUCUGUCACACCCCCACAAAAAAAAUUAUAAGGCGCGACAUCGGCUGGCGAUUUUCGUUGUGUUCUAAGGAUUUGGUUCUUUGGAGUCGCCACCUAGUAUUUGGUCACUAGGAACCCUAACUGGUCUUUCAGAGAUUCUAAGGCAAGGGACUGGUUGCGUAAAGGGAAGGUACUAGCACCCCUAGUACGCCCUACCGAAGGUAAGCUGCUUGGUGUUUGGUUUGCUCUAUAGUCUAUGGUGUUGGUGUUUUCUAAUCCCGUCAACUCGUAGAUCGCCCGGAAAAGAAAAGAAAAAAAAACGAAGAAAAAUUCACAAUUCUUAAAAAAAACAAUUUUAUACUUUCACGACUCGUAAACCGUGGAGUAAAAAAAAUUAAAAUUUUGAAAUGUCCUCGAUUACAACCAAAGCUUCUUUCAAACAUGUGCGCUGAUUUAUUACUCCCAAUAAUAUUUUGGAUGUUCUUCCUUUUAAGAUUUCUUCAUCCAAACAUUAGCGGUGAACAAUAACACCACUUCUCCUCCCAAAAUAAGAUUUUUAUAGUUUUUGGAAUAUUGGCCAAUACCCUUUGGAGUUUUACAAACAUGUUGUAAAAUCCACAAAUGCAAGAAAAUGAUUUGUGUUUAAGAAAUCUAUGCGAAAACACACCUUCAAAGCUUCCAAUAUUUUUGUGUAUAAAAAAGAAAAUUCAAAAUCAUGUUAGAGUAUUGGCCGUAUGCAACACGCAAGAAAACAUUUUUUUUUUUGACAAAACGGGUGUUUUUAAACACUGAAAUUAUAUCCCCAUAGUAAAAAAAUGCAAAUCAAUGUAUAUAAAAACAACAAUAUAUUUUUUUUACUUUUCAGAAAUUUUUUAUUUUUUAUUUUUUAUUUUUUUAAAAAAUAUAUAUAUAUAUAUAUAUAUAUACAUACAUGCAUAAUAUAAUAAUAUAAUAUAAUAUUAAUAUAAGUGGGCUGGGCCGGCCCAACUAACUGGGCCGGACUCCAGCCCCAAAAACGUUGGGCCGACUCGGCCCAACACAUCUUGUCUUGAUCUGGGCCGGACUGGCCCAGACCUGCAAUCUGGGCCGGACCGGCCCAGACGCCUAUCUGGGCCAGACCCUGUCUGGCCCAACAAAGAAAAAGAAAUGAACGGGGGGAAUUAUUUCCCCCCGUAUGCCUCCUGCAUGCAGAACGAUUCUGCAUGCAGGAGGCCAACCUAUGCCAGCCUUCAACAGAAAAUGCAGGGGGGUCAGAAUGGCGUACCUGGCGCAGCGGAGACGGCGGCUUGCUGGCGGGGGCGGUGGCAGCGGCUUAGCUCACGGUGGUUUCCAAGUGGACCGAGACCACACCUUCGGUUCGCUUGCUUCUGUUUCAACUUCUUGAGUCCCCUCUCGGUUUCAACUACCCCAAGCUUUCACCUGGGUUUUCGGUCACUGUUUCGUAAGUUUUGUGGUUUCUCUCUCUUCGGUCUCUUUCUCUCUCUCACUGUCUCAGUUUUUUGUCUUUCUUUCGGGUCCCUCUUUUUCGUUCGUCCUCCUCUUUUCUCACUCUGCUUCUUCUCUAUUUAUAGGCAUAUCGGGGCAUGCAUGGGGGAACGAGGCGUGCUGGUCGGUCGGUCGGUCGGCAGGCGCCAUUGCCAAGGUGCUUCUCUCGGGUUCGGUGGCGCGGCGGGUGGUCGGCCAGCGGCUUUGGUUUCGGGGGUCCCAAGGUGUGGAGCGUCGGGCCAUGGCACGUGAGGAGAGAGGCGGGGAAAAAAACCCCGGUUUUGGAGAAGAAGAAGAAGAGAAACAGUGCCGUUCAAAACGGCACCGUUUGGUCUUUUUUUUUUUUUUUUUUUUUUUUAAACGCAUGAAACGACGUCGUUUUGGAGAAAACGCGCCGUUUCAUUUAAAUGUGGCGCCAGAAAUGCGCCAACGUUCACAUCAGUCCCCCAAUUAUUUUUGUUCCUUUCAAUUGCGUCCCUGCCAAUUCCGGUCUUGUCCGCCAAGUUGGCCGCCUUUUCCACUUUGGUCCUUGGCCUCUAAAUUAUGCAAUUUAGCCCUCAAUUGAUCAAUAAACUUCCAAUUUCUUCAAUUAGGCCCCUCAAUCAAUCCCAAACAGCCCCCCCUAUUUUUGCGCCUUUUCCAAAUUGGUCCCUGGUUUCGGAUUUUCACAAUUAAACCCCUAAUUGGCCAUUAAACUUCAAUAUUUAUGCAAUUAAGCCCCUGAUUUGACUUAAUAAAAUCCUAAAAAUUAUAAUUUGGCCCCAGAACUUAAAUUUCUUCAAUUUAAAGCCCCAAUUGACUUAAAAAAUCAAUUUUUCUUGCAAUCAAAUCCCUUAUAAAUCCAAUUAAAAAAUCAAUUAAACCCAUAAACAUCCAAAUUUGGGCUUCUCUCCUCAAAAUUCAAAAUUUCCUUCUCAAUAGGGUUUUCAUCUUUCAAGAAUAUAUUGUAAAAAAUCCAAUCUUUGUAUCUUUAUACUCCUUGACCAAUUUUCUGACCAUUUUCCGAGCGCUUCUGCCUCUUGUCAUUUUUCUAACCUUCUUUGGCUAUUUAUUUUAUUUUUUUGCGGGGACCCAAAAAUGGGUUACAACACAGACUUCAAGAAAGGUGACCUGGUUUGGGGAAUAACUGGUUGGGAAGAGUACAGUCUCAUUACAUCAACAAGGGGACUGUUCAAAAUUGAACACACAGAUGUGCCUCUUUCCUAUUACACUGGAAUUCUUGGUUAGCUUUUUUUGUUUCCUUUUUGAUCAAUUUUAUCUUUUUUAAGUUAGGAAGCUUUGGUGCUACUAAAAUACAUGGCUGCUAAUUAUGAGCUCCACUUAGUUUUCCGCAUCCUUAGCAGACAUGAUAUUUCAUGCUAGGAAACUUUCAAAAUAUAAGCUUUAUUUUCUGACGAAUGAAGCAUGCAGCAAUAACAAUUAAGAUGAGCAGUGACAACAGAAAGAGAUUCUUUCCUUUUCCAUCUAAUUCUAACGUCCAUUGUAAAUGAAAUUGAAAAUUAUAUCUAACAAUUCCUCACCCAUAUAAUUAUCAUUCUUUCCUAGAUAUAUGGUCAAAAGUUUAUCUAAUUGUAGUACACUUAUAUGUUGCAGGAAUGCCAGGCAUGACUGCUUAUUGUGGUUUUUAUGAGCUUUGCUCUCCAGAGAAAGGGGAGUAUGUCUUUGUUUCAGCAGCUUCUGGUGCAGUGGGUCAGCUUGUUGGCCAAUUUGCCAAGUUAUUGGGUUGCUGGAAGUGCUGGAAGCCAAGAAAAGGUUAGUCAGCUGAUCAUGAGUGUUAACCGUUGGUGCAUAUUUAAGUAGAUGACAUUAAAGCAAAGUAACAUCUGUAACCAGAUUCUGUAUGGUGUUUGCUUUUAAUUUCUCUUAUCAAUCUUAAGGUUGACUUGUUGAAGAACAAGUUUAAAUUUGAUGAGGCUUUCAACUAUAAAGAGGAGCCGGACCUGGUUGCAACUUUGAAAAGGUGAGUAGCAAGUUUUUUGAACUGGAAGAUAUAUAGUCUCCUUCUUUAUCUGUGUUUUAGGCCUUUUUAUGUUUAAGUGCCAUUUAAUGCCUCUGUCAUUGCAGUGUGUGGGAUGAUUUCACAGUACAACAAAUUUGAUAACCCUGAUGGCAUACACAACCUGAUCAACAUCAUUCUGAAACGUGUUCGUAUCGACGGAUUCCUAGUUUUGGAUUACUAUCAUCUCUACCCCAAGUAUCUGAAAAUGAUUUAUAUAUCAUGGGACAACAUUUUGAACUCUUCCUAACAAAUAAAAAAAAAAUAGUGCAGUGAUGAAAAAAAUAUCAACUACUCUCUUAGAUUCUUUCUUUAAUCAAUAGUGCAGUGAUGAAAAAAAUAUAGUCUUGCUUGAACUCUUCCUAACAAAUAAAAAUUUAUAUAUCAUGGGACAAUAUUUUGAAAAUUCUUAUUCCAUAAAGAUAUUUUUAUGGACAAGACUAACAAACAAUAUUCUAAAAUCUAAUCCAUUAUGUAUUUAUACCUAAAUAUCAGUCUUUUAAAUAAGUUUAUAACAUAAUUUAUCUAUAAAAAGUCUUAUAACUUAUCUAAGACAUUAUGUGAGAAGAAAAAAGACUUUAAAUUUGUAUAUAUAAAGCCUACAAUAUUUUAUUAAUUCACUUGUUAAGAUUCAUGUUGUGCAACAAAUAAUAUCUAAUACAACCACGCAGCCCAUUAGUCCAAUAAUUUUGCUACCUAAAAAAAUACUAUAUUUAUUUAGUGAUCAUACACAACAAGAUGAUAAAAUCAUAGCUAAGUGGGCAUAAAGUGGGGAGUUUUCUUAAACCAAUCCUUCAACUAAUUGAGAUCAUGAGGUGAGAACUUUUGUAUGUCUAUGAUUUUCCAUAGGCUGAACGCACGAAUCAAAAAAGCUUUCCACUGCUGCCUUGUUGAAAAUCUCAUUGAACCAUGACGGGGAUGAUGAAGCAGAUGAUAUGGUGGCCAAGGUAUCGUUCUAUCGCUUUCAACUUCGAAUUGUUGGUUGUCAAUCUCAUGAUCCGACAAUCCUGACCCUUCAAAUGAAGUCUCGUAGUAAUCCAUGUCAUGAUCCCCUUCUGAACUUUCAAAAGACUCUUGGUUGCAAAUGUCAUGACUCAACGCUGGAAUUUCAUUGUAAAUGCUCCGUCCAAAUGGAUGUGUCUUUAUCACAUGGAUCCCACAUCGUGCCACUUCACUGUUUUCAGACCUCAAUAUCACAUGUAGUUCCAAUUCAUCAUCUCCACAGUAUUUUUCCAUUGCUAUCUCAGGUUUGCUUAUGACUAUUACCCACCUACCACGGAAAUAGGACCUUGCAUGUGUAGCUUCGAACAAUGGAAUACCGUUUCUUUUAUUUUUUAUUAUAGCCUCGUAUUCUUGACACCCACCACCUGAACAGACAGCCCAAAUGGCCAAGCCUUCGAAAACUGGAGGUAUACGAAAUGAUAAUGAACAUCCUUCUCCACGGCAGCUGAACCAAUUUGGAAUCAUAGAAUAAUCGAAGGCUCUGUCAUGAUGAUAAUCGAAGAUUCUCUGCAUAAAUAUUGAAUUCAAGGAAUGCUAAGAUUUUAGACAUUGAUCAAUAUAUAUAUAUAUAUAUAUAUAUAUAUAUAUAUAUAUAUAUAUAAUUGUGUGUUUAUUUGUGUGCAAGAGAGACAGAAAUAGUACCUGAAAAAGCCAGUCCUCAGUAUUUUUUGAUAAAUUACUUAGACUUCGCUUGCCGUCAAUCUCAAUGAAAUUGUACACCGGAUAUUGAGACAAAUGUGGUGGUGCAGGUAUUCCUCCAUCUCUUCCAACUUCAGACUCAUGAUCCCACUCUGACCCUUCAAAUGAAUCUGUCUUUUCAACUAUCACAUGGAUCCCAAAUUCAAACACUUCAGCGUCUUCUCCCAUAUAAAGUCUCACGCACAGUUCCAAUUCCUCAUCUUCACAAUAUUCUUCCAUUGCCAUCUCCCUUGUACUUAUGUAUGUCAUCAAAUUGUGAGCGACCGAAUCGCAUACGUAAGCUUCAAACAAUUGAAUACCGUUGCUUUUAUUUUUUAUACACAAUUUGGCAGCACCAAAAAGACCUAUCAAGCCUUGACAGACAACCCCAACGACCAAGCCUUGGAAAACUGGAGGUACAUGAAAUGAUAAUGAACUUCCUUUUCCUCGAUAGCUGAACCAAUUUGGAAUCAUAGUGAACUUGUCUCUGUGGCCGAACGCAUAACAACGAUUGAAAAGAAUUUGAUACCCAUAACCACCAUAGCACAAUGCCUGUAUAUAUAUAUAUAUAUAUAUAUUUCAAGGAGUGCUUAAUAUUAGACAUUAAUUAAUGAAUAUAUAGUAUGUGCCAAUUGUGUGCUUAUUUGUGUGCAAGAGAGACAGAAAUAGUACCUCAACAAGACUUCUCUUACAAUUAUUUGAUGACUUGUAGUCGAAAAUAUAGCGAAUAAUCCAGCCAUGAUUACUUAGACCUUCUAUGCCUUCAAUCUCUACUAAAUCCGAACAACAAAACAUGUCCAGAUUUAGAUAUUUUUUUGCUUGGAUUGGUAGUCUUACCCAUUGCAUUGAUACACAACCAUAUGCAUCCAAAUGUUCUAAAUUUGAGGGAAGCUCUGGGAUUGAUACAAGAUUGCUGCAAAGCGCAAUCCUCAAAAGCCGCAACUUAGAAAGGAUGCCGAUGCCAGAAGGUAGACUAAAGAACUUGUUUCUUGAUAGAUCCAACUCUUCGAGAGAGGACAAACUUCCAAAAUCAACAGCAUUAGUUGCACGUUCAGACAAACCAUAAUUAACAAGUUUUAGCUUUCCCAAUACUCUCCAAAUAGUGGAAGUUGGAGCUAGCAAAAAAGCUGAAAUCCAAGAAGAAUUUGGUGAAGGCCGAUAUGGUAAGUUCCACUUACAGUGUCCACGCAAUGACAACUUCCUCACACACCUUAAAAGUCCAACUGACGAGAGAAAUUGCUCGUUGUUAAUUCCAUCUGCUAGAAGCUCAAUGAAGGACUCAAUAUCACCUAUGCACUCUGGCAGCUUCUUAAGUUGUGAACACCCCGAAACAUUCAAACACACAAGAGAUUUUGAAUGUCCAAUAGAUUGAUGUACAUCAACUAAACUUGAGCAACCUUCAAGAAGUAGUUUUUUUAGACUUGAACUGUGCAUGUUUGGUGUUUUAACAAGCCUCUUUGAAUAACUGAGAUCAAGAAUCUUUAGAUUGUUGAGAAUCUGUCAGAGUAGUGAGGAAAAUCAGUAACAAGUAAUCAUCAAAAGUUGUAACUUGUAAAUAUAAAUUACAUAAUAAACAACUUUUUGGGUAUUUUGGUAUAUUUCACACCUUUUUUUCCUUCCAUAGUUCUUUGAUGUUACUGAACUUCAUAUCCAUAACAACUAUGCAGUUUGGUGUAAGAUCAAAUGGCAAAAAUUCCAAAGGACAUUCAAGCCAACAAAUCCAAGUCAACAUUUUAGAAAGUCGUUUGAAAGAUCCGGUGAGAUCUACUCCAUCGAUUUGCAGUAAUUUUAAGUUUUUCAUUUUUGCAAAUGAUCCUGUGCUUAGUGAUUUUUCUUCUAAUCUUCUCACAUCCAGUGCAAGGCCCUGUACAACUUCAGUUCCCUAAGAAAGCAAAAAGAAAAAAUCAAUAGAACUUUCAAAUGAUUGUUUGUAAUAAGUUUGACAUGAAAGAUACAAAUGAAUGUGCUUUUCUAUAUGCAUUGUGUUCUUACCAUCUGCAUCUUGAGUACUUUCCACGCAUCCUCUUGACACCAAAUUCUGCUCCUUUGUGAAGGAUUUUCAGGUGACUCAUCCUUAACGAUCCCCCUUCCCAUCUCUCGUAAUAGAUCAUGCAUGCUUAUCGUUCCAGAAUCAUCAACUUUAAUCAGAGACCUUUCAAUGAGAGUUCCGAAAUCAUCUUCUGGAUUGCAACCAUAACGUCCUUCUAGCACUUCUGCUACGUAUUCUUUUGUCCACCAAUAAAGAAGCAUGCAAUAUCAAGAAAUGUAUUCUUUAGAUUAGGGGCUUUCAGUGAGUCAAAACUUAUUCUAAGCCUUUCUUGAAUAGCAUGCUCUGGAAUUCUUCUCAAUCUGUCAAUUACAGAUUCCCAUCUAGCUUGCUUUUUCCCAAUCAAACAAGAACCUAAAACCUCAAGAGCUAAAGGAAGUCCUCCACAGUAUUCAACUACAUCAUUAGAAAGCUCAACAUAAUCUUUUGCUGGCUUGGCGUCCCUAAACGCAUGCUGACAAAAUAGCUGAAGGGACUCAUAUGGGUCAAUUCUUGAACCUGGUAUCUUUGAUCAGCUUCAAGAAGUAAGCGUUCAUCUCUAGUUGUAAUUAUCACCCUGCUUCCGGGACCAAACCAGCUUCGCUCUCCCAUCAAAGCAUUUAAUUGGUCCAGAUGAUCCACAUCAUCAACAACAAUAAGAACUCUUUUGCGGCAGAGUCGUUCUUUAAUCAGAACCUUUCCUCUAUCAACAUUAUUGAUCUUCUCAGUAUUUUGUCUUAAAAUAUCAUGAAGUAGUUGUUGUUGUAGAAGAACCAAAUCAUUAGGUUCUGAUUUUUCUUUGACAUUCAAAAGAAAAGAGAUUCCCUCGAAUCCAUAUCCACAGUCAUAGCAGAGUUGAUUAAAUACAACUUUUGCUAUAGUCGUCUUUCCUAUUCCUGGCAUCCCAUGUAAGCCCACAAUGCGUACAUCAUCUGUUGCAGUACUUAGGAAGUGAAAAAUAUUGUGAGCAAGCGGAUCAAUACCUACUAGGUGCUUAGGCACAUGUAAGUACUUGGGGUCCAAUUUAGUCAGCACAUCCUUGAUAAUCUCUUGGAUAAAUUUUGCUUCACGCCUGUUCAUGGACAAAAGCAAGUCAUUAAUAGCGAGACAAUUAAGCAUGUUCAAAAAGUAUUUUAUUGUUUCACAUUGUAAAAUAGGUAAUGUAUAAUGACUCCAUAUAUAAAUGUGUGGAAGUGAAUCUUAUAGAGAAAAGGCAUACCCAUUUGCCAUAUCUUUGAGAUUCCAACCAGAUAGAUUUCCUGCCUCUUCAAGAGCUUCUCUCCACUCCUUCACCUUCUCUUCAGAACGUUCUUCAUGCUUAACAAAUGCUUCUGCAAAACUGCCGGUCUGUUUUCUCACAUCUGAAGGAUCGAUGUCAUAGAAUAUAGGAAGAGCAAUCUGACCAGUUUUCCUCUUUCUGCACUUGAGAAUCUCCACAAGUUCAUUGAGACACCAUCUAGAAGAAGCAUAUCCUUUUGAGAAGACCACUAUAGAUAUCUUUGAUUCUCGAAUUGCCUUGAGGAGAUGAUCGGAGAUUUCUUCUCCUCUAGGAAGUUCAUCAUCAUCUCGAAAAGUGUGGAUUCCUGCUUGGACUAAGGCAGUAUAUAGAUGAUCUGUAAAUGUCUUGCGAGUAUCUUCUCCACUAAAACUCAAAAAGACAUCAUAGGCCCCUUGUGGUCUAGAUCGAGAAGAAUCUGGCUCUGUCAUGGCAGCUGCAGAAAUUAAGGCACGAUUAAUUAAUUAGCAAUGAAUAGAUUGCAGGAGGUAUCUGCUAUCUUGCAAUUAUAAAUAGUAAGGGAUACAUGUGAAGUGAUCAUCAAAGACAAUACAAAUAGAUGAAUGUGCUGAGUAGGAAUUUCAACGCAAUUACUAUUAGAGAGUAAGGUAAGAAAAUCAUUCAUUCAUUGAGUUUCACCUAAUACUUCAAGUUUAACAACCAGAGAGCAUAAAACAAUAGCAUUUAAAAAGCUUACUGAGGUCAGCUUUCCUUCUCUUUCGCGAGGAUGAAUCAUUUUCUUCAUCUUUGGAUUGUUUGCGUUUUUCUGUCGGCAUUCUAAAAUAGAAUGAUCUUGUUCUAGAAGACAUGCAAGGAAUUAACUCAAUAAACUCAUCAAAGAUGUCUAUCUGAACAUAAAGCUUUCAAAUUAUUGUUAUGAGUAAAGACAUGAAAUUAAAACAAGAAAGAAGCAAAGAAGAGGUAUAAGCUAUACCUCUAUAUAACAAAGGGUUGGUUGGAUUCCACAAGCUAUGAAAUUGCAGCAAUCGGGAACGGUAAUUUAUUUCAACUACCCAAACAUAUUUUUCAAUUUGUUUUUAAUUUACAUGUAGUUUCAAAGAAGCAAAGAAGGGUUAUAUACUAGCAAAAACAUGACAGCAUAAAAUCCCAUGUAGCAAUUAUCUUGUUUCGCAAUCUUCUUAGUGUUAAUAUUGCUGUAAAACUACAUGCAUUCAUGCAAUCAGAAGCAACAAUCGCAAAGGUUACCUCAAUAUGGUGUUUGAGUUGUUCGGAUUCCACCAACCUGGCGACUUUAAAGAUCAAAUUGCAGCGCUCAGAAAGAUUAGCUGAAGAGUAAAGUAAUGAGGACUGAAGGAUAGUAGAGGCAAUAUUGUUUCGGAGAAAGAAUAUAAAUCCUUUUUGCAAAUUAUUAGCAAUAAUUAUCAAAGAUGAAGGGUAUCAUAUAUAGGAAUAGGAGCUUGGAAAUUUCUUUAGCAGCGUGUGAUCAAGGUAAUUUCUUGGUUGUUGCUGAUUGAUUAGGGUUGUUGCAAUGAUUUUUUAAAAAUAAAAAAAUAUUAUUUUAAUAUAUUUUUUUAAUAAAAAUCAUUUAAAAUACAAUUCUCUUUCCAAGUUUGAGCCAGAGAUGUACAGUGCAUCCGCUGAGGAUGAAUAAUGAGUGGUAGAAGCCUAUUUUGUGAGUUAUUAAAGACUUCUUCCUGUCAGUCAAUGCGGGUAUGAACACUAACUCUUUUUUUUUUUUUCACACACUAAUGUUUUGUUUGGAAUUUAUGGGUUUUUUGUUCUUGUAAAAUAACAGUGUUUCUAACAGUGUGCUUGAUUCAAGUUCUUGAUUGGUGUUCGUGUUCUUAAAAAAUUUUAAUUUUUUUUUGUUAAAAAUAAAGUAUUUAUAUUUUUAAAUUAUUUUGAUUUAUUAAUAUUAAAAUUAAUUUUUAAAAAAUAAAAAAAAUAUUAUUUUAAUAUAUUUCUAAACUAAAAAUAUUUUAAAUCAUAAACACUAAUAUAAUUCCAAACAGAUAUUAAACGCAACCGCUGGUCAUGAUGGACAGUUUAGUUGGGAACAGACGAAGGGCUAUAGACUUCGAGACGAUGGCUGUAUUAUCAUUGAACCUUCGCUCAAGAAGCUCAACCACUUUGCUUCCCAUAUCUACUAAUCAUGAACCUCCUUGACUCUUCAGUAUAAAUCUUUUUCCACUCAGAAGGCCCUCGCCCUCACACUCCCGUCUCCAUGUAUUUGGCUGCUUCCAUCUCUCAGCCCUGCUUUUUGGUUCGUACGUAGGUGUAAUCUGAUAUUUAUUAUUACUUUUAUUCAUAUAAAAUAUAUUUUUUAUCUUUAACAUUAUUUAAAACUUGUUAUUAAUUUUAUUAGUAUAAAAUAUAUUUAUUAUUGAAAAAAAUUAAGAUUAUUCGCUCUACCGUGUUUUUAAAAAACCCAACAAUAACAUCAUAAUCAAUUAAACUUGAGCAACCUUCAAGCAGUAAUUUCUCUAGACUUGAACUGUGCAAGUUUGGUGUUUUAACGAGAUUCUUUGAAUAACUGAGAUCAAUGAUCUUUAGAUUGUUGAGAAUCUGUCAAAGCAGUGAGGAAAAUCAUUAAGUAGUCAUCAAAAGUUGUAACUUGUAAAUAUAAAUUACAUAAUAGACAAGUUUUUGGGCAUUUUGGUGUGUUUCGCACCUUUUUUUCCUUCUAUAGUUCUUUAAUGUUACUGUACUUCAUAUCAAUAAAAACUACGUAGUCCAGUGUAAAAUCGGAUGGCAAAAAUCCCAAAGGACAUUCAAGCCAACAAAUCAACGUCAACACUUUAGAAAGCUGUUCGAAAGAUCCGGUGAGGUCUUCUCCAUUGAUUUGCAGUAAUUUUAAGUUUUUCAUUUUUGUAAAUGAUCCUGUGCUUAGUGAUUUGUCUUCUGAUCUUCUCACAUCUAGUGUAAGGCCUUUUACAACUUAUGUUCCCUAAAAAAGCAAAAAAUAAAAUAAAAAUCAAUAGAACUUUCAUAUAAUUGUUUGUAAUAAGUUUGACAAUAAAGAUGCACAAGAAUGUGCUUUUCUGUAUGCGUUGAGUUCUUACCAUCUACAUCUUGAGUACUUUCCACGCAUCCUCUUGACUCCAAAUUCUGCUCCUUUGUGCAGGAUUUUCAAGUGACUCUUCCUUAACGAUCUCCCUUCCCAUCUCUCGUAAUAGAUCAUGCAUGCUUAUUGUUCCAGAAUAAUCAACUUUAAUCAGAGACCUUUCAAUGAGAAUUCCAGAAUGAUUAACUUUAAUCAGGGACCUUUCAAUGAGAGUUCCCAAAUCAUCUUCUGGAUUGUAACCAUAACGUCCUUCUAGCACUUUUGCUAUGUAUUCUUUCUUUCUACCAAUCAAGAAGCAUGCAAUAUCAAGAAAUGUAUUCUUUAGUGUAGGUUCAUCCAGUGUGUCUAAACUUAUUCUAAGUUUUUUCUGAAUUUCACAGUUUGGAAAUUUUCUCAAUCUGGCAAUUACAGAUUCCCAUCUAGCUUGGUUUUUCCCAAACAAAGAAGAACCUAAAACCUCAAGAGCUAAAGGAAGUCCUCCACAGUAUUCAAUAACAUCAUUCGAAAUCUUAACAUAAUCUUUUGCUGGCUUGGCGUCCCUAAACGCAUGCUGACAGAAUAGCUGAAGGGACUCAUAUGGGUCCAAUUCUUGAACCUGGUAUCUUUGAUUAGCUUCAAGAAGUAAGUGUUCAUCUCUAGUUGUAAUUAUCACCCUGCUUCCAGGACCAAACCAGCUUCGCUCUCCCAUCAAAGCAUUUAAUUAGUCUAGAUGAUCCACAUCAUCAACAACAAGAAGAACUCUUUUGCGGCAGAGUCGUUCUUUAAUCAGAACCUUUCCUCUAUCAACAUUACUGAUCUUCUCAGUAUUUUGUCUUAAAAUAUCAUGAAGAAGUUGUUGUUGUAGAAGAACCAUAUCCUUAGAUUCUGAUUCUUUGACAUUCAAAAGAAAUGAGCUUCCCUCGAAUCCAUAUCCACAGUCAUAGCAGAGUUGAUUAAAUACAACUUUUGCUAAAGUCGUCUUUCCUAUUCCUGGCAUCCCAUGUAUGCCCACAAUGCGUAC
rnacentral:lncRNA from 1 species